GGCCUUCAAUUUCCAAAAUCAGCAUCAAUAAGUAUCUUAUUAUUAUUCACAUUCAACAUCACUAAUCUAUUAUCUCUUUGUAUAUUUUUAUUAUGAGAAAGGUAAAGGGGUUAUUUAAAAUUUUGAUCUAGAGAUAUAGUGUCAACAUUGCUCCGUAUUUUAUUUUGACUAUUAUAUUUCAAGUUCUACUCACAUAAGUUAUGCAUACAUGAUUAAUUUUGAGUAAAUAAAAAAUCAAACAUUAACCACAUAUAUUUAUAUGUAUGCAUACCUUGAGAGGAUCCCCAACCACAAAGCAAAAGGAAGAAGGAGAUAAUGACAACUUGAUCCAUUGACCGUCAUUGACCUCAAUUUCCAACCCCGAAACUUGAUCAUCACAAAUGAUUGUGCUCACAGGUUUAUCAGUGUGAGCAAAGAGUCCUCUUUCGUACUCUCCUGGUGGAGGGGCCAUGUAUUUCAUAAACCGCACUAGUGUUUUAUAGUUUAUCAUCACUGACUCCCAUUUGUCCCCUAAUCCAUAACUAUCUAUUAACAUUAACCAGAUUAACUUGUUCAGCUCCUCUAUUUGAGUUGCCAUUGUAUGUAUAGUGUUGCUGGGGCAAAAGGUCAAAAGAAAAUGUCAAUAACUCGAAUUUGCUUAACUCUAAGAAAAAAAUGAUUGGAACUCAAAAUGACUAGAACAAAUAACUUAAAAAUAACCUAAAAAUUUAACCAAAAAAAAAAGGGUUACCAAAAGCGUGGGUGACCAUCAGGCCACAUAAGUUGAGCAAAACUUUUAACAGAGUCAUAGUUGGAGGCAUCUCCAAGUCCAAAGCCUUCAUACAGCAAAGAAACCUGACUGCAUGGUCCAACCCAACCAUGGUAAGGCAUGGGACUAGCGUUUUUCUGUUUCCUCUCCACUGGGACCUCAACUAGUUCUUUCAUCAACCCGAACGUCUCUUCUCGGACUUUCGGCGAUAUCUUUUCAUACACCACCUCGAAACAGCCGAAAGUCUCACAAGCCUCUCGAACUCUCUUGCACAAACGAUGCCACCCAUCAGUUCCUCGUUGCAAAUCUGAUGAACGGAACUCAAUGACAGGGAACUCAAUUUCAGCAUUGACACCCAUGUCCUAAACUCUUUUUUAAUGCUUUAAGGAAAUGUUUUCUUAAACUAAAUGAGCUUGUAAAUUAACUUGGUUCCUCUUUACCUAGGAAUUCGGGUCUAUUUAUAUCAUUUCCUCAAGGGUGGCGUGGUGAGCAGAAACAUUUUUAUUUAUAAUUUGAUUAUCCAUGCAAGACGAAGGAGGCGCACUAGUCAAAGGAAAUUUUAAACGGUACUUAAUUUAAAAUUAAGGUUGAAGUCAAAUUUCAUGAAUUAAAAAAUUGAACAAAAAAGGAAAUAAUACUGAGUUUCAUAUUACGUAUCUAAUCAAACAACUUAUUGACCAUAUAUGUUCCAUUUGACUGAUUCAAAUAUCAGUGUAAUUUAUGGCUAACUAUUAGCUCUCAAAUUUGAACAUCAAUGCAUGCAUUUAAUAAUUGUUAGCAUGAAUAUAAUAACAUUAACCAUGUGACCAAAUAAUAAUAAUUAUUAGCAUGAAUAUAAUAACAUUAACAAUUUGACAAAAAAAAAUAAACAUCAACCAUGUGACUAAAUAAUAAUAGUAAUAAUAUAAAAUAUUUGGAAUUUUGUUUUCAACAUAUUAAAUUUCAAUUUGCUCAAUAUGAAUAAAAAAAAUUCGUAGAUGGUCAGGAAAGCGAGCAUGAUAUGAACACAAAGGAUCUCCAACCAUUAAACACAAAAGACUCUUUAUUUUCAUUAAGAUCGUACGGAAAAUUUUAUUCGAUACAUUAUCAAAGUUUUUAUUUGAUGCAAUUGUAAAAUUUUAAUUUUAUAUUUAUUUAUUAUAACAAUUUUAAUAUCGUUACUAUUAUAUACAUAAAUAAUUGUAUUUAUUUAAUAUUUAAUAAUAGUAAAUUUAUUCGUUUCUUAAAAUUUGGUAUAAUUAAUUUUGAGUCAACAAUUCAAUUGUAGUCUAGAUAAAACCUAUUGACCUAUAAAUAAGAUUCUCUUCCGAUUUAAAUAUCAGUGUAAUUUAUAGCUACUUGUUAGCCCUCAAAUUUGAACGUAAAUGCAUGCAUAUAACGAAUAUCAUUCGUGUUCUGCUUCGGCCACCGUACGUAAUUCAUGUUUUGGAUCUCGUGGGCUGUCAUGGCGGCUGUUUUGUUGCAGGAUUUGUCAGGGAUUUUGCUUCUGCGUUUGUAAUGGCUGCUACUAGUAAGUAGUUAGAUCUCCAUCAAAAUCAGGCUGGGCUUAAUUCAGGCCAAAAUAUUCUCUCGAUUCUUCAACUGUUCUUGUCUUUCAUGUCGGAAUUUUAUGUUUUCUUUGGUGGUUUGUACUGUUGUGUUGGAUUGACUACUCCUGUCUGCUUUGUUUGGCCCCUUUUGACUUUUGUCUUUCUUCAUUUUAAUGACAUGUUUACCUUAAAAAAUAAUUACUAAUCCAACAUCGUAAAAGAUUAAGUAUUAAUUUUAUGUAAUAACUGUAAAAAUUCAUCUGUAUAUAUCAUAUAAAAUUACAAUUACUAAUGUAUUUAUACAACUCAUGUAUAACUGAUUCAUAACAAAAGAAACUAACUACUCUAACUACUUCAACAGCCUACAACUCUUUUUACACCCCCCAAGUUAGAGGUAUAAAAUACUUUUUAACCCUAACUUGGAAAUUAGAUGACUAUGCUGUUGUGACCCCAAGGCUUUCGUCAUAACAUCGGCCAAUUGUUCUGCUGUUGAUACAUAUUCAGUAGCUAUAAGCCCUCCUUGUAUUUUUUCUCUUACAAAAUGACAAUCAAUCUUUAUGUGCUUAGUCCUCUCAUGAUACACAGGGUUUGCUGCUAUUUGAAGGGUUGCUUUGUUGUCACAAAACAAUCUCACUGGUUCAGUUACGCCUAUAUCCAGUUCUCUAAACAAACCUGAAAUCCAAACCAGUUCUGAUGUUACAGCUGCCACACUUCGGUAUUCUGCUUCAGCAGAAGACUUAGAUACAGUACACUGUUUCUUCGAUUUCCAGGAGAUAAGUGAGUCUCCUAACUGCACACAAAAACCUGAAACUGAUCGUCUUGACAUUGGACAAGAAGCCCAAUCUGAAUCACAAUAUGCCACCAAUUGGUGUUUAUUGUUAGCCUUCAAAAAAAUUCCAAGCCGUGGAUCCCUCUUUAUAUAUCUCACUACUCUCAAUGCUGCUUCCAUAUGCGAUUGUUUUGGAUUUUCCAUAAACUGACUAAGAUGAGUAACAGUAAAGGUGAUGUCUGGUCUUGUAUAGGUUAAAUAGAUCAAUCUUCUAAUGAGUCUCUAAUAAACUGUUUUAUCUUCUAACAACUUAUCUUCUUGAUGCUGCUGAGUGACUUCAUCAAAUUCUGCUGUUGUUAGUUUUUGAUUCUGCUCAAGUGGUGUAAGAGCAACCUUUGCGUCACUUAGACCAGUAUCUUGGAUGAGUUCUUGUGCAUACUUCAGCUAAUUUAGCAAAAUGCCUUCUGGAGACCUUAAAAUUUCAAUUCCAAGAAAGUAUCUUAAUUCUUUUAAAUCCUUCAUCUUAAAAUUCUGGUUCAGAAUCCCUUUCAAGUCAGCAAUCAUGUCCAUGUUAUUUCCAGUGAUAAGAAGAUCAUCAACAUACACCAGUAAAAUAACCAUCUUGCCCUCUUUCUUUUUAAUGAAAAAAGAAUAUUCAUGCUUACUUUGCUCAAAACCAGCCAAAAUAAGAGCAUCAGUAAGCUUGGCAUUCCAUUGCCUAGAUUCCUGUUUCAAUCCAUAUAAUGAUUUUUGUAGCCGACACACCAUAUGCUCCCCCUGGCUGCGAAAACCUUCAGGUAAAGUCAUAUAGAUCUCCUCAGAAAGAUCGCCUUGAAGAAAGGCAUUAGAGACAUCCAUUUGAUAAAGCGGCCAACUGAAAGAAGCAGCAAGAGCUAAAAUGGUUCGAACAGUGACAAUUUUAGCAACAGGAGAAAAAGUUUCCAAGUAAUCAAUCCCCGCUUUUUGAUUGUACCCUUUUGCAACCAAACGAGCUUUAUAUCUCUCAAUUUCACUAGAAGCUCGAAGUUUAACCUUGAACACCCAUUUAAAGCCGAUAGGAACUUUUCCCGGAGGUACGGGGACAACAGUCCAUGUAUGAUUAGAUUCUAAGGCCUGAAUUUCCUCUCGCAUGGCUUGAAUCCAGUGGGGAGACUUUUGAGCCUCAGAAUAGGAAAUAGGCUCAGUGAUGUUGGCAAGAGAAGAAACAAAAGCAUGAGUAUGUAAAAGGAAACGCGAAGAAGAAGUAUAAGUAUAAGUGGAAAAAAAACCUGCGGAUGAAGUAGAUUGGUAGGGAUGAAUGUAACCUUGUAACCAAGAGGAGGCCUAAUGGUUCGGCUAGAUCGCCUAGGUUCAACAACGGGCAGAGUAGGAGAGUUUGAAGGGGGAGAUGUACUUACCGAAGCAGGAACUGAAGUUGGAAUAGUGGAAGGGGUACUUAGAGAAUGAUUGAUGGGAGAGGAAUGAAUAGAAGUGGGACAAGGAAUAAUGAGAAAAUCAGAAUCUGAUAUUUCAGGAGUAGGGGGAAACAAAACAGGAAAUUCAUCAGGAGGGGACCAAAAAGGAAAAACAUCUUCAACAAAUUUAACGUUGCGGCUGACAAAAAACUUUUUAGACUCUAAACAAAACAAAAUAUAACCCUUUUGAGAAGAAGAAUAACCCAUAAAAACCGAAGGAAGUGAUUUAGAAGAAAAUUUAUCAAAAUAAGGUUUUACUGCAAAACAAAGGCAGCCAAAAACACGAAAGUGAGAAAAAUCUAGAGGUUUUUUAUAAAGCAGUUCAAAUGGCGUUUGCCAAGCUAAAACAGAGGAAGGAAGGCGAUUGAUGAUGUAACAAGCAGCCAAAAUACAAUCACCCAAAAAUUUGGUUGGAACAUUCGACUGAAAACGCAAAAUGCGAGCAAUUUCUAAGAGAUGCUUAUGCUUACGCUCAACAAUGCCAUUUUGCUGAGGGGUAUUAACACAUGAACUUUGAUGAAUUAUCCCUAAGGACUGAAAAUAAGAUGAACAAGCGGAGUUAAAAAAUUCAGAACCAUUAUCACUCCUGACGAUUUUAAUAACAGCAGAAAAUUGCAUUUUGAUCAUUAAAAAAACUGUUUAAGAGCUAAAAUAACAUCAGAUUUAAGCUUCAGUAAGUACACCUAGGUCAUUCUAGUGUGAUCAUCAACAAUGGUUAAGAAAAAACGAUCACCACUAUGAGUAGACACCCUAUAAGGGCCCCAAACAUCAAGAUGGAUCAGACUAAACGGAGUCACUGCCCUAGAAGUACUAAUAGGAAAAGACAGUUUAGAUAAUCUCGCCAUGGGACAUAUAGAACAAGUAAAGUGUUUAUUAAGUGUCAAAGUAUUAAAGAAAGACAAAUGAUGUAACUUGUGCAUGGGCACAUGCCCUAAUCUUGCAUGCCAUAAUGGAAUUUUAGGUGCAGUAGAUGCCAUACAAGAAGUAGAAGUAGGUAAAAAUGAGGUGGACAAAGACAAAUGAGAGCCAAAUGACCUAACCAGAGAAGAAGAAGACUCAAAUAAGUAAAGGCCAUUCGAGUGUCUACCAAUCUCCUUCAUCCUGCCAUUGGAGAGAUCCUGCAAAAGGCAGAAAUCAGGGUUAAAAAUGACUGCACAAUGUAAAUCGUGAGCCAAUUUGGAAACAGAAAUAAGAUUGUAAUGAAAGGUGGGAACACAAAGAACAUCAGUAAAGGUAAUAUGAGGAGAUAAAAUGAAAGAACCAGAAUGAGUAAUAGGAGAACGUUUACCAUUUGGAAGCUGAACAAAACGGGAGUUAAGAGGGUAAGCAGUAGGUAAAGUUAAACUCUUAGAAUCAAAACAUAUAUGAUUAGUUGCAUCAGUGUCCAAAAUCCAGAAAAAAUUACGGCCAACUGAACAAGACAUAGAAGGUAUACCUGUACUGUAGCACCCCAAACCCGGCCCAGACGUUAUGACCGGAUCCGACAUGCCACAUCGAAGCGUUCAAAACAUUUUAUAUUGUUGAUCCAGAAAAAAAACUUACUUAGUGUUUUAAAAAGAUAAUUUCAUUAUAGGUUAAAGUGAAUGGAAGCUGUGCACCAGGUAGGAAACCGAAAAAGAGGUGGUGAGUCCAUCGGACUGCUUAAGUACCAAGCUCCCUUCGGAUCCAAUCCUAGACAUGCAUACCGCCAUUGCCACACCUUAACGUCAUGGAUAUUUCUAGGAAACCGAUUUUGAUUAAGUCAUUUUUAGGAAAAGUUAUUAAUUUUGGAAAAUACUUUCAUUGCGGAAGCUUUGCUUGUUGUUGUAUUAUUUUGAAAUCAAUUGUUGUUUUUGAAAACGCGCCCUAAAGCUAUCCAAUUUCAACAGUUAAAAUAAGUAAUACCUAUCUUAGUAAUACAUAUUAAAACCAUCAAAAAUAAUUAAGCGGCCUUAUUACAUUUAAAAAACCCAAAACUUCAAAUGUAAAUAAAAGGAUGUCCAGUUCACCAGAAGAAAACCAAACUUUCAGAACGGGUGGCCACUCCGAAUUCCCUCACAGCUCCAAGCCCAUUAUGGUUGGGGAUUUCCUGCGUGGAUGAAAAUAAAAAGGGUGAGUUUGGGGAAACUCAGUGUGUAAGGAAAACCCAUUCAAAGCCCAAGUCAUCUCAAGCCUAUUGGGCCUAAGCCCAUUUAGGUAAUAGUGGUACUGGACCAAAGCCCUUUUCAGAUUACAAUAAACUGGGUCUUAACCCCUUAUUCAGAUAACAGUAUGGCCCAUAGGCCCAUUUCAAAAUACAUGCAACAUCAAUAAACAUAUGCAGGCCCAUUUGGGGAGACUACUCAACCCACCAACCACUACACUCCACCCGUACCUGCCAUACACUCCAUGUGGGGAAUAGCUCAACCCACCCAGCCCAACACUUCACAUUUGCAGCCUUGCUGCUCAGUUAACAGUAAAUUGAGGCAAAGCCUCCAGUACGUGGACAAGCCACUUUCAGUACUUCCUCCGUCAAUAUCCCAGUCCCAUGCAUCAGAUAAUAACAACAUGUCAUGCAGUAAAUAACAACAGUCAAACAUGCAUUUAGGUCAAUUUAACCCUAGGGGUAUUUCAGUAAUUUUGUACCUAGGGGUAUAACAAUAAUUUUCCAUACAUAGGGGUAUUAUAGUAAUUUAUCUAUUCUUAAGGUUUUCCAUGCAUAUUCCUAAUUUUCACGUACUAACAGAAUCACGUACCGAGGGUUCUUACCGAAUUGGGCCCGUUGGCCCAUCAUUCCAAUUUUGGCCCAUUAAGCCCAAAAAUAUUGAGGACACAGAAAUCAUGCACUUUGCAGUCCAAAUUUUGCAGCUUACCAAAAACAUUAAUCGAUUUACCUCACGAGCAUUCGCACACUCGCAAAUCUACAAAAUACCAGUUUUUGGCAUUUCUGCUUUUCGACUUUUGCCGAUCCAGACUAAGAAAGAAGGUGUUAGUUACACACCUGUUUGCGACGAUAUGCUGACGAGAUCCACACACGAACCACCUACAAUUGGAUUACUAACACGUUAAUCUAACUAUUCAAAUACAAACUACGUAUUAACCCCUUACAAUAUUCGGCCAACCGCACCUACAGAUCAUUGUAAGCUUAUAAGAAACCAAUAAGCAACUCAUUAACAAAUUUUUGUCAAUGUUUACCACAUAAUCAUACUUUCACUGCAAGUUGUCUUCCUGAGCAACAUUCACUAAAUCAUUUAUAACUCGAGCUACGAAAAUCCAAAUCAAGUGCCGAUAAUUUUCCCUGAAAAUAGACUCAUACAUAUUAUAUCCAUAAAAUUUUCAGAAUUUUUGGUUUGGCCAAUCAAUACCAGAUUUUUCUUAAAGUUUCCCAUGUUUCACUGUUUGACUAAUCUGACCACUCUUCAUUACGAAUCAAAUUUCUCAUUGUACAGAAUUCGAAAUAUGUUCUCGUUUAUUUCAUUUGAAACUAGACUCAUUAAGCUUUAAUUACAUAAUUUAUUAACCUUCUAACUCAUCUCUCACAAUUUAUGGUGAUUUUCCAAAGUCACGUUACUACUGCUGUCCCAAGCAGAUUUAUUACCAAAUCACUCUUUCACAAAUAACUUACAUGCAUGUUAUUUAAACAUGUAUAUCACCAAUCAAUCAUCACAUAUCUAUGAUUUUACUUAAGUAUAAUCUCCAUUUCAUCAUUUUAAAGCACAACAUGUUAGCCGAUUUUUCCCCUUAGCAUCUAAGGCACAUGCAUGCUCAUUUGUUUGGCUCUACUUUACCUAUCUUCCAUUUUUCAUCAAAAGAACAUGAAACAACAACCAUUUCCUUCAUUUUAAUUCAUGACUAAAUGCUCACAACACAACUAAAAACCAAAAUAUGUUUCAAUAGUUAAGGUAGAAUCAAGAAGAACUCAUGAACAUCAAGAUAGAAGCAAACUACCAUGAACUUACCUUCAAUUUUCUUCCCCAAGUGACCGAACAUUCAAGAGCUUUCUCCUCUCAUUUCUCUUCUCUAACUUUAGGCUAUGAUGAACAAAGAUGGACAAAACUUUGUUCUUUUCACCCCUUUUUCUUUUAAUAAAAUUUCAUAUUUCAUCCAUUUAAUUCUUUAAUACAAAAGACAUGAAAUGCCCAUCAUGGAACAUUUACCUAAACCAUUAUCAUGGAACAUUUACCUAACCCAUUAUCAUGGAAUAUUUACCUAAUCCAUUAUCAUGGAACAUUUACCUAACCCAUUAUCAAUUUGUACCAUGAAUUAUGGAUAUCAAGUGCUUAUAUUGUCUACAACAACAUGGUGGCUGGCCACUUCAUGUAAAAUGGGAGGUUUGUCAUGCAGAUCCUCCUAUUUUGCACUCCUAUUUAUUUGACCACUUCAAUUUAGCCUAUAGCAUUUUCAAACAUUUUUCACAUAGGUUCUAUUUCAUAAUUUCACCCCCUUUUUCUUAUGGAACAAAAAUUAACUAAAAUUGUCGGGUUCUAUCUUAAGCUUGGGCCUUCUAGAGGCCCACUAACAUAAUUAAGCCUAUGCCAACAUUCACAGAAUUCCCAAAAAUUAGGGCGUUACAACUCUACCCUCCUUAAAGAAAUUUCGUCCUCGAAAUUUACCAGAUCCAACUAGUUGAGGGUUUUGUUGACGCAUAGUCUCUUCUGAUUCCCAAGUAGCUUCUUCCCUUCUAUGAUUACGCCAAAGUAAUUUCACUAACGGGACAGAUUUCCUUCUGAGAACCUUAACAUCUCGAGCCAAUAUUUGCACAGGCUCCUCCUCAAAGGUCAAAUCAGUCUGAACUUCAAUUUCUGCAACUGGCAGGACAUGAGCAGGGUCAGAACGAUAACGCCUUAACAUAAAGACGUGAAAAACAUCGUGAAUCCUGUCUAACUCUAGAGGCAAUUCCAACUGAUAAGCCACUGGGCCUACUCGCUUCAAAACCCGAUAAGGCCCAAUGAACCGCAGACUCAACUUGCCUUUCUUACCAAACCUUAAUAUCUUCUUCCAAAGAGAAACCUUUAAGAAGACCAUAUCACCUACUGAGUACUCAAUCUCCUUACACUUUAAAUCUGCAUUACAUCACAUCAUUAUGCAUUAAAGGUCAUAAAAAGUUUCUAAUUAAUUAAAAAUCAUUUCAGUAAUCUGGAAAUCAACGAAAACCAACCAACUAUGCACCCUUACGGUACAAGGAAAAAGUCAAUGGAUAAAAGACUUGAGAAAUUGAAGCAAAUGCAAAAGGACAUGCAGUAACAGAUGCAGUCACAGAUGCAAGAGUAGCUAGCCAAGAUUCAGUGAGAGAUGAAAGAGCAAAUGAUGGAAUCCCAAAGAGAGAUGAUAAGUCAAUUGUCCCAAUUACUGAUGGGAAGAACGGAUAAAGGAAAAGGUUCCAUGGACAAUAUUGGGGAAACUAAUGAAGACCCUCAAUACCCUCCUAGCUUCACUCCGAAAAAUGUACCGAUACAACCUGAGAUUAAUCUACAAAGACCAUCUGUUACAAUUAUGCCUCAACAGAUUCAAGCUGGAACUUCGUUAGCGAUGAAUUUCCAAGCUGGCUCAGGCUCUAACCCUGUUAAUAACUAGAAUUAUCCGCCUGUUCCCGAUUUGGAUGAAGUUGCAGAAGAAGAAAAGGCAAGGAUAGAAUCACAAAAAUAACUAAAAGAACGGUGUGAAUGGUUGGAGGAAAAAUUCAGAGCUAUGGAAAGCGCAGAUAGUCAUCAAGGGAUUGGUGUUAAGGACCUGAGUUUGGUCCCAGACUUGAUCCUUCCCCCCAAGUUUAAAAUGUCUGAAUUUGAGAAGUACAAUGGAACGAGCUGCCCUGAAGAUCAUAUCACUAUGUUUUGCAGGCGAAUGACGGGAUACGUCAACAAUGACCAGCUACUAAUUCACUGUUUUCAGGACAGUCUGGUUGGGGCAAGCAUCUAAAUGGUAUAACCAAUUGAGCCGUGCUAAGAUUAACUCGUGGAAAGACCUAGCUCAAGCCUUUAUGAAACAAUAUAAUCAUGUGACGGGCAUGACUCCUGACAGGAUCACUCUCCAGAAUAUGGAGAAGAAACCAAAUGAAAGUUUCAGACACUAUGCGUAAAGAUAGAGAGAAGUUGCCAUACAAGUUCAGCCGCCGCUUCUAGGAAAAGAAACCACGAUGCUCUUUAUCAACACUUUGAAGGCCUCUUUUAUCACUCAUAUGUUAGGGAGUGCCACCAAAAGCUUCUCAGACAUAGUGACGACAGGCGAAAUGAUUGAAAAUGCUGUGAGGAGCGGCAAAAUCGAAGUAGGGGAAAGUACCAAGAGGUCGGCCCCGAGGAAAAGAGAUAACAAAGUGAACAACACGAGCACAUUUAGUAAGGGUCAGUUCAAGUCACUCACCGUAAACUAACCAAAGAUGGUGACCACCAAUCAACAUAGCACUGUGAGACAAGAAUCCAAUGCGAGGGCGAAACAGAAAGGCCACAAUUCACGCCUAUACCCAUGACGUGUCGGGAGCUGUAUCAGAACCUAUUCAACGCUCAUGUAGUGUCCCCCUUCUACCUAAAGCCACUACAACCCCCAUUUCCCAAAUGGUAAGACACAAACGCCCAAUGCGAAUACCAUGCGGGAAUCACCGGGCAUUUGAUCAAAAACUGCACCGCGUUCAAGAAGCUAGUGGAAAGAUUCAUUAAAAUGGGCAUUGUAAGGUUUGAUGACUUAGCCGUACCUAAUGUAGCAGGAAACCCACUCCCCAAUCAUACUUACCAAGGAGUAAAUGGGAUAAGCGAAGGCAGAAGCAAGAAGAUCAAGUAUGAGGUUGCAGAGGUCAGGACCCCAUUAAGACGGGUGUAGAAGGAGAUGGUCAAAAGAGGAUUAAUUGUGUUGGAUUUGAGAGAAGAAUCUGAAGAAAAGAGGAACUACUGUGAGUUCCACAAUGAGGUGGGGUAUGAAAUUCAAGAGUGUGUGAAGUUCAGGGCCCUUAUGCAGGACAUAAUGAACAAUAGAGAAAUAGAGUUUUAUGAAGAAACCAAAAACCCUGUAGAGGAAGAUAUAUGUGCAUCGGAGGGAGAAUCGACGGUGCAGAACCAAAUAGUUAACUACCCCGUGGUCAUCAUAUCACGACCCAAAAGUAAUGAAGCAGGAGUGCAAUGCCACCGAGAGUCAUAAUCCAAAGACCUGCAGUCUUCCUCUGUAAAGACAGCAAGAGGGACCCAUGGAAUUAUAACUGUAAUGUGACGACUUCAGGAAAAGAGAACUUAGCUGACGCUUCAAAAGAGGACCAAGAUAUGGGCUCCUAUACACGUAGCGGGAGAUACUACGAUUCAGCGAGCGAGAAGGUAAGACCCGUAAAAAGAAAAGCCAUAGUGGUCAAAGAGAUGAAGGAAAAAAGGGCCAAAUCUAAACUUCUUGUUAAUGAGCCGGUCAACGAAGAGGAGGCUAAAGAGUUUUUAAAGUUUCUAAAGCAUAGUGAAUACAGUGUUGUGGAACAACUGCGAAAACAACCAGCUCGUAUCUCGAUGCUGGCCUUACUUUUAAGUUCGGAAGUCCAUUGCAGCGCGCUGAUGAAAGUCUUGAAUGAAACAUAUGUUGCCAAUGAUAUCUCCGUCAACAAGCUAGACCGCUUGGUUAGCAAAAUGGGUGCCGAUAACUUUAUCUUCUUCAAUGACGACAAGAUACCACCCGGUGGCAGGGGGUUGACUAAAGCUUUACAUAUCACCAUGCGUUGUAAGAGAUAUACAUUGCUAAUAGUAUUGAUUGACAACGAGUCGGCCUUAAAUGUCCUACCAUUGUCUACACUAAACAGAUUACUUGUAGACAACUCUCACAUGAAGGAGUGCCAGAAUAUAGUGAGGGCAUUUGAUGGUACAGAGAGAAGGGUGAUGGGCAGAAUCGAGAUACCUCUUCUGAUCGGGCCAAACACAUAUAAGGUAGAUUUCCUAGUGAUGGAUAUCAAGCCUUCAUACAACUGCUUAUUGGGGAGGCCCUGGAUACAUUCAGCCGGGGCAGUGCCUUCAUUGUUGCAUCAAAAGUUGAAGUUAGUAUCAAAGGGACAGUUGAUAACGAUAAAUGCUGAAGAGGAUAUCAUUGCAGCUGUAAGUAGUGAUGCACCCUACUUGGAGACAGAUGACGAAGCAAUCGAAUGCUCAUUUCGGUCCUUGGAAUUUGUUAAUGCGACAUUCAUUACCGAGGGAAGUAAGAUUCUGACGCUGAAAUUAUCUAAAAUUACGAGGAUGAGUCUAUAGUUGAUGGUUGGAAAAUAAGCUCUAUCGGAAAAAAGACUUGGGAGACAUCUUCAAGGAAGGGUUGAAACACCAGUACUGAAGGACAAGAGAGACCGCUUCGGCUUAGGAUUUAAGCCGGAUGCAAGACAAAGGAAAAAAGAGCUGGAAAAGAAACAAGAAAGAAAAAGAGUACGGUUGAAGGGGGAGGAAAUCAAAUGGGAGCUAAUGAUAUUCCUCCAUAUAUCAAAAACUUUUGUGUCUGGAGGAAUCAUUCAUCUCGAGAGGGGCACACCAAGAAAGGAAACCAUAGAAGAAAAGUUAGAUAGCUUAGACAUCAAUGCCACAUACGAAGAAGGGGCUAGAGGAGAAAGUUUGUCGGGCAUUUGUCCCUACAUACCUGGAAGUGUUCUGGAUAACUGGACUGCGGAAGAGAUUCCUGUAGUUUUUAGAGCUGACUCAGAGUAAUGUCCAAAAUACACUUAUUGCUUUAGGCCUAGGAGUAAUAAGAAUCUUUUGUGAAAUAGGCUUAUGUUCAAAAACGUUAUUUCAAUAAAAUGCAUAGUUAUUAUCAUUUUGAGCAGAUAUUCUUGCAUUCUUUCUAUUUCAUUCAUAAUCAUAUUAUAUAAAUAAUUAUUUUGGAUUCUUUUGUCCUUCGAACAUUCUUCUAAACAUCAUUUCGUUCUUCAUCAUACCAUACAGAUACAUAUUCUUAAAUUAUUUUGGUUCUUUGUAUCUCCCUUCUUCCUCAUAACAGGUCCCCAAAUAUCAAUGAUAUGAGUGACACUGCUAGCGGAUCAGAGUCUCCUUUUGAGCGAGAUAUGUGUAUAGAGGAUUUUCAGGAUUUAGAAGAUGACCAAGGCUGUAACCUAUCUCCUGAUUUGUUGAGGAUGGUAGAACAAAAUGAGAAACAAAUCCUACCUCACAAAGAAUUAGUAGAAAUUGUGAGCUUAGGAGAGGGACAAGAGGUGAAGAUAGGAACUUGUAUCACCAUGGAGAUGAAGCGAGACCUUAUCAAAUUACUUCAAGAAUUCAAAGAUGUCUUCGCAUGGUCAUACCAAGAUAUGCCCGGGUUGAACACUGAUAUCGUGGUGCACCGACUCCCCAUAAAGGAAGAAUGUAAGCCAGUUCAGCAAAAACUCCGAAGAAUGAGGCCCGACGUCUUGCUAAAAAAAAGAAGAAGUUAGAAAGCAGUUUGACACUAGAUUUUUAAAAGUGGUAAAAUAUUCAGAAUGGGUAGCCAAUAUCGUCCUCGUCCCUAAGAAGGAUGGGAAAGUACGAAUGUGUGUAGACUACAAAGAUCUGAAUAAAGCCAGCCUGAAAGAUAAUUUCCUACUACCUCAUAUUGACACCCUAGUGGACAAUACGGCAGGACACUCACUGUUUUCCUUCAUGGACGGUUUCUCUGGAUACAACCAGAUCAAGAUGCAUCCUGAAGACAUGGAGAAGACCACAUUUGCAACCAUGUGGGGGACGUUCUACUAAAAGGUGAUGCCAUUUGGACUAAAAAAUACGGGGGGCAACAUAUCAAAAGGGCCAUGGUAUCCCUGUUUCACGACAUGAUGCACAAAGAAAUCGAAGUUUACAUCGACGAUAUGAUCGCAAAGUCCCGAACAGAGAAGAAGCACGUACAAGUCCCGAGGAAGUUGUUCUUAAUGUUGAAAAAGUUUCAACUAAAACUUAAUCUGGCUAAAUGUACCUUCGGAGCCAAGUCUAGAAAGCUUCUCGGAUUCGUGGUUAGCGAGAAAGGGAUUGAGAUCGAUCCAGACAAAGUCAAAGCCAUACAAGAGCUAUCUCCGCCGCGUACCCAGAAAGAGGUUCGAGGCUUUAUAGGAAGAUUAAAUUACAUAGCUCGGUUCAUUUCACAACUAACAGAGAAAUGUGACCCUUUUUUCGCCUCCUCAAGAAACACAACCCAGGUGAAAGGGAUGAAGAAUGCCAAAGAGCUUUCGACAAGGUCAAACAGUACUUAUCCAAUGCUCUGGUGUUGAUGCCACCUAGCCCCGAUAAGCCAUUGAUAUUAUAUUUGGUUGUAUUUGAGAAUUCCAUGGGAUGCGUACUGGGUCAACAUGAUAAGUCAGGAAGGAAAGAAAAAUCUAUUUACUACCUUAGUAAAAAGUUCACUAAAUGUGAGACAAGAUAUUCGCCAAUAGAAAAGUUGUGUUGUGCCCUAGUUUGGACAACCCGAAGGUUGAGGCAGUAUAUGUUAUAUCACAUGACUUGGCUUAUUUCAAAUCUGGAUUCUUUAAAGUACAUGAUGGAGUCCACAGCUUUGAACGGAAGAAUGGCCCGAUGACAAAUUUUGCUUUCUGAAUUCGACAUAGUCUCUGUGAACCAGAAAGUAGUAAAAGGGAGUGCAAUAGAAGAUUUUCUAGCCAGUAGAGCUUUGGAAUAUUACGAGCCCUUGAACUUUAAUUUCCCGAAUGAAAACCUGAUGUGUGUUGCAACCACUGAAAAAGGUACUUCGGAAGAACUUCCCUGGAAACUAAACUUCGAUGGAGCAUCAAAUGCCGUGGGUAAUGGAAUCGAGGCAGUCUUGGUAUCCCCAAAUGGAGAUCAUUAUUCAUUUACUAGUAAAUUGGAUUUUAAUUGUACGAAGAACAUGACAGAAUAUGAAGCGUGCGUCAUGGGUAUCUGUGCAGCCAUAGAACGUAAAAUUAAAGUGCUAGAGGUAUAUGGAGAUUCUGAGCUAGUGAUUUAUCAACUCAAGGGAGAAUGGGAAACUAGAGAUCCCAAGUUGAUCGAUUAUCAGAAACUGGUCCUUGAAUUAGCUAAAAAGUUCGAUGAUAUUGCCUUUCUCCACUUUCCACGGGACGAAAAUUAGAUGGUUGAUGCUUUGGCCACCUUAGCUUCCAUGAUCAAGGUGAACAAAUAAUAAGAUGUCAAACCUAUCCGAAUAAGCAUUUAUCAAACUCCAGCUCACUGUUACAAUAUUGAAGAAGACGAAGAAAAAGAUGAUCACCCUUGGUAUCACGAUAUAUUGCAAUACGUGAAAAAUCGUGAAUACUCAAACUAGGCAAGCGAGAAUGACAAAAGGACACUAGAAGAUUGGCUAUUGACUAUGUCUUAGAUGGGGAGAUCCUAUACAAAAGAAGAAAGGAUCAAGUAGUAUUGAGAUGCUUAGAUGCUAUAGAGGCUAAGAAAAUCUUGGAAGAAGUCUAUGAGGGCGUCUAUGGGACACACGCUAAUGGCUUUACAAUGGCUAGGUAAAUUAUGAGAUUUGGGUAUUAUUGGUCCACUAUGGAAGGAGACUGUGUCAAUUACGCCAAGAAAUGUCAUAAAUGCCAAAUCUGUGGAGACAAAAUUCAUGUGCCUCAUUCGCCGCUGCAUGUCAUGACUUCCCCAUGGCUGUUCUCUAUGUGGGGUAUGGAUGUGAUUGGACUAAUAUCCCCAAAAGCUUCUAAUGGGCAUCGAUUCAUCUUUGUGGUUAUUGACUACUUCACCAAGUGGGUAGAAGCCGCUUCAUAUGCCAAUGUUAUAAAGUCGGCAGUGAGCAAAUUCCUAAAAAAGGAGAUCAUAUGUCAAUAUGGAAUGCCGGAGAGAGUCAUAUCUGAAAAUGUAUUAAACUUGAACAAUAGUGUGAUAGCAGAAGUCUGCAGUCAAUUCAAGAUCAGACACCACAACUCGUCACCAUAUCACCCAAAAAUGAAUGGGCCAGUGGAAGCGGCCAAUAAAAACAUUAAGAAGAUUGUGGGAAAGAUGACUGAGACCUAUAAAGAUUGGCAUGUGAAGUUACCAUUUUCUCUCUUUGCUUAUCGAACAUCAGUCAGAACCUCUACUAGGGCAACGCCUUUCUCUUUGGUCUAUGGAAUGAAAGCGAUUUUGCCAAUCGAAGUCAAGAUCCCGUCCCUUCGAGUGUUGUCGCAGUUAAAGUUAGAUGAAGUAGAGUGGAUCCAGUCUUGAUACGAUCAAUUGAACUUGAUUGAAGAAAAGAGGCUAAGAGCUAUCCAUAAUAGUCAGAUGUACCAAAAACGAAUGAUGCGGGCUUAUGACAAAAAGGUUAGCCCAAGAGAGUUUCAUGAGGGAGAUCUGGUUCUGAAAAAGAUCAUUCCUAUACAGAAGGAUUUUAGAGGAUAAUGGAUGCCAAAUUGGAAAGGACCUUUUGUGGUAAAGAAAGCUUUUUCUGGAGGAGCAUUGAUCCUAGCCGAGAUGGAUGGUAAAAACUUACCCAAUCCUGUGAAUUCGGAUUCCGUCAAGAAGUAUUUUACCUAAAGAGAGGGAGGCCAAAGUGAAAACCAGCAAAGGGCGCUUUGAGACCCCCCCAAAAAAGGAGAGGCCAAGGUGAAAACCCGCAAAUGACACUUUAAGACCAAAGGGGUUUUUAAGUUGAAGACCCAAAAAUGGGCAGCUCAAAUCUUGAAUACGGGGCAUGUGGUAGCCUUGUCCUCCUCAAAUUAACAAGAGAGAAGAACAGUACAUCUUAGGGCAUCAACAAAAUACACGGGAUCUCCUGAACACAUUUUUAGCGUGAAAUGGCCUUUGAGAAGUUGGAAUAGUGAAGCUCGUGCUGCGAUAUCUGGGGCAUCUUUUUCUCAUCUUAUAUUGUACUUUAGCAGAUUUGCUAUCCUGUUUAAUUUAUUCACUUUGAGUUUUGCUCCAUAAAAUUCCAUCUUGUCCAUUAUGAUAAUCUCUUUCGAGCAUUUUUGUUGAAAUCACGAUUUUUGGACUUAUAACAUUCACACAACAGAAGUUAUGCAUAUUACUCUGGAAGGUCUCUAAAUGAUACAAGGACCUGAAACAGGGCCACUAGUCAGGACUAACCAGAUUCAAAAGUUGGAAACAUUGGAAAAAAUAGUCCAAAUUGUGACUAUUUCUUCAAAUUUUCUGUCAAAGAUACGGGGUAAACAAGAAGACACGAUAGCAUAUCAAUGAUAGAACCCUGAUGAACUAUGAGCUAUGACGCCUUAAGCAUUUAAAAAGGAAUCACUCUCAUGACAUUUACAUUCAUAAUCAUUCAUCUAGUUAGGAGCGUUGGAUUCAUUUUGAUCAUGGCAUCCUAAUUAUUUGGCAAAAGCAUAGAUACAGGAAACCAAUUUUACAAAUCAUGUCCUUAGAAACGGUGUAGCAACAUUGGUGAAUUCACAGAUCUUGUCUCCCUAAAUAGUAGUAGAGCAGAUCGAAGAAGCAAGCCUUAACCCCUUAAAUAUUAGGGUAACAGGCUGAAGAUUGCAGAUCUCUCUCCAGUGGAGUAGAUCGAAGAAGCAAGCCUUAACCCCCUAAGUAGUAGGGUAACAAGCUGAAGAUUGCAAAUCUCGUCUCCAGCGGAGCAGAUCGAAGAAGCAAGCCUUAACCCCCUAAGUAGUAGGGUAAUAGGCUGAAGAUUACAGAUCUCGUCUCUAGUGGAGCAGAUCAAAGAAAACAAACCUUAACCCCCUAAGUAGUAGGGUGACAGGCCAAAGAUUGCGGAUUUUGUCUCCCUGAAGUUUCAGUGGAGCAAAUCAAAGACAGUGAGCCUUAACUCCCUAAGUAGUAGGUAACAGGUUGAAAAUUACAAGUCUUAUCUCCCUGGAGUUGCAGUGGAGCAGUUGCGGUAGAACAAAUUAAAAGCUACAAGGCUAGUCUCUUUAGAGUUACAACGGAGCAAAUUGAAGCAACAAUUCCUAUAUCCCUGAAGUUGCAGAGGAUCAGAACAAGGCUACCUCGAAGAAGAAAAACAUCAAAGAAGUCAUGAUUCUGCGAGACUGGGCAAAAUUGGCCCUCUUUGAAGUCUUUGCUCUAUUCUUGUUACACGACAAUGAGCAAAGAGGGGCAGCUGUAAGCAGGCCAAUUUGCCCAGGUUCACAUCAAGACCAAAUAAAGAAACAAAAAAACCAAAACAGUCUAUUAAAUGUCCAAUUACAUGACAAAACCCAAAAAAAUAACUAGCCCAAUUACAAAUCCCUAACCCAAAACCCUGAUGGCCUAAUAGGCCCAAUGCCUAAACCAAAUCUCAGCCAAGGCAAACCCUAGCCUAAUGCUUGCGCCGCAACCAGACAACGCCUCUGUACGCUCCAGCGUUUCAGCAGCCAUGCCCGCGCCUCCGUACGCCAGCACAGCCCCCGUACUCGCUCCACGCACACUUGUAUCUGCAAAAAGACGAACGCACAGCAAAACAAAGAACAAACAUUGUAUUUUUUAUCUACUUUUUUUCUUUCUUUCUUUUCGGCUAUAAAGCCAAGAUUUUUAAUCUUUGUAAGGGGUUAAAAAAUAUAGACACACUACGCAUACGAAACGAAAAAUAGAAAAAAGUAAAGAAAGGUGAUUUCCGUUUUGAGUCUCUGGAUCUAUUGCGUUUUUUCUCUAUCUGCUUCCUUCAUUUUUUCUUUCUCAUUUUUGCAUUUAAAAACAAAAGAAAAGGGAAAACAAGACCUUACCUUGCGAAUCCGCCAUUGAUCCUCUCUUGCUUCGUCGAAAUCGAAGCUAAAAGAGGGAUUUUGAGGCCAAAGAGCAACAAGUUAAAGCCAGAAGCACGAGGCACCGUUCUUGAUGGUGGUUUGAUCUUGAGAAGGGGACUUAAGGUUCGGCUAAAGGGGAAAAAGAAAAGGCUAGGGUUGCAAAAGAGAUUCGACUGAAUGAAGGCAUGGUUUGGCCUUUUUAAGGAAACAAAAAUGACUCCGUUUCAACCAAUCUAAAUGGUUAAAAAACAACGUCGUUUGGUAAGAGCCCCGACCCGAUCCGUUCCCGAAUACCUUCAGGACCCGCGUGUUUUUGCGAUGAAGGGUUAUUUGCAAGAUUGGCCCUCCCCCUUUUGCGUUGCAUUUCAAUCAACUUACAUUUGUAUUUCUUUGUUUUUUUUUUUAAAUUAUCCCUGUAACUUGCGCGUAUUUGCACUUUGGUCUGUGCUUCAGCAUUGCGUUUUGGGAUCUGGAUUAUUGCCAGAUUUGGUCCCUGCGCAUUCGCACAUGUUGUACGCUGGUCCUUUUUUUUAUUUUUUAACAGUUUAUUACAUUUAUAAUUUGUCCCUUCUAUUUUAAUUCUAUUUUAAUUGAGUUUCCCUUUUUUAUUUAUUUAUUUUGUGGUUCAUUAUCACUUUUUUUUUUGGAUACAUUCAACAUCUUUUUGAUCCUUGUUUACUUAUUAUUUACAUUUUAAGUUAUUUUAAUGAUUGUAAAAUCACUGUUGUAAUGCUUCUUUUUAUACACUAUUAUAUAUAUAUAUAUUUAUACACUUUAUAAUAAAGUUAAUAUUAUUUUAUGCAUAUUGUUAAUCUUAUAUUAUUUUAUACAUAUAAUUUCUUUUAAAUUUUCUUAUAUUGUAUUACAUAAUCCUACAUAAUAUAUCUUUUAAAUUAUUAUUAUAUAUGUAUAUAUAUUUAUUGAUGCCUAUGUUUAAUCUAUAUACAUUACUAAACCCAUGCAUUUUGUACAUAUAGUUUUCUUUAUAUAUAAGUAUUUUCUUAAAUCUAUCAUAUAUAAUUUAUAAUAAAAUUAAUUUAAUCUUAAAUACAUUAUUAAGUACAAGUUUUUGUUACAAAUAAUUAUUUCUUAAUCUAUUUAAGCAUAUGUUUUGUAAAUCUAUUGUGUGUAUUUUCUAAAAUUCUAUUUUAUCAUGCGUCUUGGCCACCCGUUCAUGUUUAUAUAUUAUUAAGUUCUCCUUUAUUAUAUGUACUUUUUAAAAUAUUUUGACACCUUGUACAUUAUUUGAUUUUAAAAUAUUUAUUUUAUAACACGUAUUUUAACAAUUAUGUAUGAAUAUCUCUAGUUUGUUUUUACAAAUUAUUUUAAAUUCAUCAAUUCAUAUAUUAUAAGUUAUGUGUUCAUUAAUUCAUCAUUAUGUUGGAAAAUGUCUUAUACCACAUCAACUUCUAAAUUCUAUUUUGUUUUGUACAUGUUUUGUGGAUUGAUUUAUAUGGUGCCAUACAUUGUUGUAUAUAAUUUAUUUAUUGUUUUAUUUGUUAUAUUAAUUGUUUGUCAUCCAUGCUUGCGAGUUUGACUAUAUUUUUUAGAUCAGUUAUGCUUAGUUAUUAGUUUGUCAAUUGGCAUUGUAUUUUAUGUGUGCAUAUUACCCCAAGUUCUAUUUUUCCUUUAGUCUACAAAUGUCGCAUUAUGAUUUUCAACUUCUUCUUUAAAAUUUUUUUAACUAAUUAUUCUAUUCUAUUUCAAGUCAAAUUAAUGCGUUUUAAGCUAGUUUUAUAAUUAUUCAUUUAAAAAUUCUUUAAAACGAAGGCAAGGUUCGGUGUUUGGCAAUUCGGGGAAUCGUGCCCUAUCCUGCUGGGUUGCAAUUUACCGUUUGUUCAAAAUAAUCGAGUAUUCCUUUGGAAUUUCACUCAUGUCUUUAAAAAUUCUUUAUAACGAAGGCAACAUUUGAUGUUUGACAAUUCGGGAAACCAUGCCCUAUCGUGCUGGGUUGCAAUUUCCCGUUUGUUCAAAACAAUCAAAUAUCCCUUUAGAAUUUCACUAAUAUUUUCUAAACUCUAAAAUAAGGCAAUGUUCAAAGUUUGAAAAUUUGGGGAAUCGUGCCCUACCGUGCUGGGUUUCGAUUUUUCGUUGGACUGAAUAAUUGGGCAUCCUUUUGUAAUUUUCAACAUAUAAACUUUCGGAAGUCAAAAUUUAUUGUUGUUUUCGGGGGUAUGAAGGAUCGUGUCCUAUCAUGCUAGAUGUGAUGCUGCAUUCCUCCGAAACAAGAGAAUUUUGACAACCAACUCGAGCCAUUCAAAUGCUUCAAAAGGAAUCACAUUUCAAUAACUCUUUUAAAUCUCAGACAUAAGGAUAGUAUUUAAUUAAUUUGGUACCAAUUUUGGGCGUAAUGAGGAUGCUAAUCCUUCCUCAUACGUAAUCGACUCCCGAACCUGUUUUCCCAAAAUUUCGUAGACCAAAAUCGUUGUUUUAGUAAACCCAAAUGUUUUAUUAAAAUGACCAAAAUUCUUGGUGAUCCAAUCACACCUAAACAAAAAAGAUUGGUGGCAGCUCCACAUUUUAUUUUCAAAAAAUCGAUUCCCCGUUUUUCUUUAAAUUUUAAAAAUGGUUUCGACAAUGACUGGGACGUAUUCUUCUCUAUACAACUAAGGGAGCGAGAAAAGAGAUGCUUGGGGAAUUGAAAAGUAUGGUUUGGCAACCAUAACUUAUUCCAAAGCAUUCUAUUAUUGCUUGGAUGACUAUUCUUGCCAGACUUGCUACAUAAGGGGAACUUAUUCUAAAAGGUCUUAAUGUGGAUGGGCAACGCAAGCUUUGUGAUAGUGGUUUGGAGACGAGGGAUCAUUCUUUCUUUGAUUUCGAAUUUUCUCAACAGAUUUGGGAAGCUGCUGUUAGACUUUGUAAAAUUGAUAAAAGGGCUUUGGCUUGGUGGCACCAACAUGAGCUUCAGUGGGCAUAUACUAGACUUAAAAAGGGAAAGCUCUUAUUACAAUAAUCCAAAAACUUGUUUGGAAUUAAUGUUGUAAUUUACUUUGUAUAGGAAGAGAGGAAUAGAAGACAAUUCAGAAAUUAACAAAGGAGUUACUGAACAUUGUCUAAGAGACUGUUCUUGCUAGACUUAGGGGGAAGAUAAUUGAUAGAAUUGAUGCUGAACGUUAACUUGCAACAGUGUAUCGGUCAGGGAUUGAUUGAUUAAUGGCUUGGUGUGUAUAGUUUGAUAUGUACAAGAGAUUGGUGUGUAUAGUUUUCAAACAAUAAUCCAUCAUAAUUAGUGUCCGAAUACAAAAGAAAAAGGAAGUUCCAUUACUUAUUCAUGACAUAAAGUACAUAAAAAAUCACUCGACACAAUAGCUCGACACAAUAGAUUUAGUAGCGUUUGGCAUGAUACAAUUAUUCAAUUAUAAGAAACUAAAACAUAGCAAUGGAAUUUGAGCAUAGGACUCAAAUUGAUUAUUUCUAAAAUUAAAUUUAAGCCAAAACCGGGAUUUUACUUGCCAAUAUGGGCAUGUUUUCAAUCAGAAAUUGGUGGUGAGAGAGAAGCAAAGGCUUGGAGCUGCUCGCCAGAGUCAAUGUGUUUUGCUGGUUUGGAAAAGGCAAAAAGGAAUAAAUCCAUGAAAUCAAAAUCCUUGAAAAGUUGAGGAUGUUGCUAAUCUAUAAGCUCUUUGGGUGCUUUAAUUAUGGUACCCUCAACUGGAAUGGCAAAAGUUGCUAUAGAAAAUCGAUCUUUUUCUCCGCUCAUUAUCACUCUAUGAUUCACCGCUUUUAAUCUCCCAUUACUCCAUGCCUUCAAUUUUUGAAAUCAAAAUUAAUAAUCAUUUUAUGAUAAUUAUUCAGAUUCAACGUCACUAAUCUAAUAUCUCUCUAAAUAUUUUAUUAUGAGUAAGAUAAAUUCAAAAUUUUGAAUCAAAUUCUAGUGACAGCAAAUUUUUGACCCUUAAAUUUCAUGUUCUAUAUAUUUACAUAGAUCAUAUAUGCAUUUUAAGUUUUGCGUAAUUUAAAAUUGAACAUUAAUCACAUAUAUACCUUGAGAGGAUCUCCAACAACAAAGCAAAAGGAAGAAGGAGAUAAAGACAACUUGAUCCAUUGGCCGUUGACAUCAAUUUCUAGUCCUGAAACUUGAUCAUCACAAAUGAUUGUGCUGACAGGUUUAUCAGUAUGAGCAAAGAGUCCUUUCUCAUACUCUCCCGGUGGAGGGGCCAUGUAUUUCAUAAAUCUCACCAGUGAUUUGUAGUUUAUCAUCACAGACUCCCAUUUCUCCCCUAAUCCAUAACUAUCAAUUAUCAUUAACCAAAUUAACUUGUUCAACUCCUCUAUUUGUGUCGUCAUGGUAUGUAGAGUGUUACUGAUACGAAAGAUCAAAAGAAAAUGUGAAAAACAUGAAUUUGCUCUACUCGAAACAAAAAUGAAUUCGAAAUAAUUACAUAAAAGAACCAAAACAUGAAAAAGAUAUAAGAAUUUAUUAUUACCAAAAGCGUGGGUGACCAUCUGGCCACAUAAGUUGAGUAAAACUUUUAACAGAGUCAUAGUUGGAGGCAUCUUCAAGUCCGAAGCCUUCAUAUAACAAAGAAACCUGAUUGCAUGGUCCAACCCAGCCAUGGUAAGGCAAGGGACUAAUGUUCUUCUGUUUCCUUUCCACUGGGACCGCAAUCAGUUCUUUCAUCAACUCGAAAGUCUCUUCUCGGACUUUUGCUGAAAUCUUUUCGUACACCACCUCAAAACAGCCGAAAGUCUCGCAAGCCUCUCGAACCCUUUUGCACAAACGGUGCCACCCAUCAGUUCCUCGCUUCAAAUCCGAUGGACGGAACUCAAUGACUGGGAACUCAAUCUUAGCAUUGACACCCAUGUUCUUAACUUUAUUUUGCUCUAAGGAAAUGUUCUUUUGGAAUAAAUGAGCUUGUAGAUUAACUUGGUUUCUCUUUACGUUGGGAGUCAGUUCUAUUUAUAGCCUUUUCUCAAGGGUGGCCAGGUGAAUAGAAACAUCUCUAUUAACUUUCCGGUUCUUUUUUUAAUUUGAUUAACAGAGGCGCACUGGUCGCAGGAAAUUCUAAACAGUACUUAAUAUAAAAUUAAGAGUUGAAUUCAAUUGAAAGAAUUGAACAAAAAAGGAAAUAAGAGUUAGUUCCAUAUUACGUAUCUAAUCAAAUAAGUUAAGGAAUAAUUUAUAUUAGGGUAUUUUAAUAUAUAUAAUUUUUAGGUACUAAUAAAAUAAUAUCAUAUCAUCAUCAAUUUUUGAAAAGAUACAAAUAUUAAUUUACAUUCAAUGAGAUAGGAUAUCAUCUCUAAUUUAAUUAUUAUUUUUGGGAGAAAACGUUGAAACUAUAUGUGAGAAAAAAACAUAAACAAAAAUAAAUAAAAUUUGAAAAAUGUUUAAAUCAAUAAUUAAAAAUUAUUUAAAUAUUUCUUUUUGUACUUUUUGAUACCCAGUAAGCAUUUGUCUUUGAAGUGAAUGAUUGAUUUAUUGUAAAGGUUAUUUGGUAUACAAAAAUAAAGGUCUUUUUUUAGAUGCAUUUUAAAAGUUUAAUUGCUAUUUUUGAAAAAGUUUGAGGACUUUUUGCACCAUUAAGCUAAUUUUUGAACAUUACAACUCGUAAGAUAAUCCAUAUGUAUUUCAUCCUAUUUCUUUGAAUUUUUUAUAUAUUUUUUUGAAAUUCGAAUAUUUUAUUUUGUUAAAAUUUAAAUUAUUUGUUGACUUGGCAUGUAAAACAAAUAGUGUAAUAGCAAUAUGAAAUAUAAAUAGAUUGUCUCACCGGUGGCCACUCUAACAUCGUUAAAAAAAUUAAGGUUUUAGUCAAUAUUUUCAUUAAAGAAAAAUAAUUUAACUUUUUUUGAAAGAUAAAUGUCUAAAUUUAUCUUAAGAAAAAAAAGAAAAAAUUAAUAAAAAUAUAAUUAUUAAAGGUUAAAUUUAUUAUUAUAUAAAAAAACUUUCUUCCAAAUUAAGAAGGAUGAACGUCAUCACAAGUUGGCAUAUUGCUUUAUUUUAUUUUUUUUGGUGAAAGGCAUGUUGUUUUAUUAGACGAAACAGUAGGUUCAUAAGUCCCUAGAAAAAGUCAAUGUUGGGGAAGGAAAAGGUCGCUUGAAAGGAUGGGGCUAUACCCAGUUUUUAGGCUUCCACCACCUUCCUUUCUUGUAUGUGAGUAUGGUGGUGGAACCCAUUCACAUAAAACAAUGCAAGUCCAUGUCCAUGGAGUCGGCCAUGGAGCUGUCUUGAUAGCUAGCUAGUCCCCUCUUUAACAAGGGUAGCAAUAGAGUUGUGGGGGAAUGGAUAUUAUCUUAUUUACUUUAUAUCCUUUUAGAUAUAUAAGUUUUCGAUACCACGUCUUAUUCUUUAAAUUGUAAUUAUUAUUAAAAUAAUUAAUAUAUAAAAUAUUUAAAAAUAGAAGACUUUGAAAUUAUAAUUAAGUAAUUGUAUAAUAUUGGAAAAAGUAUAUUUGUAUAAUCUUUACAAGAUAAAUAUAUUUCAUAUUUAUACUUUUUAUUCUUCAAAUCAUAAAAUAUAUAAUUUUUACGUACUAAUAAAAGAAUAUUAUAUCAUUAAUACCUAAAAAUUAUAUAUUUUAAAAUACUCCAAAUAUAAUUUAUUCUGGAACAAUUUAUUAAGAUUCUCUUCCAUUUGAAUGAUUAAAAUAUCAGUGUAAUUUAUGGCUAAUUGUUAGCUCUUAAAUUUGAACGUCAAUGCAUGCAUAUAACAAUAUCAUUCGUGUUCUGCUUUGGCGACUGUAUGUCCUGCGAACCCUGUUUUCGCCUCUGGUUUUGUAGAUGGUUUGGAAAACCAACAUGGCAUAAACAAGUAGACAAAGUUAGGUAGAAGACAAUGUGCUGACAUCAUUACUAUGAAAUUAGAGGUGACUAACUGAUUUAAAAAAUAAUAAUUUAAAAUUUUCAUAAAAGCCGUCACAUUGCAUUUUAUUUUCUUUAUAAAAAAAAGUUAAUUAGUUCUUGGACGUUACAUUAAAGCACAAUUUUAUCUAUUUGUAUUGUUAAAAAUUGACGUGGUUGAUGAAAUAACCACAUGUACUUCAUGUUGACGUACAGGGGCAGUUUUUAGCAAUAAAUUAAAAUUGAUGGAAUUUCUAACCGAAUGACCAAUUUGCUCUAUAUUCUAAGGUACAAGACUAAUUUAUUUAUUUAUUGAGUACAUGGGGCAAAAUAGAAUCUAACUCUUAAUACAUGAGUCUCCAUGAUACUUUUACCCUACUAUUUAAAAAUAAUAACUUAUUAAAAACAUAACCUUAUAUUAAUAUUUAUAUAUUUUUAUAAUUAAAAUUUAAAGUUAUUUAAUUUAAAUACUAGUCUAUCCAAGGAAAAAAAUUUCUUGCCCAGCCUGACUCACGUAAGGCUGAUCCUACCAAGCCAGCCAAACUUAUUUUUUGUUUUUAGAGAUUGUGUGAUUCGAAUCUCGUCAUUUGUUGAAGAAAUAAAUACAGUGACUGAAUAAUGGGAUCUGUGGGGGUGAAAGGCCAAUGGCCACCAUAAUUCCCAUUAAGCACAAAAUUGGACUAGGGUUGCGAUCGGGGAUCACCCCUGUGGUAUGGGCUAUAUAGCAUAAGUUGAAUCCGUAUAGAAAUAUUCUUCUUCUAUUUAACUUUGAUUAGAAUAGGGGUUUUCAACCCUUAAAUAGAUAUAGUCGAAACUUCUAUUGUAUUAUUCGUUUUUCAAUAUUAGUGAAUUUUUCCUCUUCUGCCCGUGGUUUUUUCCCGAAAGGGUUUCAACGUAAAAUCUGUGUGAGUUCUUUUUUUUUUCUUUUCUUAUUACUUUGCGGUCGUUCUAUUGUCAUUAUCGACGUUUAUUAUAACAUUUUUAAAUAUAUAUUUCUAUACAUUCGUAUAUAUUUAUUCUUCUAUUAUUUCUAAAGGGUAAAAUUUACUUAACCCUCUCAGGUUUGAAGAAAGCACCUUAACAUCUAUUUACAAAAUAAAUUUUAAAUGAAAAUUAAUUAUACCCGUUUUAUUAUUUAUUUAUUUAUUUAUGUAUUUUCUAUUUCAUUUAAUCACUUUUUAUUUUUAAUUACAAAACAAUAAAAAUAUAGUUACAUAUUAAAAUGAUAAAUUUAAAUAUAUUUCACUUUUUUCAUAAAAAAUAACAUUUAACUUCAAUUAACAUUAAUUAUAUUAAAUUUAUUUUAAUUCUGUUUUAUAUUAACAUCGAGAUAAAUUUAUUAAAUUAAUUUUAAGUAAAAUUAAUUAACUAUAUUUAUUUAUAAGGUUCUAACAAAAAUGAAAUUGAUUAUAUUACAAAAGUAAAAUAUCAUCUCAACAUUAAUAUAUAAUUUAUAUUAAAAUUCAAAUAAUUAACAUGUAUUUGGAUAAAAAAAUCUUUAAAAGAGAAGACAAAAAUAAAAUAUAAUUAUUAUUGAUAAUACAUUUUUAAAAACAACUUACAAUCAAUAAUACCCUAGCUUAAUAGCAAGGGGAAGGCCUCGAGAACUUUAAUAUUAGGGAUGAUAAUGGAGUGGGAUAGGGUGGAUGUUGCUAAAUUCACUACUGCUCCACAACUCACCUCACUCCAUUAUAGAUGUAUAAUCUUAAAAACUAUUAACACCUCCAUGGAUGUUAGAUGCAUCCAUCACUGCCUCGCGCCACCCCUCGCUCUGCUUCAAUUUAAUNNNNNNNNNNNNNNNNNNNNNNNNNNNNNNNNNNNNNNNNNNNNNNNNNNNNNNNNNNNNNNNNNNNNNNNNNNNNNNNNNNNNNNNNNNNNNNNNNNNNNNNNNNNNNNNNNNNNNNNNNNNNNNNNNNNNNNNNNNNNNNNNNNNNNNNNNNNNNNNNNNNNNNNNNNNNNNNNNNNNNNNNNNNNNNNNNNNNNNNNNNNNNNNNNNNNNNNNNNNNNNNNNNNNNNNNNNNNNNNNNNNNNNNNNNNNNNNNNNNNNNNNNNNNNNNNNNNNNNNNNNNNNNNNNNNNNNNNNNNNNNNNNNNNNNNNNNNNNNNNNNNNNNNNNNNNNNNNNNNNNNNNNNNNNNNNNNNNNNNNNNNNNNNNNNNNNNNNNNNNNNNNNNNNNNNNNNNNNNNNNNNNNNNNNNNNNNNNNNNNNNNNNNNNNNNNNNNNNNNNNNNNNNNNNNNNNNNNNNNNNNNNNNNNNNNNNNNNNNNNNNNNNNNNNNNNNNNNNNNNUAAUCCAUAGCUAUCGAUAAUCAUUAACCAGAUUAUAUUAUUUAGCUCCUCCAUUUGCUUCACCAUGGUGUUAAUGGUUUGGCUGGGACAAAAGAUCGAUCAGUUGACAUACAUAAUGAUUUGUUAGAUUUAAAUUGACAAAAUAUCAAUCAGUUGACAUAUAUAAUGAUUUUGAAUUUAGAAUUUUUUUUUAAAGUUCCAAAAAUUGAGUAGUUUGACGAGUCUAAAUUCCAAAUAUGUUAAAUGGAAAUGAUAGAAACUUGAAUUCGCUAGGAUGAAGCUAGAAAUUUUAUAGUGGGAGAUCGAAGUUGAACUAGAUAAUUUUGGGGUAAAAUAUAAAUUUACUCUUUUGUUAAUUGAAUUUUAUCAAAAAAUAAAUAUUUAAAGAAGUCAUUUUACCGUUGAUUGAGUUUUAACUUGAUUGGUAUUGGCAUUGUUGCUAGUGCAAGAGGACAUAGAUUCAAGUGUGUUGAAAUGCAUUAUCCUCUUAUUUAAGGGUUAGGGAGGAGUUAUGGGUAAUUUUAGGCAUUAUAUCAAAAAAGGCAGAUAUGAUAAAAGCAGUAUUUGGUUCAAUUUUAUUAAAUUUGAAUAAGUUCUGAUUUGGUUAAUACUUCAAUGUAUUAAUUUUGGUUCAAAAUUUUUAAAAAAGUAAUUAUUUGAAUUAAAUUGAUCCUAUCAGAUUAUCCAACCCAUGAAAUUCACAUAUUUAACUAAAAAGAAUACGAAGGUGAAGAAUUUUUAUUACCUAAAUCGAGGAUGACCGUCUGGCCACAUAAGUUGAGCAAAAUUGUUAACAGAGUCGUAGUUGGAGGCAUCUUCAAUGCCGAAGCCCUCAUACAAACAAGCUUGGCUACAUGGUCCAAAAUAGCUAUGGUAAGGCUUGGGAUUAACGUUCAAUUGUUUCCUCUCUAAUGGGACGUCAACCAGUUCAUUCAACAACUCAAACGUCUCCUCUCGGACUUCUCUCGAUAUCUUUUCGUACACCACCUCGAAACAACCAUAGGUCUCGCAAGCCUCUCGAACCCUCUUGCACAAAUGGUGCCAUCCUUCGGUCCCUCGCUCCAAAUCCAGCGAACCGGUCCGAAACUCAAUGACCGGGAUCGCAAGUUCAGCAUCAACACCCAUGUGCUUGAUUUUUUAAAAAAUACUCUAACAAGUUUAUAUUCUUAGAGUAACUAGCUUGUAAAUUAUAUAACUCGGUCUCUCAUUACGUAGCAAUAUACUUCUAUAUAUAUAACAUCGUUUUCUAAAAGGCGACAAAGAGAAACAACCGAAGAAGCAUCUAUUAACUUCCCUAAGACCAUAAAAAGCAUCUAUCAGAAUCAUGACAUAGAUUUUGUAAAGAAUUUAAGUAUUAAUUUUGUAAUAAAUAUUAUAAUAUUCUUUUUCGUAUAACAUUAAGCAAUCAAAAUAAAUAGAUCAUUCAAUUCGGCGGAUUUGCCUUCAUAGCAUUGCAGACAAUCAGGGAAAACAAAUAUGAUAUAAUCAAAUAGACAAGUUCAAGUAGAAGAUAACAUGUUAGCAUAAUGAAAAGAUAUUUGAUCAUAAAAGACAAUUAGAAGAUAAUAUGUUAGUACCAUUACCAUGAUAAGAUCUUCAACCAUGAAAGACAAAGGAAUCUUUGGUUUUAAUUUUGUUAGACCCCCAGGCUUGAAUUUUCCUUACGCCUGCUAUAUAUGAACACCCCCACACGUCGAAAGUGGUUAAGUUCAAACUAUACCCUAGUCUAGGUUUAGAUUGAGCUCUACUAAAAAGGCAACCAUGCUAUGAGGGAUCCACUUCAAACCCUUAUUCAUCUAUAAAUACCCUCUCUUCCAACGAGAGAGAGACAUAAGACCAGAUAUAUAGCUAACACUCUACACAGAUACUACCUUUUAACACCUCCAAAACGUCACCUCUAGUAGCUCUCAACAUCCUAUGGUGUGAAUCACCAUCCUUGUAUUGUUCUACACUUCGCAUACUUAAAUUGUUGUAACAAUUGAUGACGUUUGUAUGAACUGGACAAAAAGCUAUGAUUCUAACUGGUAUGAAAUACCCUAAAAAUACAAGUUAACAAGAUCAACUACGAGUAAGGUAACUAAUAUUAUCAGAACUCAUAUUACAACCAAGAUAAAAACGAAAACCAUUAGUAUGGCCAAGGAGAUUACUACCAGUAGAAGAUUAUUACUAGUAACCUCAACAAGAGCAAUCGAGUAGGACUUUGUUUUGAUUUUUUUAUGAUGAUAGGGCUUUGAAUUUGAAGAUGUUGGGCUUCUAUAUUAUACUGAGAACUAAAUUGAAUUUUUGACUUAAUCUUAGGAUUAAUUAAUAAUAAAAUUUAAACAAAUUGAAGUUUUUUAUUUUAAAAUUGAUAAUUAAUUAAUUCAGAUUAGUGUUAAAUUGGCCCAAUAUUAGUGUAGGUUCCUUAUUCAAAUUUCAAAGCCCAGGUCUUUCGGUCAAAUUGAAUUUGGUGUAUGAUUGAGCUGGUAAGCUUACUCUUUAAGCCCAAAAGCCAAAAGUUAGUGCGAUUUUAGGUACUAUAAUUUGUUAAAAAAUUGCUCAUAAUUGUAAAUUUACAAGUUAAAAUAAAUUAAUUACAGAGGUAAUUUACAAGGAAAGAUAUUUAUACAACUGAGGUGUCUAAUAAGAGUGUGUUUAGGUGAGGAUUUAGAAUAGACAUCUCUAUGGACUCAGUCGAUGUCUGAUUUCAAAAUAUUUUGUAAGCCUAAGCUUAUUUUUGAAGUGGGUCAGGCCGUUUAAAAAGCCCAUUUUAUUAUUAAAAAAUUAAUAAAAUAUCAUACUUAUAUUUUCAAGUUGCUACUUUAUAUAUUUUUAUAACUAAAUUUUAAUUAAAAAUACUUUUUAUUAUUUAAAUCAAAUUCGAAUUAAAUCGUGCCAAUCCAAAGUAUAAAAAUUCUUGUCCAAGUCUGGCCCUAGUUGAGUCAGUCCUAUGGGGCCAAGCAGGCUACCUACCCUUUGGACAAGUCUAAAAAAAUUUUCAAAAUAUAAAUUUUUUGAAUAAACACAAUACAGAAUUAUAAAGGUUUAAAAAAAAAAAAACAAAAGUUUUGGGUAACUCAAAUUUUUUAUUCAAAUUCCACUUGAAUAGACGUGGUUUUCCAAACCCCUCCUAUUUAGUAGACGUGGUCUUACAAUGAAAAUACCAUUAACUUUAAAAUAUAAUAUUUAUUUAAAUUUUAUAUGUUUUUAUGUUUUAUAGUAUUUAAAAUGUAUUUUUAUAGAUAAAAUGAUAUUUAUAUUAUUUAUUUUAAUAUCAUUAUUUUUUUAUAAAUAUUUUUAUAAAAUUAUUGAAUUUCAUUAACUUAAAUUCUCUUAAAAAUUUAUAGUAUUUUAAAACUAAAAAUUUUCACAUUUUUUAAAAUUCUUAACCAAACCUACCAUAAAAAGUUUUUAAUAUUUGAAGUUAUGAAAAUUGUAAAGCUAUGUGUUGUAAGUUGUCACAUUCAAAUUUAAGACGAUAAUUGUGUUCUAUAAUAUUUAUAAAUUGUAAUUGAUUUGAAUCGAAUUGUUUGAACAUUUAAUAAAAUAAAAAUUAAAAAACUGAGAUUAAUUAAAGGGAACGAAAUUGAAUUUUAUUUUUAAAUUUAUAAUUAAUUUAAAUUUUUAUAGUGUAAAUUAUUUUAUAUUUAAUAUAGUAGAAUAACUUAAAAAAGACAAUGAUGUGGAUAAUUCAACAAGGACAUAUGGAAUAAAACAUGUUGGUAUGAUUACCAUGAAAUUAGAUGUUUCUCGGCUGAGUCAAAUUUGCUCAUAAACACAAGGAAAAUUCAAAUUUCUAAUUUAAUUCAAAAUAGUCUUCAAACAUUAACCCAUCAUAAUUCCAUUACUUAUUCAUGACAUAAGAUACACAAAAAUCAUCCGAAAAAUGGAUUCUUUUUAUUUGAAUAAAUUGACAUGAUAGAUUUAAUAACUUUUCAACAAUACAAUUGUCGAGUGAUUAUCGUAAUAUAAAGGAAGUUUUAUUACUUAUUUAUAAAAUACAAUACACAAAAAUCACUUAACAAUGAAUUUUUUUUUUGAAUAAAUCGACAUGAUAGAUUUAAUAACCUUUGCACAAUACAAUUACACAAUUAUAACAAAUUAAAACAUAGUAAUGAAUUCCGAAUAUAGGACUCAAAUUUGUUAUUUCUAAAAUUAAUUUUAAGCCAAAGCCAGGCUUUUUACUUGUCAAUACGAGACGAGCAUGCUUUUAAUUAGAAAUUGGUGGUGAGAGGGAAGCAAAGGCAUGGAGCUGUUCGCCGGAGUCGAUGUGUUUUGCUGGGUCGGAAAAAGCAUAAAGGAAGAAGUCCAUGAAGUCAAAAUCCUUGUAAAGCUGCGGGUGUUGCUCAUCUAUAAGCUCUUUGGGUGCCUUGAUUAUGGUGCCUUCGACUGGAAUGGCGAAAGCUGCUAUAGAAUACCUGUCUUUAUCUCCGCUCAUCAUCACUCUAUGAUUUACCGCUUUUAAUCUCCCAUUACUCCAUGCCUUCAAUUUCCAUAAUCAACAUCAAUAAGUAUUUUAUGAUAGUUAUUCACAUUCAACAUCACUAAUCUAAUAUCUCUCUCUAUUUUUUGCUAUGAGUAAGAUAAAUUCAAAAGUUUGAACUAGAGAUUUGUUGUCAACAUCAAUAAGUAUUUUAUGUUCUAUUCACAUAGAUCAUGGAUGCAUGUUAAAUUUUGAGUAAAUUAGAAAUAAAAAAAUUACCCCUAUAUUUAUACGCAUACAUACCUUAAGAGGAUCUCCAACCACAAAGCAAAAGGAAGAAGGAGAUAAAGACAACUUGAUCCAUUGGCCAUUGACCUCAAUUUCUAGCCCUGAAAUUUGAUCAUCACAAAUGAUUGUGCUGACAGGUUUAUCAGUAUGAGCAAAGAGUCCUCUCUCAUACUCUCCUGGUGGAGGGGCCAUAUAUUUCAUAAACCGCACUAAUGUUUUGUAGUUUAUCAUCACGGACUCCCAUUUCUCCCCUAAUCCAUAACUAUCAAUUAUCAUUAGCCAAAUUAACUUAUUCAACUCCUCUAUUUGUGUUGCCAUGGUAUGUACAGUGUUACUGAGACAAAAGAUAAAAACAAAAUGUCAAUAACUUGAAUUCCCUUAACCCGAACCAGAAAUGAUCCGAAUCUGAAUGACUAGAACAAGUAAAUUAAAAGUUAAAAAGGUAAAUAAAAAUAUUAUUACCAAAAAUGUGGGUGACCAUCAGGCCACAUAAGUUGAGCAAAGCUUUUAACGGAGUCAUAGUUGGAGGCAUCUCCAAGUCCGAAGCCUUCGUACAACAUGGAAACCUGAUUGCACGGUCCAACCCAGCCAUGGUAAGGCAUGGGACUAGCAUUCUUUUGUUUCCUCUCCACCGGGACCUCAACCAGUUCUUUCAUCAACCCGAACGUCUCCUCCCGAGCUUUUGCUGAUAUCUUUUCGUACACAACCUCGAAACAACCGAAAGUCUCGCAAGCCUCUCGAACCCUUUUGCACAAACGGUGCCACCCAUCGGUUCCUCGCUUCAAAUAAGAUGGACUAAACCCAAUGGUUGGGAACUCAAUGUCAACUUGGACACCCAUGUUCUUAACUUUUUUUUUUUAUGCUCUAAGGAAAUGUUCUCUUGAACUAAAUGAGCUUGUAAACUAACUUGGUAUCUCUUUACGUAGGGAUUUAGGUCUAGUUAUAGCAUUUUCUCGAAGGUGGGGAGGCGAAUAGAAACGUCGCUAUUGACUUCCCAGUUCUUUAAUUUGAUUAUCCAAGCAAAAUGAAGGAGGCGCACUGGUCAAAGGAAAUUUCAUACUAUACUUAGUAUAAAAUUAAGGGUUGAAUUCAAAUAUUGUAAAAGAUUUAAGUAUUAAUUUUAGGUAAUAAAUAUUAGCAUAUAUUUUCACAUGAAGAUAAUGACAUUAACCUAGCAAAUAGGAUACUUAGACUUGUGAGCUUUCAAAUAAAAAUAAUCAUUUUAACUUUUUAUUUAAUUUUUUAUUUUUUUUAAAUUUUAGAUUACAUUAUUAGUCAAAUCACUCCAAAGUGGAUAGAAAAAUUAAUAUUUGUAAACUUUACUAAUGUGACAUAGACGUAGAUUGCCAUUUAAAUGCCACGUAAGCAAUUAAUUAAUUUUUUCAAAUUCAAAAAAAUUCAAAAAAUUAUUUAAAAAUAAAAAUUAUAAAAAAUAUUUUUAAAAUUUAAAAAAUCAAUUAAUUACUAACAUGGUAUACAAGUGACAAUCCAUGUGUAUAUCAUGUCAUCAAAGUUAACAAAUGUUAAUUUUUCUCUCCAUUUUUGGAUGAUUUAACAAAUAAUGCAAGUUUAAUAGCUAAAAGAGGUGAAAAUUUAAAAUAAAAGACUAAAAUGACCUUUUUUUGAUAAAAUUGGAGGGGAAAAAUCAUUAUGCCUAAAAAAUAUUAAAAAGAGGAAAUUAUUAUAGUCGAUUAUAUACUAUACAUCUUUUUUCUCAUAUUCUUCCUGUCUCUUUUAGGGUUUAUGUUCGAGGUUUGUAGCCACUCCUCAUAACAAUAUCGUAUCCAAAGUUUGAAUGUGUAUUAUAUUAUAAAAUAAAGGAUGAAUAAUUCAAUUCAAAUUUUAUUUUUUAGUUAUCUUAUUAUGAUUAUAAGUAGGGUUUAAUAAAAGGAUUAAAAAAAAGAAAAAAGAAAAAGUAACCUAUCGGGGUGAUAGACACAACUUUAUCAAAAAAAAAAAAAAUUCCAACUCUUUGUUUAUUUAUUCAAAAUAGAAUGAAUCUUAAAAUCGUAUAUUUAUAAUGUGGUACGAAAAAAAAUUGAUUUAACAUGAUUCAAUUUUAUAUUUGCAAUAAAACUUCCCUAAAAUCAUGUUUACUAAUUCAACACAUGAUUAGUGAAAUAUUGAAGUAUUGGUUUUAUGUAAUAAAUAUUAAAAUAUUAGUUCCACAUGAAGAGAUAGAAUAGAGGUCAAACGAGGUUGGUGAAUUCAACUUUCAUCAAUUAAAAAAAUGAAAAAAAUAAUAUUCAGUUUUAUAUAAUAUAUCGAAUCAAACAAAUUUUUAAUUUUGGAUCAAAUUGAUCAAUUUAUCUAAUUUUUUAAUCUAUGAUUUGAUUUUGUUUACAUCUUAAUUUCCAUUUUUGGUCUCGAAGAUAGAAAAACCAAAUAUAAUAUAGUCAAGUAAACAAAAUCAGCUACAAUAAAACAUGUUAGUAUCAUUACCACGAAAUUUUCUCCAGCAGAACACAACUUGACCCGCUGUCCAUCUUUGAUUUCAUUUUGUAGCCCUAUAAUAAGAUAGUAGCAAAGGGGGUGCACCAUGACUUUUUUUUUUGGUUCGGCCACCAUGAAAUUGUUAUUAGACUAAAUAUGACCAAGCAAAAGGAGGGAGGUGCUACCAUAGUAGUCAAUUUCGUUUCUAACUACUUGUACAGGCCAGAAUGUUCUGUUUCAGUAGUAAAUUAGAAUUAUAAACUUUUAAGUUUUGUUUCGAUAGAAAUUUUCGGUCGGUAUCAACAAUGCUGGUUGAUUUCGCUCAUACCGAUCGAUUAAUUUUAAAUUUUUAUUAUUUCUUUUGAAUUUAUUUAAUUAUGAGUUGUUAUAUACAUAGUAUGAGAUGAUCUUAUUAUUUAAUUUAUGAAAUAACUUUUUUUGUUUGUUUAUUUUUGGUUUGUUUAAUUGUAAGGCCCAAUUUUUGUCCGGGCUUAUACCAAAAACUAAAAUAAACUAAAAAAACCAAAAUUAAAGUCCAAUAUCCAUAAUAAUAUUCAAACCCAAAAUUCAAAAUAACAAGGCCCAAAAUACAAAUUAAAUGACCCAAUAACAAAAAAACUAGCCCAGGCCCAAAGUUUAAUAUUUUCAGAACCCUAGGGAUCCCUUUCCCCCUUGUGCCGCUGCUGCCUUCGUGCCAGCUUCCACGCGCGACGUUGCUUCACGCUCCGCAUCAACACGCCCACGAACGGCCUGGCCAUGUCAGCAGCACCACGGCCUCCACACCUGCGAGAAGAGAAUAACAGAAAAUAGCAAACAACCAUUGACAGCAAAUAAUAACAGAUUACAACAAAGAUUUUAUUUAUUUAUUUAUUUAUUUUAUUUACUUAUUUUUCGGCUAUAAAACCGAAUGAAAACAAUGUAAAUGGGAUCUUCUUUUCCCAGAAAUAUACACGCAUAUUGAAAAAGCAAAUAAAAAAAAUAAAAGAGGUGAUUCGAGUUUCUUUCUGUAGUUUUCAGAUCUUCUUUUUUCCUUUUUGAAUAUUUUUUUCCCUUUUCUUUUCUCUUAUAUUUUGCAUGAAAUGAAUAAAAAAAGGGGAGUACUUACCUCUAGCCUCUGCUUGUGUUUCUUCUGCGCAUGGUCGGCCACCAAGUUUGAUGGUGGUUCAGCGGUGUCUCCAAGUUGAAGCCCUAACAUUAGGGAUCUGAUUUGUUUUUUGUGAAAAUGGCAGGUUGCCAUUCUAUUUUUUUCUUUAAUUUUGAUUGCAAACUAAAACGGUGCGGUGUAGAGGGGGGGAAGACUCGCGCGCAAGCCCAAUCCAUAGGCUGGAUCCGCGCCUUGGUGUUUCGGAUGGUAAAUUUUCGCGUCAAGUCCUUCGUCUUUGCGCAAACUUUUCGUUGAUCCUUAUUUAUAUUUUAUUUUGUUUCAAUUUUUCCCUAUAGUUUGCGUGACUUUGCAAUUAGGUAUGCACUUAGGCGUCAUGUUUGGGAUCUGGAUUAUUUUCAGUUUUGAUCCCUGAGCGUUCGCGCGUACUGUGAUUCAGUUAUUAUUUCAAUAGUUUAUUUAUUUAUUAAUUAAUUUUUUUAAGUUUGAUUUUACUUCAAUUAAGUUUUUCUAUCAUCUCAACAUAUAUAUAUCUUUUUUAAUAUUCAUUUCUUUAAAAAAUUAUUUAAACAUAUAUAUAUUUUGAAUUGCUCUAAUCAUUUUUUUUACUUCAAUUCAAUCUGGUAUUUCACCUACAUUUUUUUUCCUUAUUUGUUUAAUUAUAUAGUUAUUAUUUUAAGAUAUUCUAUAUUAUCAUAUUGUUUGAAAUUGUUCCAUAAUAUUUAAUUUAACUACCCUUAUGUAUAUAUAUUAUUAAAGUAUAAUUUGUAUGAAAAUUGGUUUUAUUCUAUAUACAUUGUUAAUUCCAUGUUAUUUUAUAUAAUUUCUUUUAAAUCUGUUUAUUUGUAUUUACCUUCAAAUUUAUUAUGUAUAUGGUUUAUUUUAUAAAAGACAUAUUUUAUUAUUUCUUUGUUAUUUAAGAUCCUUACAUGUACAUAUUACUUUAUUAUAUAUUGGUUUGUUAUUUCUUCAUGUAUAUUGUUCUUUAUUUUAUUAUAUUUUCAUUAUAUAUUGUUACAUUGUUUUUUUAUUGUUGCAUGUAUAUUAUUACCUUUAAAUAUAUAUAUUGUAUGUUAUUUGCUUCAAAUUUCUUCUUUCACAAUAUUUAUUUUAAUAUUCAUUUGCACAUUCUUAGUCUUAUUUUUAUAUAUGUGAAUCAUUUCAAACCCUAGCAUGCAUUAUUCAUUUGUAAUUUUUUUUAUAGUUUUUAAAUUUUUUUGUACUAUAUUGGCUCUUAGUAUCCAUAUUGCUUUGUAUAUGUGUUGCAUCUUAUUUUUCAUAUUAUUUUAUACAUUAUUAUUGUAUAUUAUUUAUUCAUUUUUUAUGUAUUAUCAAAUCAAUUGUUGUAUUUUAUGUGAAUUUGGUUAUAUUUUGGAUUAAUUAUAUUUAAUUGCUUGUUUUACUAGUUAAAAAAGGUCAUAUUAUCUUCUUUCAUGAACAUUGUAUUUUAUGUGUGUAUAUUAUCCCAUGCUAAUUAUUUAUCUUUUGGUUUACAAAAUGUUGCUUUAUAAUUCCCAACUCUUUAAAAUCGACUAUUCCAUUGUAUUUCAAAUAAAAUUAAUAUGUUUUGAGUUUAUAAAUCUUUUUAAAAAUCUUAAAAUAAGGCAAUGUUCAAUAUUUAGAAAUUCGAGAAAUCGUGCCCUAUCGUGCUGGGUUUCGAUUUUUUGUUGGACUAAAUAUUUGGACACCCUUUUGCAAUUUUUGACCUAAAAGCUUUUGGAAGUCAAAACUCGAUCGUGUUCUCAAAAGUGAAAAAGGAUCAUGUCAUAUCGUGCUGGAUGUGAUGCUUUAUACCUUUGAAACAAAAAAGUUUGACAACUAGCUUAAACUACUCAAAUGUUUUAAAAGGAACCAUAUUUCAAAUUGUUUGAAAAGACCUUAGACACAAGGACAACAUUUAAUUAAUCUGGUACCAGUUUUUUGGGCAUAGUGAGGAUGCUAACCCUUCCUCAUACAUAACAGGCUCCCGAACCCAUUUUUAAAUUCACGUAGACCAAAAUUGUUUUAAAAUGCUUUAUUAGGUGGUCCAAUCACACCUAAACAUGGUGGCGACUCCACAUUUUGGUUUUAAAAGUCGAUCCCCUUUUUCCUUCUAAAAAAUGGUUUCGACAUUAAUGAUGGAUUGUAUUUGUGAAACUUAUUAAAGAUAUUUUUUUUAUAAUUGAUGAGUAUUUUAUAUUUUAUAUUUAUUUAGUCUCAUUGUUUGAUAUUUGUAAAUAUUUUUAUAUACAUAUAUAAAACGUGUUUAGAAAAUAACGAUAAAUCCAAAUAGUACGCUAAAUAGACCAAUAUUAUUUCAUAUUGUUAGAAUUGUAAAAUAGGAUCUGCCAGAUUUGGAGUCAAAGAAAGUUAUGUAUGUGUAAUUUAAGGACCAUAAUCCGAAUAUAUAACUUUUGCACGUUAACUUUAGAUUCUAAUUAGCCCAUAAUUAAUUAGAAAAUAAAUACUAGAGUAUCUACACAUAUUUGACCCAUAUUUUAUUUAAUAAUUGGAGCCCAAUAAGUAUUAACCAAAUUAGAUCACUUAUAAUUUGGGUUAACAUUAUACGAUAGUAAAUAAUAAUAUAUAAUUAUUCUUAUUAUACAUGUGAUGUUCAUAUUAUCUAACAAUUAUAUUCUAAUUUCCUUAUAAUUAGAUCUUAUUAUAUAUAACCUUAUAUGCUGAAAAUCUUACCAUCAUAUCCAAAAGGUAUUAUGAACAAUCUCAUCCACUAAAUAUGUUGGCAUAGAAUGAAUGUGACUUCCGUUACAUAUAUCAUAACUAAAUUCAUCCCUAAUCAUGUGUAUUAACACAACCAAAUGACAUAAAUCAAAUAUGGAUGUGUAGCACGGAAAUUACAUGCAAUGUGAUCAUAUUAUAAAAUUUUAAUUGUUACAAUAUUUUGAAGUAGAAUCUUUCCUUCUUCAAAGAUAUCUCGCAAAGUGGUUCCUUAUGACAAUGUGUUUGGUUCUUGAAUGGUAAACUUGAUUUUUCACUAAAUGAAUAGCACUUUGGUUGUCACAAUAAAACUUAAUGCAACUUUGAACAAUUCCUAAAUCUUCCAAUAGCCCAUUAUGCCAAACAACCUGUUUAACGUCUUAUAAAACUGCCAUAUGCUUUGCCUUUUGUCGAUAAAGCUAUUGUAUAUUGUAAGGUAAAUUUUUAACUUACCAAGUGUUGUGGACAUCGGGUAAUAUCCCACAUAGUUUUAGCUAAUACCAAACUCUAAUAUCAAAUAGGGAACACCAAUACCAAAUUGAAACUACCAAAACACAAUGAAUUUACUUGACAAAUAAUUGUUAAAUAUUAAAAUGGCUAGAAAAAUCAAUAGAUGCAAAUAAAGUAAAUAAAGGAGUGAUUACGAGGUUUAUCAAAUUACCUACUGUAGAAGCCCAAAUUGCCCGGGCCUGAUUAUAUCAAAACCCAACCAAACCUCUAAACCCACUAAAACCCUUAACCCAUGACUCAUUUACAUCUACCCAAACCUAUUACAAAACCCAAAUAUUAAACUCAAUUCAAAAGCCCAUUAAGCCCCCCCAAAAAAAACUAACCCAAAAAAAGAAAAAAAAAAGAAAAACCUAACCCCCCAAAAAAACCAAGAAACCCUAGCCACCUAACCACUUUCUCACUUACCCCAUUUUUCCUCCCAUUUUUGAUAUCCAUUGUCUACCACCACCACCUACAAAAUAGAAAAAGAAAUAAUAGAAAAUCAUGUAAAAGAUGGCUAUAAAAAGCCAUUCAAAAUCAUGUAAGGGGGGAUUUUAGAAGGAUUGAAAAAAAAAACACAAAAAUCCCUUCAAAUUUUGAACACAAAAGAAACAUCAAUAAAAAGGUUGCAUCUUUUUCUUUUUUCCUCUUCUUUCGAAUCUUUUUUUUUCUUUUUUUGUGUUGUUUUUUUCUUUCUUUAUAUAUACAUAUAUUGUUAAAAAAAAUUUACCUUUUCCGGCCACCGCCGACGAUGGGCGGCGACCAACGAUCGACCGGUGACCGGCCCCCCUUGGCCGGAUUUCCUUCCCCCCUCCCUUCUCUCUUCUUUCCCCCUUCUUUUUUUUAGGUAUUUUAUAUAUAUUAUGUAUAUAUUUUUUAAUGCCAUUAGUUAUAUAUUUCUUAUGUAUAUAUUCUUAAAUACUAUUAUAUACUUAUAUAUAUAUAUUUUAAAUACCAUAUUGUGUAUAUAUUAUUAUUACAAAUUAUUACUAUUGCUAGUAUUACUAUAACUAUUAUUAUAUUAGUGUACAUUUUAUGUACAUAUGUAUAUAUAUAUUUUUGCACAUAUCAUUAUUUUAUAUUAUUGUUGUAAAUUUUUUAUGUAUAUAUUUUUUAUGUACGUUUCCUAAUAUUUUCUUUUAUUGUAGAUAUUAUUAUUAUUACAUACUUUUAUUAUAUGCAUAUAUAUAUAUAUAUGUAUUUUUAUGUACAUAUUAUUAUUUUAUAUUAUUACCAAAUAUAUCAUUUUUCCUAUUUUAUUAUUAGUACAUGAUUUGUUUUUAUUUUGUAAAUAUCAUUAUUAUUGUUAUUCUAAUAUUCCAGUAUUCCAUGUUAAUAUUUUUCAUUAAUGAUAUCAUUUUUUUUGCGUCCUUUAUCUAUUUUUAAUUUCUCACUUUAGGAAUAUUUUUCUCAUGUUUUAAUUAAUUUCAAAAAUAAGGCAAUGUACCGAUUUAAUAUUAAGCCAUCGAUUUCAUCGCUAUGUUGGGUGAAAUUCGUCGGCUUGUGUUAAAAAACGGGACACCCUUUCUAAAAAAAAAUCGAAAACUAAAAAUUCUCAUUUUUCAAUCGGAUCACGAUUAAAUAUUAUAUUGAACUCGUAUUUUUGAAAAUCAAGUCAACAAAUGUUUAUGAGAUACCAAUUUUGGGCGUCGCGAGGGUGCUAAUACCUUCCUCGCGCGUAACUGACUCCCGAACCCCAAUUUUGCUCUGAACUAUCACGUAGACCUAAAUUUGGCCUUCUUUUUGUUUUAAAAUAAUUUUAUUAGGUGUCCGAUCACACCUAUAAAAAAGGAUCGUUGGCGACUCCCUUUGCUAAUAAAAUCAAAAGUUGGUUUUCAAAUGUUUAAUAAAUCGCCACAAUUAGCGACCAAGCGAAACUAAAUUUUUUUACGUCGCUACAGCUGGCGACUCCACUGGGGACCUCCAUUUUUGAGAGUCGAGUUGAAUUAAACGCGUGUUGUCAAAAUUUUCAAAUUUCCGUGUUCAAAUUAAUAUUUAAUCAUGAUCCUUAAGUUUUGUUUUUGAAAAAAUCAUACAUACGUUGUAACACCCCUUACCCGAGACCGUUUCCGGAGUCGAGCACGAGGCAUUACUUAGCUUAUCUUACCAAUUCGGAGCAUAAAAACUAGGUUUGAAAAUUUAUUUCAUUAUUCGCAGCAAAUCUGUCCAAUCGCGCAGCAGUUACUAAAUUAAUUAUAACUUGAGCUACAGAACUCGAAAUUUAAUUCCGUAAAUUUUCCCUGAAACUAGACUCAUAUAUCUACUCACCAUAAAAUUUUUAGAAUUUUUGGUUCAGCAAAUUAGUACAGUUUAUUAGUUAAAUUCUCCCCUGUUUCACCACCUGACUGCCCUGACCUCUAGUCACUAAAAAUAAGUUUUCUCACUGUAGGAUUUUCAUAUGAAGUUCUUACUUGUUUCUACAGAAAAUAGACUCAUUAAUAAAUCUAAGAAUGUAAAUUUCAACUCAUAACCAUUUUUUUACAAUUUGUAAUUAUUUUCUAAACUCAGAACAGGGGACUCCAAAAACAGUUCUGACCCUAUCUUACUAAAAUUCACAUAUCUUAAAAUAUAAAUUUCCUUUUUCUACACCGUUAUUUUUCCAUGAAAAUAGACUCAACAAGCUUUAAUUCCAUAUAUCAUUCACCCUCUAAUUCAUUUUAUACUAUCUUGGGUGAUUUUUCAAAUUCACGUCACUGUGCUGCCUGAAUUCUGUUUCUUUGCAAAAUUUUAUCCUUUCAUGAUUUCCAUGCAUAAUUUAUCACCUAAUCUUUCAUAACAACAAACACCUUCAUCCUUAAUCAUUUUAAUAACCAUACAUCAUCAAAUACUUACACAUCACUCAUUAGCAAAAUCAUCAUUACAAACAUACAAAAUAACUAAAUCCCUAUAUAUGCCAUAACUCAAACGUGUUUCGAUAUAAAAUACCGAGCAGUUGUAGUUGAUAGUGUGGACGAUCUCCGACUUCUUUAGGAUCCUUGAAGUAGCUUUGCAAUACUAUAAGAGAAAGAGAAAUAAAAGAAGUAAGCAUAAAGCUUAGUAAGUUUACUAGCAAAUAAAUAACAAUAUUUAACUUAAAUAAUUAAACUCAAUGUCUAUAUCUCUAGUUUACUCUUUAGUUAAUCUCAUACUAGUUCUCUUACUUGUUUACUUAGAAUACUUGUGUGCAUAACUUACUCAAUCCUUGCUGCAUCGUUGAACAUCAAUUGAUAGUAUAAUAAGUUCUUAAGUCUUACAACUUACCUGAGCUUGCCAUUUAUGCUUUAAACUGAACUUUCAUGAACAUGAUUCGUUUACAAGCCCGUUGAGCUACAUUGGAAUAAUAAGGAUACUCGGGUCUCUUCUGAUAAUAACAUGCCAAAGCCAUGUCCCAGACAUGGUCUUACAUGGGAUGUUCUCGUGAUGGUGCCCAUGCCAUGUCCCAGACAUGGUCUUAUAGGGGACCUCUCAUCUCGGUGCCAACGCCAUGUCCCAGACAUGGUCUUACAUGGGACCUCUCGUCUCGAUGCCCAUGCCAUGUCCCAGACAUGGUCUUACAGGGGACCUCUCAUGAUCUUAAGGAUGCCAAUGCCAUGUCCCAGACAUGGUCUUACAUGGGAUCUCUUUACCCAAAUGUCAUGACAUUCGUAUCCAGUACCAUCCUUAUGUAUCAACGGGACUUUUAAAUUUUAAUUCUCUAUCAUUUCAUGCUUGGAUCAUCAUCAAAUAAAUUCAUAAAAUAAAUUCAUAAUUGCUGGAAAUUAACAGCAUUAAUAAUAAAUAUUGAAAUAUUGCAUUUAUUUACCGUAAACUUACCUCGGUACCAAUUAUAGCCAAAUUCACCAACUUAGUCUUCAACUUUAUUCUUCCCUUUGUCUAACCUCGAGUUUCGUACUUCUUGAUCUAAAAUAGUAAAUUUAACUUAUUUAAUAAUCACAUUCAUCAAAACAGCCCUCGACUCUAACUUUUUCAAAAUUACAAUUUUGCCCCUAAACUUUUACAUAAUUACAUUUUUGCCCCAAGGCUCGGAAAUUAAACUUCAUCUCUUAUUCUUAUGUUUUAUAACAUUCUGAACAUUUUUCCCUUCUAUGGCAACAUCAAAUUCCCACUCUAACAUGUACUUAUGAACAUUAGGUAUUUUUACCGAUUAUGUCGUUUUACUCGUUUUCACUUAAAAUCGCUUAGCAAAAGUUGUUUAACAUAAUUUCUAGCAUCAUAUUCUAUCAUAAAACAUCAAAAUAAACACUUUUCACCUAUGGGUAUUUUUCCAAAUAUAAACCCUAGGUUAAAUUAUUGCUAGAAUAAGCUAAAUUAAGCUACCGGGAUCUCAAAAACGUAAAGAACAUUAAAAACGGGGCUUGGGAUCACUUACUAUGGAGCUUGGAAGCUUGAAAACCCUAACUAUGGCUUCCCCCCUUGCUGAUUUCGUUCAUAUGAAGAAGAUGAUGAUUUUUGCCAUCUUUUUCCCUUUUAAUUCAUUUUAAUUACUAGAUUACCAAAUUGCCCCUAACUUAAAAAUUUUCUAUUUCACUUAUCUCAUGUCCAUUUUUGUCUACCAAGUUACCAAUGGUAUAAUUACCAUAUAAGGACCUCCAAUUUAAAGUUUCAUAACAAUUGGACACCUCUAACAUGUAGAACUCAACUUUUGCACUUUUUACAAUUUAGUCCUUUUGACUAAAUUGAGUGCCCAAACGUCGAAAUUUUCGAACGAAAUUUUCAAAAAAUCAUUUUGUGAAAUUUUAGACCAUAAAAAUAUAAGAAAAAUAAAAUUUUUCUCAUCGGAUUUGUGGUUCCGAAACCACUGUUCCGAUAACCUCAAAUUUGGGCCAUUACAACUCUCCCCCCCUUUUUAGGAUUUUCGUCCUCGAAAAUCUUACCAGUAAAGAGAUUCGGGUAUUGCUUCCUCAUUGUCUCUUCCGGUUCCCAUGUUGCUUCCUCAAUCCCGUGCUUUUGCCAUAGCACUUUCACCAGAUUUACCUUUUUGUUUCUAAGCUCCUUUGUGUCUCGUGCUAAUACUUUAACCGGUUCUUCAUUAUAAGUCAUAUCCGGCUGAAUUUCUACUUCUGUUGGAGUAAUAACAUGUGAAGGAUCUGAUCGAUACCGUCGUAGCAUAGAUACAUGAAAUACAUUAUGAAUUUUGUCGAGUUCCGGUGGUAAAGCCAAUCGGUAAGCAACUGGUCCAAUUCUUUCUAUAAUCUCAUAUGGUCCGAUAAAUCUUGGACUCAAUUUACCCUUUCGACUGAACCAGAGAACUUUCUUCCAAGGAGACACUUUUAAGAAUACUUUAUCACCCACCUGAAAUUCAAUCUCCCUUCGUUUAAGAUCGGCGUAUGACUUUUGACGAUCGGAAGCUGCUUUUAAACUAUCCCGAAUCAGUCUUACUUUUUCUUCUGUUUCCCGAAUCAAAUCAACCCCGUGUAUCUUCUUUUCACUAAGCUCUGUCCAAUAUAAUGGUGUUCUACAUUUUCUACCAUACAAAGCUUCAUACGGAGCCAUUUUAAUACUGGACUGAUAACUGUUAUUAUAAGCAAAUUCAAUCAAAGGUAGAUACCUUUCCCAAUUACCUUGAAACUCUAAUGCACAACAUCGGAGCAUAUCUUCCAAUACCUGAAUUACACGCUCAGAUUGGCCAUCUGUCUGAGGAUGAAAUGCAGUACUGAAAUACAACUGAGUACCCAAAGCUUCUUGCAAUUUGUUCCAGAAACGAGACGUAAAUCGGGGAUCUCUGUCUGAUAUAAUGGAGACAGGCACUCCAUGUAGUCUAACAAUCUCAGAUAUAUACAAUCCAGCCAAUUUAUCUAAAGAAUAAUCCAUACAUACUGGGAUAAAGUGCGCGGACUUUGUCAAUCGGUCGACAAUUACCCAAAUGGCAUCUUUCUUCCUCGGAGAUAACAGUAACCCAGAUACAAAAUCCAUAGUGAUUCUUUCCCAUUUCCAUUCCGGUAUAGUGAUUGGCUGAAGCAACCCCGAAGGUACCUGAUGUUCAGCCUUAACCUGCUGACAUACUAAACAUCUUGAUACAAACUCAGAGAUAUCACGUUUCAUACUCGGCCACCAAUACAUCUUUUUCAAGUCAUUAUACAUUUUAUUACCUCCCGGAUGUACGGACAUAAUACCACUGUGUGCUUCGUGUAAAAUCUUCUGUACAAGUUCUGAAUUCUUCGAUACACAUACUCUGCCUCUGAAUAAUAAACAACCAUCAGUUCCAAUCUGAAAUUCUGAAUCAUUACCUGACUCACAAUGCACCCGUUUAGCCUGUAAUUUCUCAUCAUUCCUCUGAGCUUCACAUAUUUGUUGACGAAAUGUCGAUUUAGCUAUCAAUUCAGCUAUGAUUGAACCAUCAUUAGACAGUGACAACCGGGUAUUCAUAGCUCGUAAAGCAAAUAGAGAUUUUCGGCUCAAAGCAUCAGCUACCACGUUAGCCUUACCCGGAUAGUAAUCAAUAACCAAAUCAUAAUCCUUUAUCAAUUCAAGCCACCUGCGUUGUCUCAAAUUCAAAUCUUUCUGUGUCAUCAAAUAUUUCAAGCUUUUGUGAUCAGUAUAAAUAUGACACUUUUCACCAUACAAAUAAUGCCGCCAUAUUUUCAAUGCAAAUACAAUAGCAGCUAACUCGAGAUCAUGUACCGGGUAGUUUCUUUCAUGUGGCUUAAGUUGUCUUGAAGCAUAGGCUAUUACUUUAUCUUCUUGCAUCAAGACACAACCCAAACCAUUUAAUGAUGCAUCACUAUAAAUAAUAAAUUCCUUACCCGAUUCAGGCUGUACCAACACAGGUGCUUUCGUUAACAACUCCUUCAAUCGGUCGAAACUUUGCUGGCAUUUUUCUGUCCAUUCAAAUUUAACAUCUUUCUGUAAUAAACGGGUCAUUGGAGAAGCUAUCAUAGAAAACCCUUGUACAAAUCUCCGAUAAUAACCAGCUAAACCCAAGAAACUUCUAACUUCAGAUACAUUCUUCGGUGGACUCCAAUUGACAAUAGCUGAAAUUUUACUCGGAUCUACCCUGAUGCCUUCUGCGGAUACAAUAUGUCCGAGAAAACCUACCUCUCGAAGCCAAAAUUCACAUUUACUGAAUUUAGCAUAAAGUUUCUUUUCACGCAGAAUUUGCAACACUAUUUUCAAAUGUUCUGCAUGCUCAGUUUCAUCCCGAGAAUAAACUAAAAUGUCAUCAAUAAAAACUACUACAAACCUAUCUAGAUACUGUCUGAAUAUCCGGUUCAUCAAAUCCAUGAAUACUGCAGGUGCAUUAGUCAACCCAAACGGCAUAACCAGAAACUCAUAAUGCCCAUACCUGGUUCUGAAAGCUGUCUUUGGCACAUCUGGCUCUUUUACCCGUAACUGAUAAUAACCCGAUCGGAGAUCAAUCUUUGAAAAUACUGUGGCACCUUUCAGUUGAUAAAAUAAGUCAUCAAUUCGAGGCAAUGGGUACUUAUUCUUUAUAGUUACCUUAUUAAGCUGCCGAUAGUCAAUACACAAUCUCAAAGACCCGUCUUUCUUUUUCACAAACAGAACUGGAGCACCCCAAGGUGAAUGACUCGGACGAACAAAACCUCUGUCAACAAGUUCCUGUAACUGUGCCUUUAACUCUUUUAAUUCUGUAGGAGCCAUACGAUACGGAGCUAUGGAAAUUGGGGCAGUUCCCGGAAUCAGAUCUAUAGAAAAUUCCACUUCUCUUUCUGGUGGCAACCCUGGUAACUCCUCUGGAAAUACAUCAGAAAAUUCACAUACAACUGGCACUGCCUGUAUCUUUGACUCAGAUACCUUAGUAUCCAACACAUACGCCAAAUAAACAUCAUACCCUUUUCUAACACACCUCUGAGCUGUCAUAACUGAAAUCAUAUCGGAUAAUCCCUUUGUCUGAUUAGAUUUAACCCAAAGUAAUUCUCCAUUCUGGCAUUUCAACACAACAUAUUUUUGUCUACAGUUUACUACUGCAUCAUGCUGAGUUAACCAAUCCAUGCCCAAUAUCACAUCAAACUCAUCAAAAGGCAAUAACAUCAAGUCAACCGGGAAACAAAUACCUUUUACCAUCAGUGGACAAUUUUUACAAACUUUAUCCACUAUCACAAACUGGCCCAGGGGGUUUGAGACUUUAACCAUAAAUUUAGUAGGUUCAACAGACAAAUUUUUAACAAAUGCUAAUUUUGUGCAUAUAUAUGAAUGUGUAGAGCCAGGAUCAAUUAAUGCAAUAACAGUAGUAUCAUAGAGAGAAAAUGUACCCGCAAUUACAUCAGGAGAGGACGCCUCUUCACGAGCUCGAAUAGCAUAUGAUCUUGCAGGUGCUCUAACAUCUGAUCUAACCGCUGAAUCUUUGAAUGCACCCCUAUUACUUUCCCCCACUCCUGGGUUUCUCUGCGGUCUACCUCUGGUAGGAGCAUUACCUGAUCUCGCACUCGUUAUUUCUUCUCUUUUAGUUGUUUCAGGACAAUCCCGAAUAAAGUGAUCGGAUGCUCCACAUCUGAAACAAACAUUUUCACCUGCUCUACACUCUCCGGGGUGGCGUCUCCCAUAUUGAGGACAUUCCGGUCUAGGAGGUCGAGUACUGCCAGUACUUGCAACUGUAGUGGUUUGAGCUCUAAAACCCUCGAAUCUUCUACUUCUGCUUCGGCCAGAAUAUAUAUGUGGAAAAUGUGAUCCGCUAGAGAGCUCCCUAGGCCUCUUAGAUGUAGACUGAAAUGAUUUACUCAUUUGCCUCUUCUUUGUAUCCUGCGCUCCAGCUUCAGCUUUGCUCUUCUCUUUUUCUUUUAACAAGUCUUCUACUUUACAAGCUCUUUCUACCAGAACAACAAACUCUCUGAUUUCCAAUACACCCACUAAUAGUCGGAUGUCAUCAUUAAGCCCAUCUUCAAAUCUCUUGCACAUGUUGGCUUCGGUGGAUACAAAUUCCCGAGCAUACUUACUAAGUCUGACAAAUUCGCGUUCAUAUUCAGUCACGGACAUCUUACCUUGUUUUAGCUCAAGAAACUCCUUCCUUUUCUGCUCUGCAAAUCUCUGGCUGAUGUACUUCUUUCGAAACUCCUCCUGAAAGAAAUCCCAAGUAACCCUCUCACUCGGUACGAUAGACACGAGAGUCUUCCACCAAUGAUAAGCGGAAUCUCUGAGAAGUGAGACCACACACUUCAUACAUUCUUCCGGUGUACAAGAUAAUUCUUCAAAAACCCUGAUGGUAUUCUCAAGCCAGAAUUCUGCUUUUUCUGCAUCGUCAUCUUUGGUAGCCCGAAAUUCUUCAGCCCCUUGCUUCCUAAUCUUAUCAACAGGUGGUCUCUCCCUGAUAAAUAUACCUGCAGCUGGGGAAGCUACAUGGGGAACCUGUGAAUCUUGAGGGGGUGGAGGUCUUACAGCCGGAUUCGUACGAACAAACUCGGCAAACCAAUCAGUCAUGGCUUGGAAAAAGGCUUCUCUAGCUCCUCCUCCCUGUCUAUCUGAUGCAGGUCUUUCACUAACAUUAACAUCUGAUGGAACCGUCCCUUCUGCGGGAAUAGGCACAUUACUCUCUACUUCAUCUGUACUAGCUCGUUCAGGAUCCAUAACUAUAAAAGAAAACAUUUUAAAAUCGUCAGGAGUCGUCACACUAUCAAAAUAUAUAAGUAUGGCAUGUAUAGGUAGACUCUUAUUCUUACUGAGUAUUUUUGAGAACCGACUAAACCUGCUCUGAUACCAAUAAAAUGUAACACCCCUUACCCGAGACCGUUUCCGGAGUCGAGCACGAGGCAUUACUUAGCUUAUCUUACCAAUUCGGAGCAUAAAAACUAGGUUUGAAAAUUUAUUUCAUUAUUCGCAGCAAAUCUAUCCAAUCGCGCAGCAGUUACUAAAUUAAUUAUAACUUGAGCUACAGAACUCGAAAUUUAAUUCUGUAAAUUUUUCCUGAAACUAGACUCAUAUAUCUACUCACCAUAAAAUUUUUAGAAUUUUUGGUUUAGCAAAUUAGUACAGUUUAUUAGUUAAAUUCUCCCCUAUUUCACCACCUGACUGCCCUGACCUCUAGUCACUAAAAAUAAGUUUUCUCACUGUAGGAUUUUCAUAUGAAGUUCUUACUUGUUUCUACAGAAAAUAGACUCAUUAAUAAAUCUAAGCAUGUAAAUUUCAACUCAUAACCAUUUUUGUACAAUUUGUAAUUAUUUUCUAAACUCAGAACAGGGGACUCCAAAAACAGUUCUGACCCUAUCUUACUAAAAUUCACAUAUCUUAAAAUAUAAAUUUCCUUUUUCUACACCGUUAUUUUUCCAUGAAAAUAGACUCAACAAGAUUUAAUUCCAUAUAUCAUUCACCCUCUAAUUCAGUUUAUACUAUCUUGGGUGAUUUUUCAAAUUCACGUCACUGUGCUGCCUGAAUUCUGUUUCUUUGCAAAAUUUUAUCCUUUCAUGAUUUCCAUGCAUAAUUUAUCACCUAAUCUUUCAUAACAACAAACACCUUCAUCCUUAAUCAUUUUAAUAACCAUACAUCAUCAAAUACUUACACAUCACUCAUUAGCAAAAUCAUCAUUACAAACAUACAAAAUAACUAAAUCCCUAUACAUGCCAUAACUCAAACGUGUUUCGAUAUAAAAUACCGAGCAGUUGUAGUUGAUAGUGUGGACGAUCUCCGACUUCUUUAGGAUCCUUGAAGUAGCUUUGCAAUACUAUAAGAGAAAGAGAAAUAAAAGAAGUAAGCAUAAAGCUUAGUAAGUUUACUAGCAAAUAAAUAACAAUAUUUAACUUAAAUAAUUAAACUCAAUGUCUAUAUCUCUAGUUUACUCUUUAGUUAAUCUCAUACUAGUUCUCUUACUUGUUUACUUAGAAUACUUGUGUGCAUAACUUACUCAAUCCUUGCUGCAUCGUUGAACAUCAAUUGAUAGUAUAAUAAGUUCUUAAGUCUUACAACUUACCUGAGCUUGCCAUUUAUGCUUUAAACUGAACUUUCAUGAACAUGAUUCGUUUACAAGCCCGUUGAGCUACAUUGGAAUAAUAAGGAUACUCGGGUCUCUUCUGAUAAUAACAUGCCAAAGCCAUGUCCCAGACAUGGUCUUACAUGGGAUGUUCUCGUGAUGGUGCCCAUGCCAUGUCCCAGACAUGGUCUUAUAGGGGACCUCUCAUCUCGGUGCCAACGCCAUGUCCCAGACAUGGUCUUACAUGGGACCUCUCGUCUCGAUGCCCAUGCCAUGUCCCAGACAUGGUCUUACAGGGGACCUCUCAUGAUCUUAAGGAUGCCAAUGCCAUGUCUCAGACAUGGUCUUACAUGGGAUCUCUUUACCCAAAUGUCAUGACAUUCGUAUCCAGUACCAUCCUUAUGUAUCAACGGGACUUUUAAAUUUUAAUUCUCUAUCAUUUCAUGCUUGGAUCAUCAUCAAAUAAAUUCAUAAAAUAAAUUCAUAAUUGCUGGAAAUUAACAGCAUUAAUAAUAAAUAUUGAAAUAUUGCAUUUAUUUACCGUAAACUUACCUCGGUACCAAUUAUAGCCAAAUUCACCAACUUAGUCUUCAACUUUAUUCUUCCCUUUGUCUAACCUCGAGUUUCGUACUUCUUGAUCUAAAAUAGUAAAUUUAACUUAUUUAAUAAUCACAUUCAUCAAAACAGCCCUCGACUCUAACUUUUUCAAAAUUACAAUUUUGCCCCUAAACUUUUACAUAAUUACAUUUUUGCCCCAAGGCUCGGAAAUUAAACUUCAUCUCUUAUUCUUAUGUUUUAUAACAUUCUGAACAUUUUUCCCUUCUAUGGCAACAUCAAAUUCCCACUCUAACAUGUACUUAUGAACAUUAGGUAUUUUUACCGAUUAUGUCGUUUUACUCGUUUUCACUUAAAAUCGCUUAGCAAAAGUUGUUUAACAUAAUUUCUAGCUUCAUAUUCUAUCAUAAAACAUCAAAAUAAACACUUUUCACCUAUGGGUAUUUUUCCAAAUAUAAACCCUAGGUUAAAUUAUUGCUAGAAUAAGCUAAAUUAAGCUACCGGGAUCUCAAAAACGUAAAGAACAUUAAAAACGGGGCUUGGGAUCACUUACUAUGGAGCUUGGAAGCUUGAAAACCCUAACUAUGGCUUCCCCCCUUGCUGAUUUCGUUCAUAUGAAGAAGAUGAUGAUUUUUGCCAUCUUUUUCCCUUUUAAUUCAUUUUAAUUACUAGAUUACCAAAUUGCCCCUAACUUAAAAAUUUUCUAUUUCACUUAUCUCAUGUCCAUUUUUGUCUACCAAGUUACCAAUGGUAUAAUUACCAUAUAAGGACCUCCAAUUUAAAGUUUCAUAACAAUUGGACACCUCUAACAUGUAGAACUCAACUUUUGCACUUUUUACAAUUUAGUCCUUUUGACUAAAUUGAGUGCCCAAACGUCGAAAUUUUCGAACGAAAUUUUCAAAAAAUCAUUUUGUGAAAUUUUAGACCAUAAAAAUAUAAGAAAAAUAAAAUUUUUCUCAUCGGAUUUGUGGUUCCGAAACCACUGUUCCGAUAACCUCAAAUUUGGGCCAUUACAUACGUCCCCCCUUUUUAGGAUUUGUCGUACGGGGAACUGUACCCAAAACUUCUGGAGAAGCAAUUAAUAUCUCCCCAUUACAUGGCACCCCUUAAACCUCCAUACCCGAAAUGGUACGAUCCAAAUGCUAGUUGUGCAUACCAUGCCGGAAACCAGGGGCACUCUACGGAAAACUGCCUGGCCUUCAAAAGGAGAGUUCAAGGACUUAUAGAUACGGGUAUUCUGCGAUUUGAUGGCACUGGCGGUACAUCCGGGAACCCAUUACCAAACCACGCCGAAAGGAAUGUGAGCGCAGUAGGAGAGGAGGACAAACGACAAAGUAGAAGACGGGUUUCUGAAAUAAGAACACCUUUGCAGAAAAUCUGGGAGGUUCUAGUUGAAAAGGGUUCGCUUUGUCAUCUUAACAGAGUAUUCGAGGGAAGGAAUACAAAAGAUCUAAGUUUUUGCGAAUUCCAUAGUAUUGAGAGGCACGAUAUUCAAUCCUGCAAAGUGUUCAGGAGAUUACUGCAAAAUAUGAUGGACAAUAAGGAGAUUAGGAUUUUUUAUAAAGGCGAAGAGGCCAAUGAGAAAGAAGUAUUUACCUCCGACAAUCAAUCGUCAGGUUGUCCGUAUAGCGCUGACCAACCGUUAAUAAUUUAUUAUGACGCGAAGAAAGAGCCGGUGAAGCCAAAAAUGAUAAUCGAAGUACCAUCUCCUUUCCCUUAUACGAACAAUAAAAUAGUACUGUGGAGAUACGAUGUUAAUAUUGUCACACCGAAAGUUGGAAAUUCCAAAGCCAUAACUGAAGAUGUGGGAGAGGUAGGUCAUUUUACCCGAAGUGGACGGUGCUAUUCUAAAGAAAUUGAACCGGUAAAGAAAAGUAGUGACUCGAAGCAAAAAGGGAAAGUAGUGAUGCACGAAGUCGAAGUCGAGCAAGAAAUUCCACCCGUGCAAGAAACUAAAAAGCCUGUGAACGAGGAAGAAGCUCAGGAAUUCUUGAAAUUUAUCAAGCACAGUGAGUAUAGUGUGGUGGAACAAUUAAGCAAGUAGCCAGCACGAAUCUCAGUUUUAUCUCUACUUUUAAAUUCAGAGCCACACCGGAACGCUUUGCUGAAGGUGUUAAAUCAAGCUUACGUAGCUAAUAACAUAUCCGUUGAGAAGCUUGAUAGGUGGGUUAACAAUCUGAAUGUGGACAAUUUCAUCUCUUUUAGUGAUGAUGAGAUACCGCCAAAUGGUAGAGGCUCGGUGAAAGCACUGCAUAUCACGACUCGCUGCAAGGGCUACAUAAUACCAAACGUGCUCAUCGAUAAUGGGUCAGGGUUAAAUGUUAUGCCAUUGGCCACGCUUUCCAGAAUACCGAUGGAUUUAUCGUACUUAAGACCCUGUCAUUCCACGGUAAGAGCAUUUGACGGGACAAGGUGAGAAGUUAUGGGAAAGAUUGAGAUCCCUCUGGAGGUGGGCCCUUACAUUUAUUAUGUCGAGUUCCAAGUCAUGGACAUUACACCAUCUUAUAACUGCCUUUUGGGAAGACUCUGGAUCCAUUCUGCUGGAGCAGUCCCAUCAUCCCUCCAUCAAAAGGUGAAAUUUAUCAUGGACGGUUGUUUGGUCAUUGUCAAGGGAGAAGAAGACAUUGUCGCAUUUGUCUCUGCCGAUGCACCGUACUUGGAAGUGAAUAAAGACGCAUUGGAAUGUUCCUUCCGAUCCCUUGAAUUCGUCAAUGCCACUUUUGUUGUUGAGGGAAACAGAAUUUCGGUGCCAAAACUGUCGAGAAAUACUAGAAUGGGUGUCAAAUUGACCGUAGGAAAGGGAGCUCGAGCGAGAAGAGGUUUAGGGAGAUAUCUGCAAUGAAUAGUCAGGGCUUUAAAGCUAGUGCACCACAAAGCCCGAUACGGUUUGGGGUUCCAGCCAGACAUGCGUCAAAGAAGAAGACAGUGGAAGAAAGAUCAGGAAAGAAGGAUCGUAAGAACUUUGGGCCGAGAACCAAAAUGGGAGCCCAUAGAAUACCCUCAUUUGUCAAAAACAUUUACAUCUGCGGGAAUGAUAUGCCCUGGACAAGAUGAUCCACGAAACAUGCUGGUGUUAAUUGAAAGGGUUUUCAGAAUGUCAGUAUAAAUGUCAUUGACAAAGGGGCUGGUGCAAGUAAAGAUGUCUCGAGGAUACGCCCUUGCCCUCCUGGUUUCAUGAUGAACAAUUGGACUGCCGAGGAGCUUCUUGUAGUUUAUAAGUCUUCAGAGUAAUGCUAAACAUUAACCUUCUAUUAUGUCCUUAGAUAUAAUAGAAUUCUUUUGUAAGAGCUUGCAUUCGCUCUUUAUCAUUUAAAUGAAUAUCAAUGAAGAUGCAUUUUGUCACGAUUUUUCGCAUUAUCACUAAUUUCAUAAUCAUUUUCUCAUUUCAUAGCCUAUCCUUACAUUUGCCUCAUUGCCAUGACAUAACAUUUUGUUUGUUGUUUCCAAUACUUGGAUGCCCAUCUAUAGCUUCCUUUUCCAUUCAACUUUCAGGUGCUCAGAUAUUGACGACAUGAAUAAGCCCGUCACGAAUCUUGAAAUUGAUUUUGAGAAGGCUGUUUGCUUAGGAGAAUUUGAAGCCAAAGAAAAUGCUAAAGAUUACGUCUCGUCUCCUGAAUUGUUAAGAAUGGUAGAACAAGAGGAUAAACAGAUUUUACCUCACGAAGAAUCUGUGGAAACAAUAAAUUUGGGCACUGAAGAGAGGAAACAAGAAGUGAAGAUUGGGAAUUCUAUUUCAGAGAGUACCAGGCAUAAUUUGAUCACUUUACUCCACGAAUACAAAGAUGUUUUCGCAUGGUCAUACCAGGUCAUGCCAGGGCUAGAUGAAGAUUUAGUGGUCCAUAAGCUCCCAUUAAAGCCAGAAUGCAAGCCCAUCCAGCAAAAAUUAAGAUAGAUGAGACCCGAAAUACUGUUGAAAAUAAAAGAGGAAGUCAAGAAGCAAUUUGAUGCUGGCUUCCUACAAGCCUCCAAAUAUCCAGAAUGGGUGGCUAACAUAGUCUCAAUACCAAAGAAAGAUGGCAAAGUACGAAUGUGCGUGGAUUACCGUGACCUGAACCGAGCAAGCCCAAAAGAUAAUUUUCCCUUGCCAUAUAUUGAUACGUUGGUGGACAACAUAGCAAAACAUUCAUUGUUUUCUUUUAUGGAUGGAUUCUCGGGGUAUAAUCAGAUCAAGAUGGCCCCUGAGGAUAUGGAGAAAACUACCUUCAUAACAAUGUGGGGAAUGUUCUGCUACAAGGUGAUGCCAUUCGGAUUAAAGAAUGCUGGGGCAACAUUCAGAGGGCUAUGGUGACAUUAUUCCAUGACAUGAUGCAUAAAGAAAAAUACUUGAAGAGGUCUAUGUCGACGAUAUGAUUGCUAAAUCCCGAGGGGAAGAAGAACAUGUAGUGAACUUGAAGAAGUUGUUCGACAGACUGAGAAAGUUCCAGCUAAAGCUCAAUCCGGCCAAAUUUACGUUUGGAGCUACCUCAGGAAAAUUGCUUGGUUUCAUUGUCAGCGAGAGAGGUAUUGAAGUUGAUCCAGAUAAAAUAAAAGCCAUUCAAGAGUUACCACCUCCGCACACGCAAAAGGAAGUCAGAGGAUUUUUAGGGAGAUUAAACUACAUCGCCCGAUUUAUCGCUCAACUUACCGACCAAUGCGACCCAAUCUUUCGACUCCUUCGAAAACAUAAUCCCGGAGAAUGGAACGAGGAGUGCCAAGUGGCUUUUAACAAGAUAAAAUAGUAUUUGUCUAGUCCUCCAGUACUAGUACCGCCAACUCCGGGAAGACCAUUAAUUUUGUAUCUGACAGUGUUCGAAAAUUCAAUGGGUUGCGUACUGGGGCAACAUGACGAGUCAGGAAAGAAAGAAAUGGCGAUCUACUACCUCAGUAAAAAGUUCACUGAAUAUGAGGCAAAGUAUUCAUCCAUUGAAAAAUAUUGUUGCGCUCUGGUUUGGGUAGCUCGGAGACUCAGGCAAUACAUGUUGUAUCAUACGACAUGGUUAAUUUCAAAGCUAGAUCCAAUAAAGUACAUGAUGGAAUCACCUGCACUCUCAGGAAGAAUGGCACGGUGGCAGAUCUUACUAUUAGAGUACGACAUCGUCUAUGUGAGUCAAAAGUCAAUAAAAGGAAGUGCAAUAGCUGACUUUUUGGCGACCCGAACAAUGGAUGAAUAUGAGCCAUUGAGAUUUGAGUUCCCAGAUGAAGACUUGAUGUGCAUUACGGAAAAAGAAUGCGAGUCACCAAAAGAGAAGUCAUGGAAGAUGAGCUUUGAUGGUGCAUCGAACGCAUUAGGGCAGGGGAUUGGAGCAGUCUUAAUAUCUCCAGAAGGGAAUCAUUACCCACUCACUGCCAGGCUGAAUUUCUUCUGUACCAAUAACAUAGCAGAAUAUGAGGCAUGUAUCAUGGGACUCCGUGCAGCUAUUGAACGAAACAUCGAAACUUUAGAGGUAUACGGAGACUCAGCCUUGGUGAUUUACCAAAUCCGUGGAGAUUGGGAAGUGAGUGACUCGAAACUGGUUAAAUACAGAGAUCUAGUGGCAGAGUUGAUUAAAGAAUUCGAAGAAAUAGCUUUUAAUUACCUCCCACGAGAAGAAAACCAAUUAGCUGAUGCCUUGGCCACUUUGGCUUCAAUGUUCAAAGCAAACUGGGAAACAGAAAUAAUGCCUCUUCAAAUGAGCAUAUAUGAAGCCCCUACACAUUGUUUCAGGAUCGAGAAAGAGACAGAUGGACGGCUAUGGUUCCAUGAUGUCUUAGAAUAUAUCAAGAAUCAAAAGUAUCCCGAACAAGCAAACGAGAACGACAAAAGAACAAUCAGAAGAAUGGCAGCAGGAUUCGUUCUUGAUAGGGACAUCCUGUACAAAAGAGGAAAAGAUCAGAUGCUUUUGAGAUGUGUGGAUGAUGUUGAAGCCAGAAAAAUACUUGAAGAGGUCCAUGAGGGAAUUUGCGGAACGCAUGCCAAUGGUUUCACUAUGGCCAGGAAGAUUAUAAGACUCGGAUAUUACUGGCUGACGAUGGAAAGCGACUACAUUAAUUUCGCACGAAAAUGCCACAAAUGUCAAAUUUAUUGUGAUAAAAUUCAUGUAGCCCAUUUGCCCCUUCACGUCAUGACUUCUCCGUGGCCUUUUUCUAUGUGGGGCAUGGAUGUUAUAGGGCCAAUUUCUCCAAAAGCUUCUAAUGGACACCGGUUUAUUUUUGUGGUCAUUGAUUACUUCACAAAAUGGAUAGAAGCCGCUUCGUUUGCCAAUGUAACCAAGACUGCAGUUUGCAGGUUUUUGAAGAAGGAAAUCAUUUGUCAAUAUGGUUUGCCUGAAAGAAUCAUUUCAGAUAACGCCAUGAAUUUGAAUAACAAGAUGAUGAAGGAAGUAUGCGAGCAAUUCCAAAUAAAGCAUCAUAACUCAUCGUCCUAUCGCCCAAAGAUGAACGGGGCUGUUGAAGCAGCCAAUAAAAAUAUUAAGAGGAUCAUUGGGAAAAUGACUGAGACGUUUAAAGAUUGGCACGGGAAGCUUCCAUUUGCUUUGUUUGCAUAUCGCACAUCUGUACGAACAUAUACGGGAGCAACUCCUUUCUCUCUGGUUUAUGGAAUGGAAGCUGUGCUACCUAUCGAGGUUGAGAUCCCUUCUCUACGAGUCUUAAUGGAAUCAAAGUUAGAAGAAGCAGAAUGGGUACAAGCUCGAUAUGAUCAGCUGAACCUCAUUGAAGAAAAGCGACUCAGGGCAAUUUGUCAUGGGCAGAUGUACCAAAAAAGAAUGAUCGCAGCCCAUGACAAGAAGGUACGACCAAGAGAAUUCCAUGAAGGAGAACUCGUGCUGAGAAAAAUUCUCCCAAUACAAAAAGAUCUGCGAGGGAAAUGGGUACCAAACUGGGAAGGACCGUACGUCGUAAAGAAGGCAUUCUCAGGAGGAGUUUUGAUCCUUACCGAGAUGGAUGGGAAAGAAGUGUUGAAUCCAGUGAACUCAGAUGCUGUGAAGAAAUAUUAUGCUUAAGAUGAAAACCCAAAAAGGGCAUCUUAAAAAAAAAGGGGAUCAAGGCGAAAACCCGAAAAGGACGUCUUGAUUAAUACAAAAAGAUUAGGAUGAAAACCCGAGAGGGCGUCCUAAUGAAACAAACCUGGCGGUCGAACGAUAGGUCAAGCAGUGAGGCUGCAGUAUUUGAAGCAUUUCUGAAAGCUCGAAAUCUUCUACGCAAGAAGCCGCGCUCGAAAAGAUUAUUGAUUGAGGAACGAGGAAGAGUUCAUGUGUUGAAUAUCUAGAGCAUUUGUAUCCGUUGAAUACGAUCCUUUCUUUCUUUUUGACAUUUUUACUCUCAUUGGUUAACUUGCUUUGUUUGCCACAUUUGAAAUAGAUGAAUAUGAAAUAUCAUUUUUGUCCCUAUCUAACCUUUUUCAUGCAUCUCAUUAUGUGUUUAUUUACAUGAUAAAUGGUGAAAUGACAUACUCUAAACAAAAGAAAUGUUAAGCAUUACCUGGAUGAAAAUUUGAUAAGCACAAGAGUCUCAAAGUAAGAACAAAGUUCAAUCGGGGGCAGAAGAGUGAUAUUUGAGAAAUGUCGAUUACUCGUGAAGCUUGAAGACAGGUAGAAGGCCUGAAGAGAAAGUCGAGAAUCAAAGCAAUGAACACAGAUCCUCAACAAUCGUGGCUAAAUGGACAUCCGACAAACAUGCUUAAGGAGCACUGCAUAAUCAUGUAGGCAUAAAAGCAUUUAAGACAAACAUGUGCAUAUCAUGAUAACAUCAUACAUGGCAUAUACAGGUACCCCAGCAGAGUAAGAAAUCUUGAAUGAGAGUCGCACUGAAUCAAAGGAAAAGACACCCGAGUUCUACCAAAGGACAGGUUUUGGUAUUUUGAUGUUUUUAAUUCAUGCUUUUCAAGGGAAAUCAACUCAUAUUGCAAGAGAUGAGUUGAGCCUCAAGACACGUUGAGGUAUUUUUAAUUUUUUAUUUUCAAAAUCCACUCAUAUUGCGAGAAGUGAGUUGAGCCUCGGGCACGCUGAGGUAUUUUUAGUUUAUGUUUUAAAUUGUCUCAUAUUGCGAGAGGUGAGUUAAGCCUUUUAAUUUUUGUUUUUCAAAAUCAACUCAUAUUUCUAGAGGUGAGUUGAGCCUCGGGGCACGCUGAGGUAUUUUCAAUUUUUGUGUUUUAAUUUCAACUCAUAUUGCAAGAGGUGAGUUGAGCCUCAGGUCACGCUGAGGUAUUUUUAAUUUCUGUUUUCAAUUUACGUUGUUCAAGAAUCAACUCAUAUUGCGAGAGGUGGGUUGAACCUUUUAAUUUCUACUUUUUCAAAAUCAGCUCAUAUUGCGAGAGGUGAGUUGAGCCUCAGGUCACGCUGAGGUAUUUUCAAUUUCUGUUUUCAAUUUACGUUGUUCAAGAAUCAACUCAUAUUGCGAGAGGUGGGUUGAACCUUUUAAUUUCUACUUUUUCAAAAUUAGCUCAUAUUGCGAGAGGUGAGUUGAGCCUCAGGUCACGCUAAGGUAUUUUCAAUUUCUUUUUUCAAUUUACGUUGUUCAAGAAUCAACUCAUAUUGCGAGAAGUGGGUUGAACCUUUUAAUUUCUACUUUUUCAAAAUUAGCUCAUAUUGCGAGAGGUGAGUUGAGCCUCAGGUCACGCUGAGGUAUUUUCAAUUUCUGUUUUCAAUUUACGUUGUUCAAGAAUCAACUCAUAUUGCGAGAAGUGGGUUGAACCUUUUAAUUUCUACUUUUUCAAAAUCAGCUCAUAUUGCGAGAGGUGAGUUGAGCCUCAGGUCACGCUGAGGUAUUUUCAAUUUCUGUUGUUCAAGAAUCAACUCAUAUUGCGAGAGGUGGGUUGAAUCUUUUAAUUUCUACUUUUUCAAAAUCAGCUCAUAUUGCGAGAGGUGAGUUAAGCCUCGGUUCACAUGCUGAGGUAUUUUCAAUUUCUGUCUUUCAAAAAAAAAUUUCAACUCAUAUUGCGAGAAAUGAGUUGAGCCUCAAGACACGUUGAGGUAAUUUCAAUUUCUGUUCAAAAUGAGUUGAACCUCAAGACACGCUGAGGUAAUUUCAAUUUCUGUUUUCAAAAUUCAACUCAUAUUGCGAGAAAUUAGUUGAGCCUCAAGACAUGCUGAGGUAUUUUCAAUUUCUGUUUUUCAAAAAAAAAAAAUCAACUCAUAUUGUGAGAAAUGAGUUGAGCCUCAAGACAUGCUGAGGUAUUUUCAAUUUCUGUUUUUCAAAAAAAUCAACUCAUAUUGCGAGAGGUGAGUUGAGCCUCAGGACACGCUGAGGUAAUUUCAAUUUCUGUUGUCAAAAAAAUCAACUCGUAUUGUGAGAGGCGAGUUGAGCCUCAGGUCACACGCCAAGGUAUUUUCAAUUUUCGUUUUUCAGUUUCUGCCUUUCAAAAAAAAAUCAACUCAUAUUGCGAGAGGUGAGUUGAGCCUUGGCUCACGCGCUGAGUUAUUUUCAAUUUCUGUCUUUCAAAAAAAAUCAACUCAUAUUGUGAGAGGUUAGUUGAGCUUCAGAUCACACACUGAGGUAUUUUUUCAAUUUAUAUUUUUCAAAAAAAUCAACUCACAUUGCGAGAUGUGAGUUGAGCCUCAGGUCACAUGUCGAGGUAUUUUCAAAAUCUGUUUUUCAGAUUCUAUUUUCAAAAAUCAACUCAUAUUGCUAGAAGUGAGUUGAGCCUUGGCUCACGUGCUGAGCUAUUUUCAUUUUUUUCAAAAAAAUUCAACUCAUAUUGCGAGAGGUGAGUUGAGCUUUUUAAUUUCUGCGAGAGUUGAGUUGGGUCUUUUAAUUUCUGUUUUUCAAAAAUCAACUCAUAUUGCGAGAGGUAAGUUGAACCUUCAGUCACAUAUCGAGGUAUUUUCAAAAUCUGCUUUUCAAGUUAAGUUUCAAAAAAUCAACUCAUAUUGCGAGAGGUGAGUUGAGCCUUGGCUUACGUGCUGAGCUAUUUUCAAUUUCUUUUUUUAAUGUCUAUUUUUAGAGAGUCAAUUCAUAUUACGAAAAAUGAGUUGAGCUCAGGAUCAUAUGCCGAGUAGAGAAUAAAGAUUGAAGCUGAUUGAAGACGUUAGAUUCUGUCUCCUUAAAGUUGCAGUGGAGUUGAUCGAGGGUAUCAGAUCUUGCCUUUCUAGAGUCGCAGAAGAAAAGACCACAAACCUUAUCUCACUGAAGCGAUAGAAGAGUAGAUUGAAGUUGUAGAUCUCACCUUUCUGAAGUUACAGCGAAAUAGAUCGAAGCCAUACAUUUCAUAUCCUUGAAGUUACAUCGGAAUAAAUUGAAGCUACAAGGCAUAUAUCACAAGAUGCAGUGGAGUGAACCAAAGCUACAAGAUGCGGUGGACUGAAAAGGGACUAACUAAACAAGAAGAGUUCCAAAGCAAGUCAAGACCUAGCAAGACCGGGCAAAUUUGGUCUUCCUUGAAAGUCUUUGCUCUAUUAUCGUUGCACGACAAUGAGCAAAGAGGGGCAGCUGUAGAAGCCCAAAUUGCUCGGGCCCGAUUAUAUCAAAACCCAACCAAACCUCUAAACCCACUAAAACCCUUAACCCAUGACCCAUUUACAUCUACCCAAACCCAUUACAAAACCCAAAUAUUAAACCCAAUUCAAAAGCCCAUUAAGUCCCCCCCAAAAAAACUAACCCCCCCAAAAAAAGAAGAAAAAACCUAACCCCCUCCCAAAAAAACCAAGAAACCCUAGCCACCUAGCCACUUUCCCACUUGCCCCAUUUUUCCUCCCAUUUUUGAUAUCCAUUGUUUACCACCACCACCUACAAAAUAGAAAAAGAAAUAAUAGAAAAUCAUGUAAAAGAUGGCUAUAAAAAGCCAUUCAAAAUCAUGUAAGGGGGGAUUUUAGAAGGAUUGAAAAAAAAACACAAAAAUCCCUUCAAAUUUUGAACACAAAAGAAACAUCAAUAAAAAGGUUGCAUCUUUUUCUUUUUUCCUCUUCUUUCGAAUCUUUUUUUUCUUUUUUUGUGUUGUUUUUUUUCUUUCUUUAUAUAUACAUAUAUUGUUAAAAUUUUUUUACCUUUUUCGGCCAUCGUGGGCGGUGGCCGGCGGUGGCCGACGACGGGCGGCGACCGACGAUCGACCGGUGACCGGCCCCCCUUGGCCGGAUUUUUUUCCCCCCUCCCUUCUCUCUUCUUUCCCCCUUCUUUUUUUUAGGUAUUUUAUAUAUAUUAUGUAUAUAUUUUUUAAUGCCAUUAGUUAUAUAUUUCUUAUGUAUAUAUUCUUAAAUACUAUUAUAUACAUAUAUAUAUUUUAAAUACCAUAUUGUGGUAUAUAUUAUUAUUACAAAUUAUUACUAUUGCUAGUAUUAUUAUAACUAUUAUUAUAUUAGUGUAUAUUUUAUGUACAUAUGUAUAUAUAUAUUUUUGCACAUAUCAUUAUUUUAUAUUAUUGUUGUAAAUUUUUUAUGUAUAUAUUUUUUAUGUACGUUUCCUAAUAUUUUCUUUUAUUGUAGAUAUUAUUAUUAUUAUUACAUACUUUUAUUAUAUGCAUAUAUAUAUGUAUUUUUAUGUACAUAUUAUUAUUUUAUAUUAUUAUUACCAAAUAUAUCAUUUUUCCUAUUUUAUUAUUAGUACAUGAUUUGUUUUUAUUUUGUAAAUAUCAUUAUUAUUGUUAUUCUAAUAUUCUAGUAUUCCAUGUUAAUAUUUUUCAUUAAUGAUAUCAUUUUUUUGCGUUCUUUAUCUAUUUUUAAUUUCUCACUUUAGGAAUAUUUUUUCUCAUGUUUUAAUUAAUUUCAAAAAUAAGGCAAUGUACCGAUUUAAUAAUAAGCCAUCGAUUUCAUCGCUAUGUUGGGUGAAAUUCGUCGGCUUGUGUUAAAAAACGGGACACCCUUUCUAAAAAAAAAAUCGAAAACUAAAAAUUCUCAUUUUUCAAUCGGAUCACGAUUAAAUAUUAUAUUGAACUCGUAUUUUUGAAAAUCAAGUCAACAAAUGUUUAUGAGAUACCAAUUUUGGGCGUCGCGAGGGUGCUAAUACCUUCCUCGCGCGUAACUGACUCCUGAACCCCAAUUUUGCUCUGAACUUUCACGUAGACCUAAAUUUGGCCUUCUUUUUGUUUUAAAAUAAUUUUAUUAGGUGUCCGAUCACACCUAUAAAAAAGGAUCAGUGGCGACUCCCUUUGCUAAUAAAAUCAAAAGUUGGUUUUCAAAUGUUUAAUAAAUCGCCACAAUUAGCGACCAAGCGAAACUAAAUUUUUUUUACGUCGCUACACCUACAUCUUUGAGCACCAACACCGAAAGAUAACUUCUCUGUCACAAAAAAUAUUUACACAAUAAUGAAAACUUCAAUUAAAAGAUUUCCCAAAAUAUACUUAAAUAGACCAAUGAGGGAAGACAAAAUUUUUGGGAUGAUUUUCUAAGUGAAAGCUUAAAGCCUUUUAUAUAGUGGUGGAUAGGCAGCAUAGUUAAUGCCCUUCUUCAUGUAGGAAAAAUGAGCCAAUACCAACAAAUACGACUCAUUUUAUUGAUGAAAAGUGCUUCUUGUGGAAGGUUAUAAAUGUGCCAAGUUUGUUGUUCUAGAUGGAUCAUUGGUGCUACGAGGAAUCAUUGAAAGUUUUAUUUCCUCAUUUAUUCAGAUUGGCGAUAAAUAAAGUGGCAAGAGUUCUGGAGUAUGCUGUUGAUUCCACGUUCGAUCAUAAUGACUGUAAGCAGGCCAAUUUGUCCGGGUUCACAUCAAGACCAAAUAAAGAAACAAAAAAACCAAAACAGUCCAUUAAAUGUCCAAUUACAUAACAAAACCCAAAAAAAUAACUAGCCCAAUUACAAAUCCCUAACCCAAAACCCUAAUAGCCCAAUAGGCCCAAUGCCUAAACCAAAUCUCAACCAAGCCAAACCCUAGCCUAAUGCUUGCGCCGCAACCAGCCAACACCUCCGUACGCUCCAAUGUUUCAGCAGCCACGCCCGCGCCUCCGUACGCCAGCACAGCCCUCGUACUCGCGCCACGCACACCUGUACCUACAAAAAGGACGAACGCACAACAAAACAAAGAACAAAUAUUGUAUUUUUUUAUCUACUUUUUUUCUUUCUUUCUUUUAGGCUAUAAAGCCAAGAUUUUUAAUCUUUGUAAGGGGUUACGAAAUAUAGACACAUUACGCAUACGAAAUGAAAAAUAGAAAAAAGCAAAGAAAGGUGAUUUCUGUUUUGAGUCUCUGGAUCUAUUGCAUUAUUUCUCUAUCUACUUCCUUCGUUUUUUCUUUCUCAUUUUUUGCAUUUAAAAACAAAAGAAAAGGGAAAACAAGACCUUACCUUGCGAAUCCACCGUUGAUCCUCUAUUGCUUCGUCGAAAUCGAAGUUAAAUGGGGGAUUUUGAGGCCAAAGAGCGACAAGUCGAAGCCAGAAGCCCGAGGCGCCGUUCUUGAUGGCAGUUUGAUGCUUGAGAAGGGGACUUAGGGUUCAGCUAAAGGGGAAAAAGAAAAGGCUAGGGUUGCAUAAGAGAUUCGGCUGAAUGAAGGCAUGAUUUGGCCUUUUUAAGGAAACAAAAACGGCUCCAUUUCAACCAAUCUAAAUGGUUCAAAAACAACGUUGUUUGGUAAGAGCCCCGACCCGAUCCGUUCCCGAAUACCCUCAGGACCCUCGUGUUUUUACGGUGAAGGGUGAUUUGCAAGAUUGGCCCUCCCCCUUUUACGCUGCAUUUCAAUCCGCUUACAUUUGUAUUUCUUUGUUUUUUUUAAAUUAUCCCUGUAACUUGCGCGUAUUUGCACUUUGGUCCGUGCUUCAGCGCUGCAUUUUGGGGUCUGGAUUAUUUCCAGAUUUGGUCCCUGCGCACAUGUUGUACGCUGGUCCUUUUUUUUAAUUUUUUAACAGUUUAUUACAUUUAUAAUUUGUCCUUUCCAUUUUAAUUCUAUUUUAAUUGAGUUUCCCUUUUUUAUUUAUUUAUUUUGUGGUUCAUUAUCACUUUUUUUUUGAGAUACAUUCAACAUCUUUUUGAUCCUUGUUUACUUAUUAUUUACAUUUUAAGUUAUUUUAAUGAUUGUAAAAUCACUAUUGUAAUGCUUCUUUUUAUACACUAUUAUUUGUAUAUAUAUACUUUAUAACAAAGUUAAUCUUAUUUUAUGCAUAUUAUUAAUCUUAUAUUAUUUUAUACAUAUAAUUUCUUUUAAAUUUUCUUAUAUUGUAUUACAUAAUCCUACAUAAUAUAUCUUUUAAAUUAUUAUUAUAUAUGUAUAUAUAUUUAUUGAUGCCUAUGUUUAAUCUAUAUACAUUACUAAACCUAUGCAUUUUGUACACAUAGUUUUCUUUACAUAUAAGUAUUUUCUUAAAUCUAUCAUAUAUAAUUUAUAAUAAAAUUAAUUUAAUCUUAAAUACAUUAUUAAGUACAAGUUUUUGUUACAAAUAAUUAUUUCUUAAUCUAUUUAAGCAUAUGUUUUGUAAAUCUAUUGUGUGUAUUUUCUAAAAUUCUAUUUUAUCAUGCAUCUUGGCCACCCGUUCAUGUUUAUAUAUUAUUAAGUUCUCCUUUAUUGUAUGUACUUUUUAAAAUAUUUUGACACCAUGUACAUUAUUUGAUUUUAAAAUAUUUAUUUUAUAACACAUAUUUUAACAAUUAUGUAUGUAUAUCUCUAGUUUGUUUUUACAAAUUAUUUUAAAUUCAUCAAUUCAUAUAUUAUAAGUUAUGUGUUCAUUAAUUCAUCAUUAUGUUGAAAAAUGUCUUAUACCACAUCAACUUCUAAAUUCUAUUUUGUUUUGUACAUGUUUUGUGGAUUGAUUUAUAUGGUGCCAUACAUUGUUGUAUAUCAUUUAUUUAUUGUUUUAUUUGUUAUAUUAAUUGUUUGUUAUCCAUGCUUGCGAGUUUGGUUAUAUAUUUUAGAUCAUUUGUUAUAUUAAUUGUUUGUUAUCCAUGCUUGCGAGUUUGGUUAUAUUUUUUUAGAUCAGUUAUGCUUAGUUAUUAGUUUGUCAAUUGGCAUUGUAUUUUAUGUGUGCAUAUUACCCCAAGUUCUAUUUUUCCUUUAGUCUACAAAUGUCGCAUUAUGAUUUUCAACUUCUUCUUUAAAUUUUUUUUAACUAAUUAUUCUAUUCUGUUUCAAGUCAAAUUAAUGCGUUUUAAGCUAGUUUUAUAAUUAUUCAUUUAAAAAUUCUUUAAAACGAAUGCAAUGUUUGAUGUUUGGCAAUUCGGGGAAUCGUGCCCUAUUGUGCUGGGUUGCAAUUUCCCGUUUGUUCAAAAUAAUCGAGUAUUCCUUUGGAAUUUAACUCAUGUCUUUAAAAAUUCUUUAAAACGAAGGCAACGUUCGAUGUUUGGCAAUUCGGGGAAUCGUGCCCUAUCGUGCUGGGUUUCAAUUUCCCGUUUGUUCAAAACAAUUGAAUAUCCCUGUAGAAUUUCACUCACGUUUUCUAAAUUCUAAAAUAAGGCAAUGUUCAAAGUUUAGAAAUUCAGGGAAUCGUGCCCUACCGCGCUGGGUUUCGAUUUUUCUUUGGACUGAAUAAUUGGGCAUCCUUUUGUAAUUUUCAACGUAUAAACUUUCGGAAGUCAAAAUUUAUCGUUGUUUUCGGGGGUAUAAAGGAUCGUGUCCUAUCGUACUGGAUGUGAUGCUGCAUUCCUCCGAAACAAGAGAAUUUUGACAACCAGCUCGAGCCAUUCAAAUGCUUCAAAAGGAAUAACAUUUCAAAAACUCUUUUUAAUAUCAGACAUAAGGAUAGUAUUUAAUUAAUUUGGUACCGAUUUUGGGUGUAAUGAGGGUGCUAAUCAUUCCUCAUACGUAACCGACUUUCGUACCCAUUUUCUCAAAAUUUCGUAGACCAAAAUUGUUGUUUUAGUAAACCAAAAUGUUUUAUUAAAAUGACCAAAAUUCUUGGUUAUCCAAUCACACCUAAACAAAAAAGAUUGGUGGCGGCUCCACGUUUUAUUUUCAAAAAGUCGAUUCCCCGUCUUUCUUUAAAUUUUAAAAUAGUUUCGACAGCUUGGUGACUCCACUAGGGAUCGAACAAGAGAGUUUAGCCUUAAAAUCGAUUAUUUGUUGUCCUUUGUCGAAGUGUUGAAGAUUUGUUUUGAAAAUCAUGAUUGCAUUUGUUUGUAUGAUUGUCAUGAUUCGGGUUCUGUAGAAUAAUAUUGCAUUACAUUGCAUGACCGCUAUGGUCACACUUUCUAAGUGGGAGUAAGAAACUAUGCUUUCCACCUCAGCAUGGGCUAGUGGAUUGCUUCCGGGAUACAUCCGUACUUAUAAUUUCGUGAGAUUUUCAUCUCCGCAUGGUCAUAGGGAAAUGUAUUCCCCUGAAUCGAACUUGAUCCAUAUGAGUCUAUAAUGGGUAAGGAUUGAGGAAUCUGCUGGUUCAGGUACCUUAUCUCUAGAACCGACCCGCAUAUAGCGAACCUUAAGAGCUAUCAUUGGGUGGAGUUAUAAUUGUCUUUUCUGUGCUUGUAUUUUAUCACUAUUAUUUGAUACUAACUUGUGUUUUGUUUUGAUUGUGUUUUGCAUAACAUUGCAUACUAAAGGAGGUGUUGAUUCGUAUUCGAUUACUAAGUUAGAAAGUUUGACAUGGAGAAUGAAUUUCUUAAUAAAGUUGAGGAUAAUGCAGCCGUCUGCGCAUGGUCAGAGAAGUUGCAAUCGGAGAAAGGGGAUAGCUUGGCAGAAGGAUAUACAUCAGAGUUACAGGAAUUCACUCGCGUCAAUGUGGCAUAGAAUGAGUUGCAAGAGUUGAGAGAUAUAUGGGCUCGUUGGGAUGAAGGAACCAAACAGUUGUUCUAUCAGAGCUAUGGUGACAUAUCUUACUUGCUAGAUAUUAAGGUGGACAAGCACCUGUUCCGAGUUAUGGUUUAGUUUUGGAAUUCUGCUUACAAGUGUUUUACUUUUGGGGAAGUGGAUUUAGUACCUACCGUGGAGGAGUAUACCGUUCUGCUCAGGUGUCCAAAAGUUCAAGUUAGAAAGACUUAUACCAGGGUUUUUAAUGGUCAGACUUUCGCGAAGAAAUUGAUGAACAUUUCAGGGAUGAGUGAGCCUAGGGCCACUACUCGGAUUCAACAAAAAGGAGAUAGUAAAUGUAUCCCUUGGGAGAAUUUGUGAGAUUUGGUUCUAACACAUCUGGAUGAAAGAAAGAGGGUCGAUAUCUUCAUCUUAAUCAUCUGCGGAUUGGUAAUUUUUCCUAAGGCUUUAAGGCACGUGGAUGAGGCAAUCACUGACUUAUUCGAUCAUUUUGAGAAGGGAAUCACACCUGUAUUGGCAAUAUUGGUCGAGACGUUCAGAUCCUUGAGCACGUGUCUGAAGAUAGGAGAGGGGUGGUUUAUUGGAUGUGCACAACUAUUGAUGGUGUGGUUUCAUGGGCCCUUUUGGAAGGUAGACAAGGUUUCUUAUAAGGUCUUUUCUGAAGGUUAUUCCCCAUUAAAAGAGGAGGUAGCCAUACAAAGGAGAGAGGAUAUCUCAGAGGAGAAGUGGAUGGAAAUCCUCUAAAACCUCAAGGAGGGGGACAUAGAGUGGGGAGCUUAUUGGAUGGUUCCUGAUGCAAUCAUGUAUCGAUGUGGGAACUUUUACUGGGUGCCAUUGUUAGGAAUUUGGGGAGCUACCAGGUAUACUCCAUUGCUUGCAUUAAGGUAAUAUAAAUCGAGGCAGUUUGUACCCAUGACUUACGGGUUUGCUUAGUGUGAAUUCUCCUUUAAAGGUGACCACUAUAAAAAGAAGGUUCGGAAACUGUCUGAUGCUUGGAAGCAAACUCGCUGGAUGAAGAGGUUAGCUGUCGGUUCUAUGGUGACUCCUGAAUAUAAUGGAUGGUUUAGGAAGAGGGUCAAUGAUAAUUUUCUUAGGCCAAAUUUGAAAGAUACUAGACCUAUGGUGGAACAAUUACAAAUCGCCCCGUUAGAGUUGGAAAUUAUAAAGCAAGACUUCGAGAAGAAGAGUUCUGAGCUUGGGAAAAAGAUCAAACAAUUGGAGGAAGAAAAGAUGCAUCUGAGAUUAGACGUAGACGUUCAGAGAUCAGAGGCUGAGAAGUGGAGAAAAGGGAAAAGUAAGGCCGAAGAAGAUCUAGACAGUUUGAAGACAGAUUAUAAGAAGUUACGCCUGUCUAUAAGAACUGCGGGGUUAGGUAAAACUUCUGAACAAUGGCGCCAUAAAAUUCGAGAGGAAAAGACCAAAGUCGACCGGCGGGAAAGGAAAUUCCGAGAGGCUCAGGCACAAAAUAAAGAUUUAGAGAAAAGUCUGUCAGAAAGCAGAAACGAACGAGGUGAAUUAAGGGCUAGAGUGGUAGAGCUCGAGAAGUCUCUUCAUCAGUACUGAAGCCGCAAUACCGCAAUGGAAUUGAGAGCAAGCUUGAGUAAGGUGGAAGAAAUGAAAGGAAAACUAGAAGAAUUGGAAGCGUCACUACAAAACUGUGAGAUACGAAUUCAGUUUUUUGAGGCAAGUAAGAAGCGUUGGAAGGAGCAUCUUCACCAUGCGCAAGACCAAGUCAGAAAGAGAGAUUACAUUAUGGGGGAAGCCAUAACCCAGAUUCAGGAGGUAGCUGAUUAUUUGCAAGCUUUAGCGGUACAAGCAGACACACUGAGCGUGAAGUACGAGUUAGAGUCUGAUCAGGGGCAGAAGCUAGCCUCGUUGCUUAGGAAAAUUAAGAUUUUGAGCAUUAGAGCGAAGUUUUAUUUGUAACUCAGCUUUAUGUAAAGAAUUUUAUUUUCUAGUGAAGUUUUCUAAAGGGAAUUGUAUCAAAAUUGAUGCUUCAUUUGCAUUCAUACAUUUGCAUUACAUCACAUCAUUAUGCAUUAAAAGUCAUAAAAAGUUUCUAAUUAAUUAAAAAUCAUUUCAGUAAUCUGGAAAUCAACGAAAACCAACCAACUAUGCACCCUUACGGUACAAGGAAAAAGUCAAUAGAUAAAAGACUUGAGAAAUUGAAGCAAAUGCAAAAGGACAUGCAGUUACAGAUGCAGUCACAGAUGCAAGAGUAGCUAGCCAAGAUUCAGUGAGAGAUGAAAGAGCAAAUGAUGGAAUCCCAAAGAGAGAUGAUAAGUCAAUUGUCCCAAUUACUGAUGGGAAGAACGGAUAAAGGAAAAGGUUCCAUGGACAAUAUUGGGGAAACUAAUGAAGACCCUCAAUACCCUCCUGGCUUCACUCCGAAACAUGUACCGAUACAACCUGAGAUUAAUCUACAAAGACCAUCUGUUACAAUUAUGCCUCAACAGAUUCAAGCUGGAACUUCGUUAGCGAUGAAUUUCCAAGCUGGCUCAGGCUCUAACCCUGUUAAUAACUAGAAUUAUCCGCCUGUUCCCGAUUUGGAUGAAGUUGCAGAAGAAGAAAAGGCAAGGAUAGAAUCACAAAAAUAACUAAAAGAACGGUGUGAAUGGUUGGAGGAAAAAUUUAGAGCUAUGGAAAGCGCAGAUNNNNNNNNNNNNNNNNNNNNNNNNNNNNNNNNNNNNNNNNNNNNNNNNNNNNNNNNNNNNNNNNNNNNNNNNNNNNNNNNNNNNNNNNNNNNNNNNNNNNNNNNNNNNNNNNNNNNNNNNNNNNNNNNNNNNNNNNNNNNNNNNNNNNNNNNNNNNNNNNNNNNNNNNNNNNNNNNNNNNNNNNNNNNNNNNNNNNNNNNNNNNNNNNNNNNNNNNNNNNNNNNNNNNNNNNNNNNNNNNNNNNNNNNNNNNNNNNNNNNNNNNNNNNNNNNNNNNNNNNNNNNNNNNNNNNNNNNNNNNNNNNNNNNNNNNNNNNNNNNNNNNNNNNNNNNNNNNNNNNNNNNNNNNNNNNNNNNNNNNNNNNNNNNNNNNNNNNNNNNNNNNNNNNNNNNNNNNNNNNNNNNNNNNNNNNNNNNNNNNNNNNNNNNNNNNNNNNNNNNNNNNNNNNNNNNNNNNNNNNNNNNNNNNNNNNNNNNNNNNNNNNNNNNNNNNNNNNNNNNAAUGAUAAGGGAAAAAAUAAAAUUAACGAGUAAAAAUAAUAAAUAAACUAGGAAAUAUUCGAAAUCGAAAGGAACUCGUAAUAAAUAAACAAUCAUUAUGUAAAGCUAAAGAAUGAUAGUGUAGUAAUGAUAACAACAAUAUUAAUAAUAGUAAUAAUAUAAGCAAUAAUUUUAGAAUGAUGUAUGAAAGUGUAUAUGUGUAUAUAUAAAUAAAUAAAUGAUAUAUAAUGUGAGAGAAGAAUAAAAAUGAAAUAAGAGUAUUUAAAGAGUAAUGGACAAAAAUAUAAUAAUAAUAAUAUAAUAGUAGUAAUAAUGAUAAUAAUAAAGUAAUAAAUCAUAAUGAUAAUAGUAAUACUAAUAUAAGUAAUAAUAUAAGUAAAUAUAGAGAGAAUAUGUAUAGUAAUAUAAUAGUAUCUAUAUAAAAUUAAUUAACCUAAUAACAAGACGAUAAUACUAGUAAUAAUAAUAAUGUGGAAAACAAUAAUAAUAAUAUAUUAAUAGGAAUAAAAGAAAUAUAUUUAUAAUAACGAUAAAUAAUAAUAAAUGAUUACAAUAAUAAUAAUGAUAAUAGUAAUGGUAAAAAGAAAAUAUAUAAUGUGACAAAAUCAAUAUAAAAUUAAUUGGUUUAAUAAUAUGAUAAUAACAAUAUGAUAAUAUGAUAAUGAAGUAGAAUAUAAGAAUAAUAAUAAUGCAUUAGUAAGAAUAAUAAUAGUGAAUAAAGAAUGAAAGUAAUCAUAAUAAUAAAUUUUAACGUAUAUAUAAGAAAUAAGUAAAUAAAUGCACACUAAAAUAUAUAUGACGAUGGAGCAAAAUAUCUAAAUAUGAACAAUAUAAGGAAUUUUAGAAUAAAUGAUAAUAAAAGAUUUAUAAUAAACAAUAAAGGAACUUCAAAUAAAUAACCUAUAGAACAAUUAACACAUGAAAUUUAAAAUAGACAAUAUAUACAUAUAAUAGUUUAAAAUAUAAUAUAUAUAUACAAAUUCAAAAUAUACACAAUGUAAAAGUUUAAAAUAAAUAUUGCACACAAGCUUAAAAUAAAUGAGAUUUAAAAUAAUACAACAAAAUGAUAAGAGUUUGAGGACUGAAUUAAAAUCAAAGUAAAAUUGCGGGAUGAAAAUCGUAAAUAAUAGAAGCUAUUAGGGACUAAAAUAGGGUGCGCACAAACUAAUAGGGAUGAAAAAUGAGAAUAGACCAAACCCCAAAACGACGUUUUAACGCAGGCCAAUUUGAAAAGUGCGCAAAAUCUGAGGGAAAAUCUGAGAACAAAAGGAAAAUAAAAAGGGAUUAAAUUAAAAGAGACAAAAAUGCGGAAGGACUACGCGCGCGAUUAUCCCGCUUAACAGAAACACGAGGAUCCUCUGUCGGCCGGGUCGAGUCAUCGGGUCACUUCAGUGAAACGGCGUCGUUUUAUAUUAUGGGGGCCUAAGUGAAACAGUGUCGUUUCACUAAGGCUAUUUAAACCAUUUUUCUUUUAAAAUUUUCAUUUCUUUCUUACUUCAGAAAAAAAAAGAAUGAAACUUUGAAAUUCUCUCCCUCUCUCAGUCUCCGACCUAGCUCCGGUCGUCGGACCACCGCCGUCGCCGUCGCGCCGGCCACCGUACACGGUGGCCAGAAAUCGCCCCUAGGUAAAUUUUUUCUUCUUUUUUUUUAAUUUUUUAUUUGUUUUACUUAUUUAAUAUAUGUACAUUGUUUUAUUAAAGAUGGGGAUAAUAUAUGUAAAUAAAUUCGAAAAGAAAAAAAAUAAAAUAGACCUUAGAUUUGCUGUUUUCGGUUCUCCGGUCUCUGAUAUGGGGCUAUUCCCUGCUUUUGAUGUUGCUAAAGUCUCUGUUUUUACUUGAAAUCGAAUGUUGUUCGCUUUUAUUUUUUUUUAAAAAUGUCGAAUGUUUCAAUGGUUUUUGGAUUUGGCCUUUAAAUAGCCAUUACAUUUCCCUUUUUUAAUAUCUGUCUAUUCUCCUUUUUUUAAUGUUGUAGACGCAAGUGGGGCGGUGGCACAGUGGCGGUGCUUGCAGACGUCGGUGGUGGAUGGGGUGGGGAGCAGGUGCUGAACGGCUAGGGUUUCCUUAGCUCUUUUCUUUUGUUGUGUGUGUGGGCAUGGGUAGGUUUCGGUUUUUGGGGUGAUUUGGGUAGGUUAUUUGUUUUGGGUGUAGUGGGUAUUUAGUGGGCUUUGGGGUUUUGGGCCCAAAAUUGGGUUUGUACAGCUGCCCCUCUUUGCUUGUUGUCGUGUAACGAGAACAGAACAAAGACUUAAGAAAGACCAAUUUUGCCCGGUCUCACUGUGUCUGGGCUUGUUUAGCGCUCCUUUUCUCCAGGUAGCUUUAUUCCAAUCUUGUUGCUUCGCUUCGCUUCACUGCUCUAUUGCAACUUCAAGAAGGUAAGGUUUGUUUUGAUCUGCUCCACUGCAACUCCAUAGAGAUAAGACACGUGACUUCAAUCAAUCUCACUGAAACUUCAAGGAGAUCUACUGUAGCUUCGAUCAAUUCCACUGAAACUUCAAGGAUAUCUGCUGUGGCUUUUAGCUGCUCCAACGCCAUUUCAGGGAGAAGAUAUUUGAUUUUCAACCUGUUACCCUACUGCUUAGGGGGUUAAGGCUUGUCAUCAUUGAUCUGUUUCCCUACUGCUUAAGGGUUUAGAUCUGUAAACUCAACCUAUUACCCUACUGCUUAGGGGUUUAAGGUUUGAAAAUUUGGCUUGUUACCCUAUUGCUUAGGGCAAUAAUAUCCAUAAACUUCAGCUUGUUACCCUACUGCUUAAGGGGUUAAAGCUUGGUGGUUUGAAUCUGCUUUACUACAUUCGAGGAGGCAAAAUUCGAUGUAUUUGAUCUGCUCCACUGCAACUUCAAGGAGGCAAGAUCUGUGAUUUUCAGCCUAUUACCUUACUGCUUAGGGGGUUAAGGCCCAUCUUCUUUGAUCUGUUUCCCUACUGCUUAGGGUGAUAAGAUCUGCAAAUUUGGCUUGUUACCCUACUGCUUAGGGGGUUAAAGCCCUUUGAAUUCAAUCUGUUACCCUACUGCUUAGGGGUUUAAGGUCUGUACAUUUAGUCUGCUCCACUGCGACUUCAAGGAGAUGAGACUUGUAACUUCAGUCUGCUCCACUGCACUUCAGGGAGAUAAGGCUAGUGACUUCAAUCUACUUCGCUGAGGCUUCAAGAUGACAGGAUUCGCUGGAUUUGAUCUGUUCCACUGCAACUUCAGGGAGACGAGAUUUAUAAUUUUUAGCCUAUUACCCUACUACUUAGGGGGUUAAGGUCUGGUGAAUUCACUGAUUCUAGAAACAUGACCUGUAGAAUUAGUUCUAUGUAUUUAUGCUUAUGCCAACGAAUUAGGAUGCUAUGAUCAAAAUGAAUCAAAUGCUCCUAAUCAGAUACGUUACAAAUAAUCUAUGAAUGUAUAGGUGCAACAUGUUGUGAGCGAGAAUCCCCUUUUAAUGUUUAGGUUGCCAUUGCUCUUUGUUCAUCAAGGUUCUUUCACUGAAAUGGUACCCUGUCUUCUUGUUCAGCUCAAAUUUUGAACAGAAAACCCGAAGAGGUAGUCUCAAUUUAAACUCUUUCUUCUCAUAUGCCUCCAAUCUUUGAGUUUGGUUAGUUCUAAAUAAUAGUCCUGUUUUAGGUUCCUGUACUAUUUAGAAACUUUCAGAGCAAUAUGCAGAACUCUUUUUGUGAAAAUGGCUUUUAGUCCAUUAAUUAUCAUUUCAAUGCAAAAUGCUUGAAAAAGAUUAUAGUAAUGAUGGAAUUGAAAUUUAUCAGAAACAAAAAUUGAAGGGAAUAGAUUCAUCACGGUCAACAAACAUUGCUAGAAUACAAAAUGAAUAAGAAAGGAAUAGGUGCCCCAGAUAUCGCAACGUGAGCUUCUCUGUACUGGCUUCUUGAGGACUCUUUUUUUGCCCAAUAUGUGUUUAGGGGAUCUAAAGUACUCUUGUAGAUGCCCCGAAAUGUAACAUCUCUCCUCCUUGUUAAUUUUAGGUAUCAUAAGACCAUUGCAUGCCCCACCUUUGAUCAAAAUUUGAAUCGCCCUUUAUGGGUUUUCAAUUCAAAAUCCCUUUGGUUUCAAGGUGCUCUUUGCGAGUUUUCACCUUGGCCUCUCCCUUUUUUUUUAGGCUAAGUAUUUCUUAACCGAGUCCGAAUUCAUGGGAUUGGGUAAGGUCUUGCCAUCCAUUUCAUCCAAUAUCAAUUCUCCUCCAGAAAAGGCUUUCUUUACCACAUAAGGUCCUUCCCAAUUAGGCAUCCAUUUUCCUCUGAAAUCUUUUUGUAUGGGCAGGAUCUUUUUCAAUACUAGGUCUCCUUCGUGGAAUUCUCUGGGACGAACCUUUUUGUUGUAAGCUCGCAUCAUUCGCUUUUGGUACAUCUGACCAUGACAGAUAGCCCUUAGCCUAUUUUCUUCAAUCAAAUUCAACUGAUCAUAUCGGGACUGGAUCCAUUCUGCUUCAUCUAACUUUACUUCUGACAAAACUCUGAGGGAAGGAAUCUCGACCUCAAUAGGUAAAAUCGCCUCCAUUCCAUAGACCAAUGAGAAAGGCGUUGCCCUGGUAGAAGUCCUGAUAGACGUUCGAUAAGCAUAGAGGGCGAACAACAACUUCUCAUACCAGUCUUUAUAAGUUUUAGUCAUUUUCCCCACGAUCUUUUUAAUGUUUUUAUAAGCUGCCUCAACUGCACUGUUCGUUUUUAGGCGAUACGGUGACGAGUUGUGGUGUCUGAUCUUGAACUGACUGCAGACUUCUGCUAUCAUGCUAUUGUUCAAAUUCAAUGCGUUGUCAGAUAUGAUCCUUUCCGGUAUUCCAUAUCGACAAAUGAUUUCCUUUUUUAGGAACUUGCUAACUGCCGAUUUUGUAACAUUGGCAUAUGAAGCGGCUUCCACCCACUUGGUGAAAUAAUCGAUGACUACAAAGAUGAAACGAUGCCCAUUUAAAGCUUUUGGUGAAAUUGGCCCAAUCACAUCCAUGCCUCACAUCGAGAAAGGCCAUGGAUAAGUCAUGACAUGCAGAGGUGAGGUAGAAACAUUAAUCUUGUCUCUAUAGAUUUGGCACUUAUGACAUCUUUUGGCGUAAUUAAUACAGUCUCCUUCCAUGGUGGACCAAUAAUAUCCAAACCUCAUAAUUUGCCUGGCCAUUGUAAACCCAUUAGCAUAUGUCCCACAGACGCCCUCAUGGACUUCCUUUAAGAUUUUCUUAGCCUCUAUAGCAUCUACACAUCUCAACAGUAUUUGAUCUUUCCUUCUCUUGUAUAGGAUCUCUCCAUCUAAGACAUAGUCAUGGGCCAGUCUUCUCAAUGUUCUUUUUUCAUUCUCGGUAGCUUGAUCGGGGUACUCACGGUUCUUCACAUAUCGCAGGAUAUCGUGGUACCAAGGGUGAUCAUCAAUUUCUUCUUCUUCUUCGAGGUUGUAACAAUGAGCCGGAGCUUCAUAAAUGCUCAUUUGGAUUGGUUUCACAUCCUCUGGUUGGUUCACCUUGAUCAUAGAAGCUAAAGUUGCUAGGGCGUCAGCCAUCUGAUUUUCUUCUCGUGGGAGGUAGUAGAAGACAAUAUCAUCAAACUCUUUAAUUAACUCAAGGAUCAACCUCCGGUAUUUGAUCAAUUUGGGGUCUCUCGUCUCCCAUUCACCUUUGAGUUGAUAAAUCACUAGGGCAUAAUCUCCAUAUACCUCUAACACCUUGAUUUUAUGUUCUAUGGCUGCACGUAUUCCCAUGAUGCAUGCUUCGUAUUCUGCCAUAUUGUUCGUGCAGUCAAAAUCCAAUUUACUAGUGAAGGGAUAAUGAUCUCCGUUCGGGGAUACCAGGACUGCCCCGAUUCCAUUUCCCACGGCAUUUGAUGCUCCGUCAAAGUUUAGCUUCCAAGGAUGACCUUCUUGAGGGUCUUCUUCAGUGGUUGCUAUGUACAUUAGAUCUUCAUUUGGGAAGUCAAAGUUUUGAGGCUCGUAGUCCUCUAGGGCUCUGCUGGCUAGGAAAUCUGCUAUCGCACUCCCCUUUACGGCCUUCUGGUUCACAUAGACUAUAUCAAAUUCAGAAAGUAGAAUUUGCCAUCGGGCCAUCCUCCCGUUCAAAGUAGUCGACUCCAUCAAGUACUUCAGAGGGUCCAUUUUAGAGAUUAACCAAGUUAUGUGAUACAACAUGUAUUGUCUUAGUCUUCGGGUUGUCCAGAUUAAGGCACAACACAACCUUUCAAUGAACGAGUAUCUCGUCUUGCACUCAGUGAACUUUUUACUGAGGUAAUAUAUUGCCCUUUCUUUCCUUCCCGAUUCAUCGUGUUGGCCAAGCACGCAUCCCAUAGAAUUUUCAAAUACCGUCAAAUACAGUAUCAGUGGUUUAUCUGGACUAGGUGGUGUCAACACUGGGGCAUUAGACAAAUAUUGUUUAACUUUGUCAAAGGUCUUCUGGCAUUCCUCGUCCCAAACACCAGGGUUGUGUUUCUUAAGGAGACGGAAUAUGGGGUCACAUUUCUCGGUUAGUUGUGAAAUAAACCGAGCGAUGUAAUUUAAUCUUCCUAGGAAUCCCUGAACUUCCUUUUGAGUACGCGGUGGAGGUAACUCUUGUAUGGCUUUGACUUUAUCUGGGUCAAUCUCAAUCCCUUUUUCACUGACUACGAAUCCAAGUAGUUUUCCAAACCUGGCCCCGAAGGUACACUUCGCUGGAUUGAGUUUCAGCUAGAAUUUUCUCAACCUAAAAAAUAAUUUCCUCAAGACUUGCACAUGAUCUUCUUCAGUUCGAGAUUUGGCGAUCAUGUCGUCGACAUAGACUUCAAUUUCUUUAUGCAUCAUAUCAUGGAAUAUGGUUACCAUGGCUCUCUGAUAUGUUGCUCCCGCAUUUUUCAAUCCGAACGUCAUCACCUUAUAGCAAAAAGUUCCCCACAUAGUCACGAAUGUGGUUUUAUUCAUGUCUUCAGGAUGCAUAUUGAUCUGAUUAUACCCCGAGAAACCAUCCAUGAAGGAGAAGAGUGAGUAGCCUGCUGUGUUAUCCACUAAAGUGUCAAUAUGAGGCAACGGGAAAUUAUCUUUCAGGCUGGCUUUGUUUAAGUCUCUGUAGUCCACACACAUCCGUACCUUUCUAUCUUUUUUAGGGACGGGGACGAUAUUGGCUACCCAUUCUGAGUACUUAACUACUUGUAAGAAGCCUGCUUCAAAUUGUUUCUUGACCUUCUCUUUUAUUUUCAACAAAACAUCGGGCCGCAUCAUUCGAAGCUUUUGCUGAACUGGCUUGCAUUUUUCUUUGAUGGGGAACCUGUGUACCACAAUACCAGUACUUAGCCCAGGCAUAUCUUGAUAUGACCAUGCGAAGACAUCCUUGAACUCUUGGAGUAACUCAAUAAGGUCCCGCUUUGUCUCUGUGGUAGUGCAAGCUCCGAUCUUUACUUCUUUCCUUUCUAGUUCAUCUCUUAAGUUCACGAUUUCUACGGUCUCUUUGUGGGGUAGAAUCUGUUUCUCCUCGUGUUCUACCAUCCUUAACAAAUCAGGGGAUAAGUUACAGUCUCCGUCAUCCUCAGAGUCCUAAGAUCCUUCUUGACACAUAUCCAGCUCAAAAGGAGACUCUGAAUGAGUAGCAACGUCACUCACAUCAUUGAUAUCUGGAGACCUGUUGUAGGUGCGAAGGAAGAUACAAAGAAGAAGAGAAUCUAAGAACAAAGAUAUGUAUGGUAUGAUCAUGAAUGAAAGAAUAAAAGAAUAUUUGCAUGGAAUAAGUCAAAAGGAUGCAUUUUAUUGGAAUAACGAUUUCGAGCAUAAGCCUAUUUCACAAAAGGACACUUCUUACUCCUAGGCCUAGAGCAAUAAAUGUGUUUUGGACAUUACUCUGAGUUAGUUCUAAAGACUACAGAAAUCUCUUCCACAGUCUAAUUAUUCAGAACGCUUCCCGGCUCAUAGGGGCGAAUGCCCGACAAAUUCUCUACCCCAGUUCCUUUUUCAUACGUGGCGUUGAUGUCCAAACUCUCCAUCAUUUCUUCCAAGAUUUCCUUUCUAGAUGUCUUCCGCUCAGAGUGAAUGACCCCUCCAGACACAAAAGUCUUCGAUAUAUGGGGGAAGAUUAUUGGUUCCCAUUCGGUUUCUCCCCUGCUCAAUCGCGCUCUCCUUCUUUCUUGCUUCUUCUCAAGUUCCUUCUUUCUUUGUUUCAUGUCUGGCUUAAACCCUAACCCAAAACGGUCUUGUUUGUCCUUCAUCAUUGGUACAUUAAUCCUUCACUGGAGGUAUCUCCUGAGUCCUCUUCCGGGUAGAGCCCCUUUUCCAAUAGUUAGCCGUAGUCCCAUUCUUGUAGUCUCAGAUAACUUGGGUAUUGGAAUUUUAUUUCCUUAGGUGAUGAACGUCGCGUUCACAAACUCCAAAGAUCAAUAAGAGCACUUGAUUGCUUCAUCAUUUGCCUCGAGAUAUGGGGCAUCACUGGUUAUUGUCGCGAUGAUAUCCUCUUCAGCAUUGAUCAUUACUACUCGACCUUCAGUCACUAAUUUCAACUUUUGGUGCAGUGAUGAAGGGACUGCCCCUGCCGAGUGUAUCCAUGGUCUCCCCAAUAGGCAAUUAUACGAAGGCUUAAUGUCCAUGACCAAGAAAUCUACCUCAUACGUGCUCGGCCCGAUUAAGAGGGGUACUUCAAUUCUCCCCAUUACCUUCCUUUCCGUGCCAUCAAAUGCUCUCACUACACUUUGACAUGUCUUCAUAUGGGAACUAUCCACUGGCAACCUAUUCAGCGUAGAUAGGGGUAGGACAUUUAGCGCAGACCCAUUGUCGAUCAAUACCCCCAAUAAUGUGUACCCUUUACAGCAAGUCAUGAUGUACAAAGCUUUAGUUAAUCCUCGGCCCCCUGGUGGUACCUCAUUGUCAUUGAAGAAUAUGAAGUUGUCAGCACUUAUAUUAUUGACUAAGCGGUCUAGUUUGUUUACAGAGAUAUCAUUAGCAACAUAAGUUUCAUUCAGCACCUUCAUCAAUGCGCUGUGAUGGGUUUCAGAGCUUAAGAGUAAGGCCAGUACCGAUAUAAGCGCUGGCUGUUUGUGCAACUGUUCUACGGCACUAUAUUCACUGUACUUUAGAAAUUUUAAGAAUUCUUUGGCUUCUUUGUCAGUCACUGAUUCAUUAACAGUUAGUUUCGGCCCCACCGGCUUCUCUUUCUUUUGCUCAAUUGCUAAUAAUUUUUCUUUAACCUGUUCAACUUUUGUACUUGGAGUAUAACGUUUUUCGCUGCGCGUGUAAAAACCCUCGUCUUGAGCUUCCUCUGAUGCAUUAAUCGGGGUAUUCUCUCCCGUGAAUGUCACAUUGCAGCUAUAGUUCCACGGUACCCUUUUGCUAUCCUUGUAAGGGAAAGCAACAGGCUUAUAGAUCACGACCCUUGGCUCAACUUUUGCCCCGGCUUCAUUCAUUCUCAGACGUGAUAUGAUAACCACUGGGUGGUUGGCUUUGUAAACACCCUUCAUCGAUCCUUCGUCGGAGGCACACACAUCUGUUUCUUCCGGGCUCCUGACAUAUUUGAAGAAUUCCAGCUCCUUAUUAUCCAUCAAUCUUUGUAACAAAGCCCUGAAUUCGCUGCAUUUCUGAAUCUUGUGAUCCUCUUGAUCAUGGAACUCGUAAUAAUUCUCCGCUUCUCGAGGUCUGACCCCUAAAUUCUGUGCUAUCAACCCUCUUUCCACCAUUUUCUUCCAAACUUCCUCCAAUGGGGUAUUCACUUCUGCAAUACUCAUCUUAAUUUCUUUCCCCGAACUCUCGAUUAUCGCAUUUAUUCCCUUAUCCCCAUGGUUAGGUAAUGGGUUCUCUGUAUUGGAUGCAUCAUUAAAUUUCACAAUCCCCAUGUUGAUGAGUCUUUCAACCAAUUUCUUGAAAGUGGUGCAGUUUUCUAUCGAGUGUCCUGUGGCUCCUGCAUGGUAUUAGCAUUGGGCAUUUGCGUCAUACUAUUUGGGGUAUGGAGGUUGCAUUGGCUUCAGAUAGAAGGGAGACACGACAUGUGUAUCAAAUAAACUCUGGUAUAACUAAUUGUACGUCAUUGGAAUGGACGUAAAUUGAAGUUUCUCCCUAUUUUGUUUUGUGUUGGGCUCUGGUCUGGGUGGGUCAUGCUGUCCAUUAGUUGUCGACCUUGGUUGGCUUACGGUGAUUGAUUUCUAAUAUGAGCUCACAUUAUUCACCUCGUGCUCUUUCUUUCUCGGCGCUGACCUCUUAGCAUUUUUUCCAGCCUCUAUUUUUCCAUAUAUUAUGGCAUUUUCUAUCAUUUCUCCAGACAUUACUAUGUCCGAAAAACUCUUGGUUGCGCUACCCAGCAUGUGGUUAAUAAAAGGUGCCUUCAGGGUAUUGAUGAAGAGCAUAGUAGCUUCCUUUUCCAAUAGAGGGGGUUGGACCUGUGUGGCCACUUCUCUCCAUCGCUAGGCGUACUGCCUAAAGCUCUCAUUAUGCUUUUUCUCCAUAUUCUAUAAAGUGAUUCUAUCAGGGGCUAUGUCCGCCACAUGACCGUAUUGCUUCAUGAAGGCUUGUGCUAAAUCUUUCCAUGAACUGAUCUGGGUGCGACUCAGUUGGUUGUACCAUCUAGAAGCGGCCCCAACCAGACUUUCUUGGAAGCAGUGAAUUAAUAAUUGGUCAUUGUUGACAUGGCCUGCCAUUCGUCUGCAGAACAUAGUGAUGUGAGCUUCGAGACAGCUAGUCCAGUUGUAUUUCUCAAAUUUUAGAGUUUUGAACUUGGGAGGGAGUACCAGGUCCGGAACCAAACUUAAUUCCUUAGCAUCGAUUCCACCACGAUAGUCGGUGCUUUCCAUUUCUUUAAAUUUUUCUUCCAACCAUCUACACCUUUCUUCAAGCUCUCUCGGAAGUUCUACCCUUGUCUUUUCUGUUACUUCAUCAAGAUUGAGGACCACAAGGUUGGUUGGGUUGUCCUCUGGGUUAGAGCCCGAGACUGCCUGAUAAUUCAUCAGUGUCGAAACACCGGCCUGAAAUGGUUGGGGCCUAAUUGUAACCGAUGACCUUCUUGGGUACAUGUCAGGUAGUGUCUGAACGUCUGCUGGGGCAAAACCCGGAGGGUAGGUAGGAUCUUCAUUACCUUCUCCCGCAUUGAUCAACUGGCUUUUCCCUUUUUCUAAUUCGCCAGCCAAUAGACGAGUUAAUUGGUCCAUCAUGCUUUUCUGGGACUCCAACAUAUGGUCUCUCAUAUCUUGCUGGAUUUUGGCAAGCUGUUCUUGCAUACGUGUUUGUAAUUGAUCCUGUAUCUCUUUUUGCAUUUGUUCCAAUCUCUCUAACCUUUGAUCCAUUGCUCUUGUUUUUCCUCUUGUACCGUAAUAAUGUUUCAGGGUAACUGCCAUGAUUUUUAGGGUUUUUUGUGAGUUUUAGUGCGUGUGAUGCAAUGCCGAUGCAUGAAUGCAAUGAAUGCAAUGAAUGCAAAAAAAAACGUUGAUUCCAAUUCAAUUUCAUUAGAGUAACUUUUCUAGAAAACUAGUUUCUUUACAUAAAAUAGAUUACAUAUAAGGCUUGGCCUUGAUACUUAAGGCCUUGACCUGCCUAAGAAGCCAAGCUAGUUUUCGGCCUCGGUUCGAUUCUGACUCAUAUUUUAAACUCAGCACAUCGACUUGUACUGCUAAUGUUUGCAAGUGGUCAGCCACUUCUCGUACUUGAGUCAAAGCUUCUUCCAUGGCAUAAUCCCUGCUCCUGACUUGGUCUUGAGAUUGAUGAAGUUGCUCCUUCCAUCGCUCGUUAUUUACCUCGAGAAGUUCUAUCUGAAGUUCACGAUUUUGCAGCACUGUUUUGAGUUCUUCUAUAUUCUCUUUUAAUUCUUUGAUUCUGUUCUGACUAGCUUUCAACUCGAUUGCAGAGUUACGUGAGCGAUACUGAUACAAUGACCUCUCUAACUCUAAUACCCAGGUCUUUAACCCUUCUUUCUCAUUCUGGCUUUCUACCAAAUUUCUUUCAGAGCACCUUCUCAAGCUUGAGCAUCGCGAAAUUUUUCUUCCCACUUGUUGGCUUUGCUUUGUUCUUCUUUAACUUCAUGCCACCAUUGUUCGGAUGUUUUUCCUAACCCAGCAGUUCUCAUUGAUCUGCGCAGCUUCUUAUAGUCCGUUUUCAAACUGUCCAAGUCCUCUUCAGCCUUGUUUUUCCCUUUUCUGAGUUUUUCAGCUUCUAGUUUCUGGACAUCGACAUCUACCCCUAACUGCAUCUUUUCUUCUUCCAACUGCUCGAUCCUUUUUUCUAGCUCCAGACUCUUUCUCUCAAAAUCUUGCCUGAUGAUUUCUAGCUUAGAGGGGAUUACUUUCAAGUGCUCUUCUAUUGACUAAGGAUGCCCUUGAUCUGAUAUAGGGAUGUUGUCGUUAAGUCUCUGAUUCCUCCAUCGGUCAUACUCAGGAGUAGUCAUGGGAUUGGCAGCAAAUUUUUUCAUUCUACGAGUCUGGAUCCAGGCAUUUGAUAUCUCACGAACUUUCUUUUUGUAAUUAUUCCCUGUGAAUACGAACUCGCACUGGGCUAACCCGUAUGUUGGUGGUGUAAAUUUUCUGGAUCUGUACUGUCUUAAUGCAAGCAGAGGUGCGUACCCGACGGCUCCCCAUACUCCUAACAAGGGAACCCAAUCAAAAUCUCCGCAUCGGUAUAAUAUUUCAUCAGGAACCAUCCACGGGGCUCUCCAUCUAAUUUUCUUCGAAAACAUCAUCUCUCCUCGGUGUAGCUACCAACUCUUUCAGUGGAGAGUAAUUUUUGGAGAAGAUACGAUACGAGACCUUUUCCAUUUUCCAAAAAUGGCUGUGGAACCAAGCUAGCAAGAGCUGUGCACAUCCAAUAAAUCUCCAUUCGCCCGCUCUUCGACAAGCAUUCAAUGAUCUGAAAGUUUCAGCUAAGAUUGCGGGUACAGGUGUGGUUCCUUUACUAAGCCUGUCAAAAAGGUCAGAAACAGCCUCGUCUACAUGCCCCAAAGCUUUGGGGAAGAUGACCAGUCCAUAAAUGCUCAAGGCGAAUACAUCUACCCUUUUCUUCACAUCAGGGUGCGCUAAGAUUAGCUCCCUCAGGUUCCUCCAAGGAAUGUAUUUACCAUCUCCUUUUUGUUUGAUCCGAGUUGUCACCCACUGUUCGCUCAUCCCUGUGAUGUUCAUGAAAAUACUGGGACGUUAGCAGGUCUGGCAUAAAUUCUGUCUACCUGAAUCUUUGGGCAAUGGAGCAAGGUCGUGUAUUCUUCUAUACUAGGUACCAAAUCUACUUUCCCGAAAGUGAAGCAACUGUAAGCAGAAUUCCAAUAUUGGGCAAGGGCUCAAAACAGGUGCUCGUCUACCUUGACAUCGAGCAAAUAAGGUAAAUCACCGUAAUGACAAUAGAAUAGCUGUUUGACCUCAUCAUCCCACUGGCCCCAUAUUUCUUUCAUCUCUUGGAGAUUAUUCUGAGUUACGCUGAUCCGAGUAAAAUUCCAUAACUCUAACACAUACCCCUCGGUAAGACUGUCACCUUUCUCUUGUUGUGUUGUCUCAGCCCAUAUCCAGACAGCCGCGUUGUCUUCUACUUUAUCAAAAAACCCAUUUUCCAUGAUAAGCUAUCUAUUUAGGAACCGAAUGCGAAUCAACACCUUUUAUGAUGAAAAUGCCAUGCAAAUACAAUCAAAGUAAAACAAAGCUAGUCAGUAAUUCAUACACAAUUCAAAGCAAACAAAGAAUAAUAAAUAUAGCACUUGCUCAGGUAACCACUAGGAUUUCGGAGUGGCUCUAUCUAGGGUGGGUUCUUAAGGCUCGCUACAUGGGGUUUGGUUCUAGAGUAAGGGUACCUGAACCGGCAGAUUCCUCGAUCUUCACCCAUUAUAGGCUCAAACAGACCGAGUUCAGUUUAGGGGAAUACAUUUCCCUAUGGCUGCACGGAGAUGAAAAUCUCACGAAGACAUAGGUACGGAUGUAUCCCGAAAGCGAUCCACUAUCCUGCACGGAGGUGAAAACCUCACGAAGGAGUAGUUUCUCACUCCCACUUAAAGGGGUGUGACCACAGCGGUCAUGCAAUGCAAUGUGCGAGGAUAUAUGCGUAAAAACUCGAAGUGAUUAAAGAAAAUAGGAAUAAAAUGAUGAAAACCGCAAGAAAACAGGUGAAAUGCAAUGAAAGGAUCGUAUAUCAAAAUCAAAUUUUUAAUUUUCGACAAAAAGACAAAAGUUAAUCAACUUGUGGCUUGACUCUCUUAUUUGGUGUCCCUAGUGGAGUCGCCAAGCUGUCGUAACCAUUUUUUUUGGAAAACAAAACGAGAAUCGACUUGGAUUUUAAAAAUGAAAACGAAAAACUGGGAGUCGCCACCAACCCUUUAUGAUGAGGUGUGGUCGGGUCACCUUAAAUUAAUCAUUUUAAUAAAAGUUAAGAUUUACUAAAACGAUAAUUUUUGGUCUACGAAAAUUAGAAAAUGAGUUCGGGAGUCGGUUACGCACGAGGAAGGAUUAGCACCCUUGCAACGCCCAAAAUUGGUACCUAGUUGAUUAAUUAGUGUCUUUGUUGUCGAAAACUUGAAAACUUGAAAGACUUUGAAAUACGAUUCCUUUUUGCAAAAAAAUGCUCAAAUGUUAAAGACCUUUUUGUCUCGAAGUAAUAAAACACCAUGUCCAGUAAGUUAGGACACGGCAUCUCGAACUUGAGAACAAGCUUGCUGUUAUUUAAAAUUAACGUGUUUUAAAGGAUAUUCGGUUAGUUAGGGUGAACGAGGAAAAUCGAAACCCAGUGAGUUAGGGUACGUUUCCUCGAAUUUUUGAACACCAAAUAUCGUCUUUAUUUGCGAAAAAUCUUAUUUCGAAGUAACGAAAUGUCAUACCCAGUAAGUUAGGGCACCACACCUCGCAUCCCCGAAAAUAAGGAUUUUUAAAACUCGUAUUGUGAUUUAAAAGAAUAAUCCGUGAUUUAGGUUAAAAGAGAAAAAUUGAAACCCAGUAAGUUAGGGCACGAUUGACUCGAAUUACCAAAUAUGGAAUAUUUACUUUUAUGAAAGAAUUAUUUUGGGUUAAGUAAAAGUAGUAUGACAUAAGUCGCAAUAAAAUGGGAUAAUAAAAGGUGCGUAAAUGACAUUAGAAUAACCAUAGGUGCAGAUGUGAAGGAUAAUGAUAAGGGCAAAAAUAAAAUUAACGAGUAAAAAUAAUAAAUAAACUAGGAAAUAUUCGAAAUCGAAAGGAACUCGUAAUAAAUAAACAAUCAUUAUGUAAAGCUAAAGAAUGAUAGUGUAGUAAUGAUAACAACAAUAUUAAUAAUAGUAAUAAUAUAAGCAAUAAUUUUGGAAUGAUGUAUGAAAGUGUAUAUGUGUAUAUAUAAAUAAAUAAAUGAUAUAUAAUGUGAGAGAAGAAUAAAAAAUGAAAUAAGAGUAUUUAAAGAGUAAUGGACAAAAAUAUAAUAAUAAUAAUAAUAAUAAUAAUAAUAUAAUAGUAGUAAUAAUGAUAAUAAUAAAGUAAUAAAUCAUAAUGAUAAUAGUAAUACUAAUAUAAGUAAUAAUAUAAGUAAAUAUAGAGAGAAUAUGUAUAGUAAUAUAAUAGUAUCUAUAUAAAAUUAAUUAACCUAAUAACAAGACGAUAAUACUAGUAAUAAUAAUAAUGUGGAAAAAAAUAAUAAUAAUAUAUUAAUAGGAAUAAAAGAAAUAUAUUUAUAAUAACGAUAAAUAAUAAUAAAUGAUUACAAUAAUAAUAAUGAUAAUAGUAAUGGUAAAAAGAAAAUAUAUAAUGUGACAAAAUCAAUAUAAAAUUAAUUGGUUUAAUAAUAUGAUAAUAACAAUAAUGAUAAUAUGAUAAUGAAGUAGAAUAUAAGAAUAAUAAUAAUGCAUUAGUAAGAAUAAUAAUAGUGAAUAAAGAAUGAAAGUAAUAAUAAUAAUAAAUUUUAACGUAUAUAUAAGAAAUAAGUAAAUAAAUGCACACUAAAAUAUAUAUGACGAUGGAGCAAAAUAUCUAAAUAUGAACAAUAUAAGGAAUUUUAGAAUAAAUGAUAAUAAAAGAUUUAUAAUAAACAAUAAAGGAACUUCAAAUAAAUAACCUAUAGAACAAUUAACACAUGAAAUUUAAAAUAGACAAUAUAUACAUAUAAUAGUUUAAAAUAUAAUAUAUAUAUACAAAUUCAAAAUAUACACAAUGUAAAAGUUUAAAAUAAAUAUUGCACACACAAGCUUAAAAUAAAUGAGAUUUAAAAUAAUACAACAAAAUGAUAAGAGUUUGAGGACUGAAUUAAAAUCAAAGUAAAAUUGCGGGAUGAAAAUCGUAAAUAAUAGAAGCUAUUAGGGACUAAAAUAGGGUGCGCACAAACUAAUAGGGAUGAAAAACGAGAAUAGACCAAACCCCAAAACGACGUUUUAACGCAGGCCAAUUUGAAAAGUGCGCAAAAUCUGAGGGAAAAUCUGAGAACAAAAGGAAAAUAAAAAGGGAUUAAAUUAAAAGAGACAAAAAUGCGAAAGGACUACGCGCGCGAUUAUCCCGCUUAACAGAAACACGCGGAUCCUCUGUCAGCCGGUUCGGGUCAUCGGUUCACUUCAGUGAAACGGCGCCGUUUUAUAUUAUGGGGGCCUAAGUGAAACAGUGUCGUUUCACUAAGGCUAUUUAAACCAUUUUUCUUUUAAAAUUUUCAUUUCUUUCUUACUUCAGAAAAAAAAAAUGAAACUUUGAAAUUCUCUCCCUCUCUCAGUCUCCGACCUAGCUCCGGUCAUCAGACCACCGCCGUCGCCGUCGCGCCGGCCACCGUACACGGUGGCCAGAAAUCGCCCAAAGGUAAAUUUUUUCUUCUUUUUUUUUAAAUUUUUUAUUUGUUUUACUUAUUUAAUAUAUGUGCAUUGUUUUAUUAAAGAUGGGGAUAAUAUAUGUAAAUAAAUUCAAAAAGAAAAAAAAAGAAAAUAGACAUUAGAUUUGCUAUUUUCGGUUCUCCGGUCUCUGAUAUGGGGCUAUUCCCUACUUUUGAUGUUGCUAAAGUCUCUGUUUUUACUUGAAAUCGAAUGUUGUUCACUUUUUUUUUUUUAAAUGCCAAAUGUUUCAAUGGUUUUUGGAUUUGGCCUUUAAAUAGCCAUUACAUUUCCCUUUUUUAAUAUCUGUCUAUUCUCCUUUUUUUAAUGUUGCAGGCGCAAGUGGGGCGGUGGCACAGUGGCAGUGCUUGUAGACAUCGGUGGUGGAUGGGGUGGGGAGCAGGUGCUGAACGGCUAGGGUUUCCUUAGCUCUUUUCUUUUGUUGUGUGUGUGGGCAUGGGUAGGUUUGGGUCUUUGGGGUGAUUUGGGUAGGUUAUUUGUUUUGGGUGUAGUGGGUAUUUAGUGGGCUUUGGGGUUUUGGGCCCAAAAUUGGGUUUGAAAAUUUUUAUAUAGUCAUCUUAACAUCAUUUUAAUGUUUAACUAGAGUAGUAUUAUAUAUUUAGCAUAUGUUUAUUUUUUAAUGUGUUCUAAAUUACAUAAUAUAUAAAAAAUAAUAUAAUAUAAAGUAUUAUAAACUUAAAAAUGGGUCAGGCUGGAGCCUUGAAUGUUCAACUCCAAGUCUGGCCCAUAUUUUAAAUAGGCUUAAUUUUUUGUCUAGACCCAUUUUUCGAGCCUAAUAUUUUUGCCCAAACCCUUCCAAAUUUUGGGUGGGCCUUCGAGCUUAGGCAAAUUGCUUGGCCCAUGAACAAGUCUAGUUAACAGUUGUAUAUGAGAUGGACACAACUUUUUUUUUGCUUCGUUCGAUCUGUUCUGCUGUUAAAUAAAAACAAAACAAUGUUCCAAAGUUUAACAUUACAACAUUCUAAAAGAAAACACAUUCAAUCACUAAUAAACCUACGUUUACUUCAAAGCAAUAGCUCACCACCAAGCUUUAAACAUUUCCUCACGAUUUAUACUUGCAAUCUCCAAGGAAGAUGCCAUUUCGUUUCCAUUUUUUUCUGCCAACGAAAAAAUAACAUUUCCUACCUUCUCAAUGUCUCUUUCAAUAUCUGCAAAAGUUGCUUGAAGACACCAUGGUCUCAUCGACUUAUUUGCACACAAAUUAAACACCACUAUUGAACCAAGUUCUAUAAAUAGAGAAUAAUUUAGCUUCCAUUUCAUAGCUAAAAAUACUUCUAAUGCUACCAUCACUGCGCCAAUCUCUGCCAAAUCAAUAUCAUUUGCUGCUACAGAACUUGAAAAUAAAGCUAUUGCGACUCCCUCCUUAUCUCUCAAGACACCUCCACAACCUACUCUAUGUUCAUUUGUAAUCCCAAAAACAUUAAACUUUAAACAUCCAUGCGGAGGAGGGCGCCAUAUCAAUGCACCUGGUUUGAAUAUAAUUGAAUCAUUCAUGCACCUAUUCAGACAUAGCCACCAAAAGUUCUCUUGCAACAUUAGUAAAUCAUACACAGAUCUAAUCCACAGUAGUGCCCUCAUCUUUGUUGAAAAAUAAAAAUUUCCAUAGUCAUCAUCCUUCUUUCAAAGACCAUACCAUUUCUUGCUAACCAUGUUGUCCAACAAGCUACUGAAAUUGAUAUUAACCAAAAACUUUUCCUAAUUUCAGCCAUAUUCAUGUUAUUACACAAUGAGUAGAAUUCUUCAAAACUAUCUACCUGUUUCCAACAAAGCUUCUACAAAUUGAAUAUUUUAACCCAAAAACCUUCAAUAAAUUUGCAUUCGAAGAACAAAUGGUUUGCACUCUCUGGAACUCCUUCACACCAUGGACAGCUAAUCGAGAUAUUUUGAAGAUUCAUCGUUGAUUUCUUGUUUCAAUUUCUAGCCCUACAAUAUGAUACUAGCAAGCAAAUGAAGUGCACCAAAAAUUGUGAUUCGAACUUUUUAUCUAUUUACUUAUUUAAAAUAAAGAAUAAAACUUAGAGUGAACCAUGAAUUUUGAUUAGAUAUAUAAAAAAAUUGAGUUAAUUGUAUUAAACAUCCUCAAAUUAUGAUAUUCAUGUUAGAACCAUAAAACUCUUAGAUACAAAACUUAAUAAACUAUGAUCUGUCAUGUCAUAUCAUCAAUAACAAAAUUAGAUGCGGAAGCGUACCUGAAUCUAUCAAUUUCUUGGCAUAUUUGAAUCCUAUGGUUUUGAUCUUCCAAAUUAGCACACAAGUAAUUUGGAGAAGAUGAGAUGUCAAAAAAUUUAUGUAUGUGUAAUUUGGAGACAAUAUCCUUAAUAUAUAACUUUUGCACAGUAAGCUUAAUUUCUAAUCAGCCUAUCAUCAGUUAGAAAUUAAUUACUAGAGAUAUCUACUUAUAUUAGGCUCAGACUUUAGUUAAUAACUAAAUUCCAAUAAGCCUUAACCAAAUUAAAUCACUCUUAAUUUGGGUUAACAUUUUGUAAUAAUAAAUAAUAAAAUGUAAUUGUAACAUCUCGAAUUAGGGUCUAGUUGAAAUAGUGGUUUUGAGACCACAAAUUUAAAAUAAAAAUAUUUAUUUUAUGAUUAUUUGAUGAUCCAUUAUAUGAUUUCAUAAUUGUGUGAAAUUUUCAUAAGAAAUUUUAUGCCUAAAGUGUCCAAUUUGAAGUUAGGGACUAAAUUGAUUAAGUUGCAAAACUUGAGUUCUAGAAGCUUUAAGCAUGAAAUUGCUAUGGAUUAUUAAUUAGAGGUCCUUAGAUAGUAAUUUUACCAAUUUCUAAAAUUUUGGACAAAAAUGGGCAUGAAUAGGAAAAAUUUGAAAGAAAAGCCAUAAGGUCAUUUCAGUUAUUUAGUAAUUAAAAGAAUAAAAAGGAAAAAAUCAAGCAAAAUUUGCUCAUCUUCUCCAUGCCAUAGCCGAAAUUUUCAUGCUCACCAUAGCUAGGGUUUCUUCAACUUUCAAGCUCAAUAGUAAGUGCAUCCUAGCCCCGUUUUUAAUGUUCUUUACAUUUUUGAAGUUAUCAUCAACCGAUCUAGCUAUUUCUACCAUUAUUUUGAGCUAGGGUUCAUGUUCAAAAACUUACCUAUGUGUGACUUGCAUGUAUUUUGAUGUUUAGUGGAAGAAUUUGAAAGUUUGAUGUGUGAUAAGCAUCUUUUACAAAGUGAUUUUGCAUGAAAACACUUAAAAGGGACCUGUAAUGGGCCAAAAUUGCCCGGACCCAUCAGAAACCAAAAUCAAAAUAAAAAAUAAUAACAAUCCAUUUCGUUACAAGGCCCAAGCAAAAUACAGGCCCAAACUAAAAAACCUAGCCUAGAAAAAUAGCCCAAAAUAUAAAACAACAAAAAACCCUAGUAGCUUAGUGUGCCGCGCCUCCAUGUGCGCCCUCGGCACGCAUGGCACCUAAGGUUUAGCCUCCGUUUCACCAAAAUGACCGUCUACAGCCUCGUUGACCCCUUGUGCACUUGUAAAAGAAAGAAAAAAAGGGAAACAAAGAAAGACAACAGAGCAAAAGGCAAACGGCAAAAGACAGAGCAGAAACAGAUCAAGAAGACAAGCAAAAGCAUAGACAAUAGCAAUAAUAUUAAAUCAAGUAUAUUUCUCAGCUAUAUAAGCCUAAAAACCAGAUAUUGUAAAGAUUACAGAUGAUUAAGCAAUUGAAAGCAAAAACAAAAAGGUUGAUUUUAAAUCUCACUUUCUUGUUCUUUUUUCUUUCAGUUUUCUUUUUUUUUUUUCUACUUUUUAAAUUUCUUUUUUAAUAAAAUAUAAAUAAAAGGGGAAAGAAGGAAAACUUACCCAAAACCCCUUUGUUGCGUCGCCAGAGUCUUCUUUCCGUCGUCGGAAUCGACCCAAUGAGGAGGCAGAGGGGUUCUUUCUCCUCUGUUUUCUUCGGUCUAGGGAGCCUCACCAUCGAAUCGUCCUUCAAAAGGGUCAAAAACCCGAUUCCAUGAGGCUUUGGACCACCAUCUAUUGUGGAAGCCACGGCGGGUUCACGGUGGUCUGACGGCGGCUCAAAGAGGGAGGGUUAUAAAACCCUUGUAGAGAAAAAAUGCAAUUGGGGGGUGUUCUCUGAAUUUCUUUUAGAAAAAGAGGAAGCAAAUGAAAAAAAAAACUGGCUUAAAUAAUGAUGCAAAAACGGUGCCGUUUUGCACCUAGGUUUCUAACGCCGAAACGGCGUCGUUUGGAGAGCCCGUGCAGGACCCGACCCGCUCUAGGGGGUCCGCGCGUUUCCUUUAAGUGGGAAAAUAUCCACUUUAGUCCCUUCGCUUUUGUGAUGCGCGCCAAUUUAGUUAUAUCCUAUUUUUAUUUAUUUUUUUUAUUUCACCGCAAACUUUUAACUUUGUUUCAUUCUGGUCCUUGGACCGUUUAAAAGGGUUAAAUGCCUGAAACGAGGGCGUUUUGAUGACAAGGGAUAAUUUCCCUAUUGGUCCUCUCUUGUCUUCGUGCGUCACAUUAUAACCCUUAUGUUAUUUGUUUCAUUUAAUUUAUCUCUUUAACUUUAUUUUAGAAUCAAAUUAACCUAUUGUUUGGAUUCUUUUAUUUCUUUGUCCACUUGCUAUUAUUUAAGAAUUUAAAUUUCAUUUUAAUUUCAGUUUACCCUUUUAAUUUUGUUUAAGUUUCAAUUGAGCUACUUCUAUUUUAAUCCAUUUAUUUAUUUAUUCAUCUAUUUACUUGUUUACAUGUUCAUUAUUCCUUUAAUCUUUUAUUUUAUUUUUUAUCCAUUUUUGUUGAUCAUUCUUUCGUUACAUAUAUAAGUUCACUUUAGAUGAUUUUAUAUUUCAUUUGUUAAAUUCUUAUAUAUCAUUAAACCAUUUUGCUGUUCAUUUUUAGAUUGUUUUAUUGUUAUUCAUUUUAAGUGUUUCCACAUAUUAUGUUUUUUAAACUAUUGCCCAUUUUAAAUUUUAUAUAUUAUUUAUUUUUAAGUUAUUAUUUAUAUUACUUAUUUUGGUCUUUAUACGUAAAUAUCUUUUGUUUUAAACUAUUUUAUAUGUAUUUCCUAUUUUAAAGUUUUUAUAUGCUAUUUAGUUAUACUAUUUUAAAUGUUAAUCAAAAAAUUCAUUUUUGUUAUUCUUUACUUUAAACCUUCCAUAUAUUAUUUAUCUCAAAAUAUUAUAUAUAUAUAAAUUAUUUUAGAUUAUUUCAUAUAUUAUCUAUUCAAAAUUUUUAUAUAUAUUAUUUAACCCAAACUGUUUUAUAUGUAAUUCAUUUUAAAAAUUUUAUAUAUUUUAAAGUUCCUUCUAUUAUUUUUUAGUUCUUAUACAUUAUCCAUUUGGAAACUCUUUUUAUAUUCUUUCUUUGUAAUUAUUCCAUUUGUUACUUGUUUUAAAACGUUUUAUUCAUUUCGAAAUUGUUCGUAUAUACUAUUUUGUUUCAUUCUUUUGCAAUUAUUAAUGUCGAUCUCUUAAAAUGGUGUGUUUCGUGAACAUUUAAUUCAUGUAUUAUUAUUGUCAUUUGUUUGUUAAUAUUAUUAUGGCUAUUAUAGUACAUUAGUAUUUUUAUAUCAUUUAUUUAUCACAUAUUCUUGACUUGUAUAGUUUUUUCAUAUUAUUGCAUUAUUAUUCCUCAUUAACUAUGUUUAAACUUAAUUGGUUAUCUUUGUAUUAUGCUUCAAAAUAACCCAUGUCGUUUUAAACUUACGUUUGAUAAAUUUUUUAGAAACAAAGAAAUUUUCAAAAUAAGGCAAUGUUCGGUAUUUGAAAAUUCGAGAGAUCGUGCCCUAACGUACUGGGUUUCGAUUUUUCUCGUUUGAUCUAAAUGAUCGAAUAAUCUUUUAAAAUUAAAACACGUGAGUUUUGAAAAUCAAAAGACCAACUUAUUCUCGAGGGUCUAGAAUGUUGUGUCCUAACGUACUGGAUGUGACAUUUCGUUACUUCGGGAUAAGAAAGUCUUUAGAGUCCAUUUCAAUUCACUCAAACAAAUUCUUCGUAUAGAUCAACAUAAAAAGGGAUCGUAUUCUAAAUUCUUUUCGAGUUUUUAAAUUUUGACAUUAAUACAUUAAUUAAUCAAUUAGGUACCAAUUUUGGGCGUCACAAGGGUGCUAAUCCUUCCUCGUAUGUAACCGACUCCCGAACCCGCUUUCUCAAAUUUCGUAGACCAAAAUCGUUGUUUUAGUAAGUCAAAAUGUUUUAUUAAAAUGACCAAUUUUUAGGUGAUCCGAUCACACCUAAACAAAAAAAAAAGAUUGGUGGCUGUCGAAACCAUUUUUUGAAAAAACAGGGGUAGACUUUAUAUUUGAAAAUGAUAAAUGAAAAUUGGAAGUCACCAAUCUUUUUUGUUUAGGUGUGAUCGGAUCACCUAGAAAUUUGGUCAUUUUAAUAAAAUUUUUGAUUUACUAAAACAACGAUUUUGGUCUACGAAAUUUGAGAAAACGGGUUCGUGAGUCGGUUACGUACGAGGAAGGAUUAACACCCUCAUAACGCCUAAAAUUGGUACCUAAUUGAUUAAUUAAUGUCUUGAUGUCGAAAGUUGAAAAGAUUUUAAAAGAAAAUUUUAAAAUAUGAUUCAUUUUUAUGAAUUUUUGGAUAGCUUGAGGUGGAUAUUAAGAUUCUCUUGUUCCGAAGAAAUAAAAUAUCACAUCCAGUACGUAGGACACGACAUUUCGAACCUUCGAUACUAAAAUCAUCUCAUGAUUUACAAAACUCAUGCAUUGAAAUUUUAAAAAGGAUAUUCGGUUGUUCGGUCAAACGAUAAAUCGAAACCCAGCAUGUAGGGCACGAUUUCUCGAAAUUUCCAAACACGAAAUAUCGCCUUGUUUCAAAUUUUUACGAUCCCCUUUUAUGAAUGUUAAUUUUACAAAAAUGUUUGAAUGAAUCGAAGCGGAUGCUGAAGACCUUAUUAUCCCGAAGAAAUAAAAUGUCACAUCUAGCACGUUAGGACACAACAGUUUAAACCCCCGAAAAUAAGCUUGCCUUUUUAUUUUCAAAGCUUAUGCAUUUUAAUUUUAAAAGGAUAUUCGAUCAUUUGGGUCAAACGGGAAAAUCGAAACCCAGCACGUUAGGGCACGAUCUCUCGAAUUUCCCAAACACGAAAUAUUGCCUUUAUUAGAGAAUUUUCUUUUUAUGAAAUAAUAGUAAAUAUGAAAUUUAAAACGAUGUAUAUUUAUUCUAUUUAGAAUGGUAAUAUGCGAGUAAGAUUAUUAUAUUGAUAAAUAAUGAGAAUAUGAAUAUACUAAUAAGAAAACAGUUCACAAUGAUCACAUAAUUUUUAACUAUUGAUAUGAAUGAUCAAAUAAGAAAUAACUAACAUAAGACAAUGACACAAAAAUAAUAAUAACAAUAAUAAGAAUAACGAUGAUAACAAUGAUGAAAUCUAAAUUAAUAAACGAUUAAAAUAAAUAAACACAAAGGCGAAAUAAAAAGAAACUAAGAAACAAUUGCAAAAUAUGAUAAAGGUAAUAAUACAUGGAACAAAUUAAGAUAGCCAACAUGAAAACAACUUAAAACAGUAUAUGUGACAACUUAAAACCAAUAAAGUAUAAAACAAUUUAAUUUAGAACUAUAUGGAAUCAUUUGAUAUGAAACAAUGUAAAUUUUAAAAGAAUGAUUUAUGGAAGAAAAUUUAAACAUGUAAAAAGAAAGGGUUAAAAAUAAAUAAUAUAUGAAGAGAUUUUAAACAAGUACAAUUUUGCAAGAAAGAGUUGGAAUUUUACUAAAUAACUAGUAGGAAGACAAACAAGUAAAUAAUUACAAAAAAUAAAUAAAUAAAUAAAACAGCUUGUAAAACAAAUAAAGAUGACGAUAAGCAAAUGAAUGAAAGAAUAAAGUAAUAUUAAAUAAUACGAUUUAAAAGAUAGCAAAAAUAGUAAUAAUAAGAAAAAUAACAAUAAUAAUAAUAAAUAAUGCUAAAUUAAUUAAUAAUAAAAUAAUAAGUAGAUAAACUCAAAAAGAAAUAUAAUCAUAAUAAAAUAAUAGCCAUAAUAAUAAUAAUAGAAAUAAUAGUAAUAAAAAAAUAAUAAUGGUAUUAGAAUAAUAAAUAAAUACGGAUACGAAUGUAAUAACAAUGGUUAAUAAUGUAUUAAAAUAAUCAAUUUAACAAUGAAACAACAAAAAUAACGAAAAGGACUAAAUUGAGUGUCAAAACAAGUGUUUGGGGGGGAAUCUGAAAUAAGAUGAAAAGGGGAGGACUCAAUUGCAAUACACGCACAACGUGGAGGGACAAAAGUAGAAAAUAUCGCCCACCCUUCAAAACGACACUAUUUCAGGUGUUUGUCUGUCAAAGGUUCGGGGGUUAAAUUGAAAUAAAGUAAACAGAUUGUGACAAAAUUGAAAAAAAAUAAAUAAAAAUAAAAGAACCACAUUAAAACAGCCUCAAAAGCGGAAGGACCAAGGGCGCAAAGAGACCAUUGGUCCAAAAACACGUGGAUCCUAGGCUUUCUUGGGUCGGGUUUCGGGUUAGAGGCUAAAACGACUUCGUUUUGGCCCCUGAAACUAAUCCACAAAACGGCGCCGUUUCUAGGUUGUAUCUAAGCCCAAAAUUUUGUUAAAGCUCUCAUUUUCAGCCUCCCCUUUUCCAAAAAGAAAAAGAAAAAAAUCCCAAACCCUCUCAACUCGUUGAACUCCAGCCAAAGUCCGACCAAUGACGACGUACGGUGGCCGAAAAUUGCCCCGACCCAUUUUUGACCCCUUUUUCUCGUAAAAAAAUUAUCUAGAACCCCAAAGCCUUCAAAAUAAAACCCAAAAACUCCUUAAAAGAAAAAGAGGCUUUAGGCUUUCAUCGUUCACCAACGUAGCCUUUGACUGAAUCCGAAAGGAUUCGAUGGCUUCGCGAAUCGGCGAUGAUCCCCACGGCGACCUCAAAUGAAACGUCAGGUAAGCAUUUUACUAUUAUUUAUUCCAAAAUAAAUAAAUAAAUAAAUAUGAAUGCAUAAAUCACCUUGUAUAGUUUCUGUUAAAAACUUUUUUCUUUUGUGUAUUCGAUACUCCUUUUUUGCAUUCAAAAUCUAUCGUUUUUUUUAUUCAUCAAAAAUCCCCCUAUACAAUGAAUAUAUUCACGGCUUUAUAGCCGAAUCCUAUUACAGCUGUUAAUAUUUCUUGUUUUUAUUCUCGCUGUCUCUGCUUUGCGUGUUUCUGGUCUCUGCUUUGCGUGUUUCUGCUCUCUGUCUUGCUUUUUUUUUUUGCAAGUGAUGGGAUGAGGCCAGAGGGUGCUAUGCUGAGGCAACAGAGGCACCAGGGGUGGUCAGGCGUUGAACGUGCUGACACCACGUGGGGAGCAGCGCGACGUAAAGGGGAGGGAACCCUAGGGUUCUUCCAAAAAUGUUAAAUGUGUAACGCCCCAAUUUUCGGGAAUUCUGUGAAUGUUGGCAUAGGUUUAAUUAUGUUAGUGGGCCUCUAGAAGGCCCAAGCUUAAGAUAGAACCCGGCAAUUUUAGUUAAUUUUUGUCCCAUAAGAAAAAGGGGGUGAAAUUAUGAAAUAGGACCUAUGUGAAAAUGUUUGAAAAUGCUAUAGGCUAAAUUGAAGUGGCCAAAUAAAUAGGAGGAUUUGCAUGACAAACCUCCCAUUUUACAUGAAGUGGCCAGCCAUCAUGUUGUUGUAGACAAAAUGUGCACUUGAUAUCCAUAAUUUAUGGUACAAAUUGAUACAAAUUGAUAAUGGGUUAGGUAAAUGUUCCAUGAUAAUGGAUUAGGUAAAUGUUUCAUGAUAAUGGGUUAGGUAAAUGUUUCAUGAUAAUGGGUUAGGUAAAUGUUUCAUGAUAAUGGGUUAGGUAAAUGUUUCAUGAUAAUGGGUUAGGUAAAUGUUCCAUGAUUGGAAUUUCAUGUCUUUUGUAUUAAAGAAUUAAAUGGAUGAAAUAUGAAAUUUUAUUAAAAGAAAAAGGGGUGAAAAGAACAAAGUUUUGUCCAUCUUUGUUCAUCAUAGCCUAAAGUUAGAGAAGAGAAAGGAGAGGAGAAAGAUCUUGAAUGUUCGGUCACUUGGGGAAGAAAAUUGAAGGUAAGUUCAUAGUAGUUUGCUUUUAUCUUGAUGUUCAUGAGUUCUUCUUGAUUCUACCUUAACUCUUGAAGCAUAUUUUGGUUUUUGGUUGUGUUGUGAGCAUUUGGUCAUGAAUUAAAAUGAAGGAAAUGGUUGUUGUUUCAUGUUCUUUUGAUGAAAAAUGGAAGAUAUGUGAAGUUGAGCCAAACAAAUGAGCAUGCAUGUGCUUAGAUGCUAAGGGGAAAAAUCGGCUAAUAUGUUGUGCUUUAAAAUGAUGAAAUGGAGAUUAUACUUAAGUAAAAUCAUAGAUAUGUGAUGAUUGAUUGGUGAUAUACAAGUUUAAAUAACAAGCAUGCAAGUUAGGUGUGAAAGAGUGAUUUUGUAAUAAAUCUGCUUGGGAUAGCAGCAGUAACGUGACUUUGGAAAAUCACCAUAAAUUGUGGGAGAUGAUUUAGAAGCUGCAUAAAUUAUGUAAUUAAAGCUUAAUGAGUCUAGUUUCAAAUGGAAUAAACGAGAACAUAUUUUGAAUUCUGUACAAUGAGAAAUUUGAUUCGUAAUGAAGAGUGGUCAGAUUAGUCAAACAGUGAAACAUGCGAAACUUUGAGAAAAAGCUGGUAUUGAUUAGCCAAACCAAAAAUUCUGAAAAUUUUAUGGAUAUAAGAUAUAUGAGUCUCCUUUCAGGGAAAAUUAACGGUACUUGAUUUGGAGUUUCGUAGCUCCAGUUAUAAAUGAUUUAGUGACUGUUGCUCAGGAAGACAGCUUGCAGUGAAAUUAUGAUUAUGUGGUAAACAUUGACAAAAAUUUGUUAAUGAGUUGCUUAUUAAUUUCUUAUAAGCUUACUAUGAUCUGUAGGUGUGGUUGGCCGAAUAUUGUAAGGGGUUAAUACGUAGUUCGUAUUUGAAUAGUUAGAUUAACGUGUUAGUAAUCCAAUUGUAGGCAGUUCGUGUGUGGAUCUCGUCAGCAUAUCGUCGCAAAUAGGUGUGUAACUAACACCCUCUUUCUUAGUCUAGAUCGGCAAAAGUCAAAAAGCCGAAAUGCCGAAAACUGGUAUUUUGUAGAUUUGCGAGUGUGCGAAUGCUCGUGAGGUAAAUCGAUUAAUGUUUUUGGUAAGCUGCAAUGUUUGGACUGUAAAGUGCAUGAUUUCUGUGCCCUCGAUAUUUUUGGGCUUAAUGGGCGAAAACAGGAAUGAUGGGCCAACGGGCCCAAUUUGGUAAGAACCCUCGGUAGUGAUUCUGUUAGUAUGUGAAAAGUAGGAAUAUGCAUGAAAAACCCUAAAAUAGAUAAAUUACUGAAAUACCUUUAAAAGUGGAAAAUUUAUAGUUUUACCCCUAGGAGAUAAAUUACCAAAAUACCCUUAGGGUUAAAUUGACUUAAAUGCAUGUUUGACUGUUGUUAUUUACUGCAUGCCAUGUUGUUAUUAUCUGAUGCAUGGGAUUGGGAUAUUGACGGAGGAAGUACUGAAAGUGGCUUGUCCACGUACUGGAGGCUUUGCCUCAAUUUACUGUUAACUGAGCAGCAAUGCUGCAACUAUGGAGUGUUGGGCUGGGUGGGUUGAGCUAUCCCCACAUGGAGUGUAUGGCUGGUACGGGUGGAGUGUAGUGGUUGGUGGGUUGAGUAGUCUCCCCAAAUGGGCUUGCAUAUGUUAUUGAUGUUGCAUGUAUUUUGAAAUGGGCCUAUGGGCCAUACUGUUAUCUGAAUAAGGGGCUAAGGCCCAGUUUAUUGUAAUCUGAAAAGGGCUCUGGCCCAGUACCACUGUUACCUGAAUGGGCUUAGGCCCAAUGGGCUUGAGCUGACUUGGGCUUUGAAUGGGUUUUCCUUACACACUGAGUUUCCCCAAACUCACCCCUUUUAUUUUCAUCUACGCAGGAAAUCCCCAACCAUAGUGGGCUUGGAGCUGUGAGGGAAUUCGGAGUGGCCACCCAUUCUGAAAGUUUGAUUUUCUUCUGGUGAACUGGACAUCCUUUUAUUUACGUUUGAAGUUUUGGGUUUUUAAAUGUAAUAAGGCCGCUUAAUUAUUUUUGAUGGUUUUAAUAUGUAUUACUAAGAUAGGUAAUACUUAUUUUAACUAUUGAAAUUGGAUAGCUUUAGGGCGCGUUUUCAAAAACAACAGUUGAUUUCAAAAUAACACGACAACAAGCAAAGCUUCCGCAAUGAAAGUAUUUUUCCAAAAUUAAUCACUUUUCCUAAAAAUGACUUAAUCAAAUCGGUUUCCUAGAAAUAUCCAUGACGUUAAGGUGUGGCAAUGGCGGUAUGCAUGUCUAGGAUUGGAUCCGAAGGGAGCUUGGUACUUAAGCAGUCCGAUGGACUCACCACCUCUUUUCCGGUUUCCUACCUGGUGCACAGCUUCCAUUCACUUGUUUUUUUUUUUAAAUAACACGACGUCACGAAUAUUCGAUUUACCAAAGAUAAUCACUCAAAGAAAUUUCAACUUGUUAUAACCAAGUGUGGCAAUGGAUAUGGGCAUGUCUAGGAUUGGAUCCAAUCGGAGAGCUUGGUACUUAAGCAGCCUUCAUGGCUCACCUCCUCUGUUAUGGAUACCUACCUGGUGCCCAGCUUCCAUUCACUUGGUUAGUUUGACAAAAGUCAGCUUUUUAAAACACUAAAAAGGGAACACGAGUUUUUGACUUCAAAGUGGCUCGUCGGAUUUGGCCUUAACGACUGGCCAGGUUUGGGGUGCUACAUUUAGUGGUAUCAGAGCCCAGUUGCAACAACUCGGCUGUGGAUCGGGUCCAAAAAGGGUUUCCAAAACUUUAUGCCAAAAAAGAGGGUAUUUUUGGAAAAACCUGACUUUUAAAAAUUUCUUGUUUAAAUGAGAUAAUCUCCAAACUUGUUUUUUUUAACACAAAUGUUUGGAAAAUGAUUUCAAAAAGCCUAAAUCUUUUGAGUUUAUCUGAAAACUGAUGAGGUGGCACACUGAAUCCCCAGCACCAAGGCUGUAAGUACUAUUCUAUUUUAUAUACUGAACUGUACUGUAGUUAGUACUAAACCUUAGAGAUAGUACUAUAGAUAAUAUAGCGUAAAGGCUACGAAACUGAGACAGUAGCUAAACUGUGGUUACGCGAGAAUAACUCUAAAACCUUAUCUGUUCAUAAGAUAUUCUGUAAUAAACAGUGGAAACAGUAAACUAAAUGCAUAAAAUUCGUAAUCAGAUAAAUUGAUAUGAGUACGAGAGCUACUCGGGGAAGAGGCCGUGGUCGAAGCCGAGGUAGUACUCAAGCUGGAUCUUCGUCUUCUGAACACAUACCCGCUGGAGUAGCACGACCAUCACCGGUGGAUGAGAAUGGGCCGUAUGAAUGGGCCGCGGAGGAUGAUUCCCUGUCACAGGCAAUGCUUCGUGUUCUAUGUUGCAUGUGCCAUAUCGGGUCGUUGGGUGUGCACUCUGAGGAGAUUGUGAGUGGGGUAUCUGUAUUAAGUCCUUUGGGUCACUCGGUUAGGGUAGACAAACUGUAUAGGGAUGUACCAUUAGAAACUCAAGGUAAAAUUUUCCCUAGAGAUCUGAUGGAGUUACCGUUCGGAUAAUUUGAUCUCAUUUUGGGAACGGACUGGCUUGUUAAGCAUAAGGUAACUCUGGAUUGUGCUGCUAAACGAAUGUUGUUAAGGAUCACAAAGGAUGAGGAGGUUAUGGUGAUAGGCGAGCGAAGGGAUUAUUUUUCCAAUGUGGUGUCGGCAUUAAGAGCCAAAAAGUGGAUUCGGAAAGGUUGUGAGGUCUAUUUGGCAUUUGUAAGUCAGUUAGAAGAGGAUGGACUGACAGUGGAUAAGGUUAGGACCGUAAAGGAGUUCCAAGAUGUUUUUCUGGAGGAGCUUUCAGGAUUGCUUCCGAACCGAAAAGUUGAGUUUGGAAUAGAUUUAUUGCCUGGAACGGCGCCUGUGUCCAUCGCACUGUAUAGGAUGGCACCGAAGGAGUUAGUGGAGUUAAAGGCUCAAAUUCAAGAGUUGUUGGAUAGGGGCUUCAUUAGGCCAAGCGUGUCUCCAUGGGGAGCACCAGUGAUAUUCGUGAAAAAGAAGGAUGGUACGAUGCGAAUGUGCAUUGAUUAUUGCCAGUUGAACAAACUGACGAUUAAAAAUAAGUAUCCACUGCCAAGGAUUGACGAUCUGUUUGUCCAGUUUAGAGGAGCUUCUGUAUUUUCUAAGAUCGACCUCUGAUCUGGAUAUCAUCAGUUAAGAGUCAAGGAGGCAGAUAUCCAUAAGACAGCAUUCAGGACUCAGUAUGGUCAUUACGAGUUUCUGGUUAUGCCAUUUGGACUGACGAACGCUCCUGCAGCGUUUAUGAAUAUGAUAAAUCGUGUGUUCCAACCAUUUUUAGACCAGUUCAUAGUCGUCUUUAUUGACGAUAUCCUGGUAUAUUCUAAAAAUGAAGUGAAACAUGAUGAGUAUCUCCGUAUAGUGCUGCAAGUGUUAAGGAAGAAGGAACUCUUUGCGAAGUUCAGCAAGGGUGAAUUUUGGUUGAGGGAGGUAACCUUCUUAGGACAUGUGGUCUCUGCUGAGGGGAUUAAGGUGGACCCUUGGAAAAUUGAAGCGAUUUUGGAGUGAAAGCCGCCUAGGUCAGUGUCGAAAAUACGGAGUUUCGUAGGACUGGCAGAAUACUACAGAAGGUUUGUGGAAGGUUUUUCUGUGAUGGCAGCACCCCUGACAAAACUCAUAAGGAAAGGAGUACCGUUUGUAUGGACUAAGAAGCAGCAGGAAGCUUUUGAGAAGUUGAAGAAAGUUCUGACUGAAGCACCUGUGUUAAUUCAGCCGGAGUCUGGGAAGGAUUUUAGUGUGUAUAGUGAUGCAUCACACGUGGGUUUGGGCUGCGUGUUAAUGCAAGAGGGUAAGGUGGUUGCAUAUGCAUCAUGACAGCUUAAGCCUCAUGAGGGGAACUAUCCAACUCAUGAUUUAGAGUUGGCAGCAUUGAUAUUUGCACUUAAGAUUUGGAGACAUUACUUGUACGGAGAAAUGUGUAUUAUAUACACUGACCGUAAGAGCCUAAAAUAUCUGUUAACUCAGAAGGAGUUAAACCUUAGGCAACAAAGAUGGGUAGAGUUGCUUAAGGAUUACGACUGUUCGAUUGAGUACCACCCAGGUAAGGCUAACGUGGUGGCUGAUGCGUUGAGUCGAAGGGUUGUUUCUGAUUUGAGAGCUUUGUUUGCACGUUUGAGUCUGUUUGAUGAUGGAAGUUGUUAGCAGAAUUGCAAGUGAGGCCUAUUUGGACUGAGUAGAUUAAAGAAAAAUAGUUGAAGGAUAACUCGUUGGUUCUUUGGUUUCAGCAAGUUGAGAAGGGUGAGAAUGAGGAUUUUUGACUGAAUACUGAAGGAGUUUUAUGCUUCUAAGGAAGAAUUUGUGUUCCGAAGGACUCUGACUUGAGACAGUCAAUAUUGAAGGAAGCUCAUGGGGGACUUUGUGCCAUGCAUCCUGGAGGGAAUAAGUUGUAUCACGACUUGCGAGAACUGUACUGGUGGCCUGGGAUUAAACGAGAAGUAACGGAGUUCGUGGGGAAAUGUCUGACAUGCCAGCAAGUGAAAGCUGAACAUCAAUUUCCUUCUGGAUUACUGCAACCGGUGAAAAUUCCAUUGUGGAAGUGGGAGAGAGUCACUAUGGACUUUGUGAGUAGGCUACCUUUGACCCCCACCAAGAAAGAUUCUGUGUGGGUAGUGGUGGAUAGGUUAACAAAAUCUGCCCAUUUCAUACCCGAUCAUACUGAUUACUCCCUGCAAAAGUUGGCUAGGUUGUAUGUGGCAGAGAUAGUGCAAUUACAUGGAGUGCCAGUGUCGAUUAUUUCUGACCGAGACCCUAGGUUUACAUCUCGGUUCUGGAAGAAGUUGCAGGAAGCAUUGGGUACACGUUUGGAUUUCAGUACUGUCUUUCACCCACAGACAGAUGGACAGUCAGAGAGGGUUAUUCAGAUUUUGGAGGAUAUGUUAAGAGGUUGUAUCAUCGAUUUUCGUGAGAGUUGGGAGGACUACUUGCCAUUGGCGGAGUUUGCAUACAAUAACAGCUACCAGGCGAGUAUUCGAAUGGCACUGUAUAAAGCAUUGUAUGGACGAAGGUGUCGUACACCUAGUUGUUGGACUGAACUAGGAGAGCAACAAAUUCUUGGACCAGAGUUGGUAGCUGAUACUGAGGAUAAGGUCAGAAUAAUUAGGGAUUGGUUAAAAGAAGCAUCUGAUAAGCAAAAGUCGUAUGUAGAUUUGCUGCAUAAGGAGAUUGAGUACUCAGUAGCUGAUAUGGUCUUCUUAAAGGUUUCUCCUUGGAAGAAAAUAUUAAGGUUUGGUAAGAAGGGCAAGUUGAGUCCGCGAUUCAUUGGGCCUUAUUGGGUUUUGAAGCGAGUAGGCCCAGUGGCUUAUCAGUUGGAAUUGCCUCCAGAGUUAGAAAGGAUUCACGAUGUUUUUCACGUCUCCAUGUUAAGGCAUUAUCGUUCUGACCCUGCUCAUGUCCUGCCAGUUGUAGAAAUUGAAGUUCAGACUGAUUUGACCUUUGAGGAGGAGCCUGUGCAAAUAUCGGCUCGAGAUGUUAAGGUUCUCAGAAGGAAAUCUGUCUGGCCCGUUAGUGAAAGUACUUUGGCGUAAUCAUGGAAGGGAAGAAGCUACUUGGGAAUCAGAAGAGACUAUGCGUCAACAAUACCCUCAACUAGGUGGAUCAGGUAAAUUUCGAGGAUAAAAUUCCUUUAAGGAGGGUAGAGUUGUAACGCCCCAAUUUUCGGGAAUUCUGUGAAUGUUGGCAUAGGUUUAAUUAUGUUGGUGGGCCUCUAGAAGGCCCAAGCUUAAGAUAGAACCCGACAAUUUUAGUUAAUUUUUGUCCCAUAAGAAAAAGGGGGUGAAAUUAUGAAAUAGGACCUAUGUGAAAAUGUUUGAAAAUGCUAUAGGCUAAAUUGAAGUGGCCAAAUAAAUAGGAGUGCAAAAUAGGAGGAUUUGCAUGACAAACCUCCCAUUUUACAUGAAGUGGCCAGCCAUCAUGUUGUUGUAGACAAAAUGUGCACUUGAUAUCCAUAAUUUAUGGUACAAAUUGAUACAAAUUGAUAAUGGGUUAGGUAAAUGUUCCAUGAUAAUGGGUUAGGUAAAUGUUUCAUGAUAAUGGGUUAGGUAAAUGUUUCAUGAUAAUGGGUUAGGUAAAUGUUCUAUGAUUGGAACUUCAUGUCUUUUGUAUUAAAGAAUUAAAUGGAUGAAAUAUGAAAUUUUAUUAAAAGAAAAAGGGGUGAAAAGAACAAAGUUUUGUCCAUCUUUGUUCAUCAUAGCCUAAAGUUAGAGAAGAGAAAGGAGAGGAGAAAGAUCUUGAAUGUUCGGUCACUUGGGGAAGAAAAUUGAAGGUAAGUUCAUAGUAGUUUGCUUCUAUCUUGAUGUUCAUGAGUUCUUCUUGAUUCUACCUUAACUCUUGAAGCAUAUUUUGGUUUUUGGUUGUGUUGUGAGCAUUUGGUCAUGAAUUAUAAUGAAGGAAAUGGUUGUUGUUUCAUGUUCUUUUGAUGAAAAAUGGAAGAUAUGUGAAGUUGAGCCAAACAAAUGAGCAUGCAUGUGCUUAGAUGCUAAGGGGAAAAAUCGGCUAAUAUGUUGUGCUUUAAAAUGAUGAAAUGGAGAUUAUACUUAAGUAAAAUCAUAGAUAUUUGAUGAUUGAUUGGUGAUAUACAUGUUUAAAUAACAAGCAUGCAAGUUAGGUGUGAAAGAGUGAUUUGGUAAUAAAUCUGCUUGGGACAGCAGCAGUAACGUGACUUUGGAAAAUCACCAUAAAUUGUGGGAGAUGAGUUAGAAGCUGCAUAAAUUAUGUAAUUAAAGCUUAAUGAGUCUAGUUUCAAAUGGAAUAAACGAGAACAUAUUUUGAAUUCUGUACAAUGAGAAAUUUGAUUCGUAAUGAAGAGUGGUCAGAUUAGUCAAACAGUGAAACAUGCGAAACUUUGAUAAAAAUCUGGUAUUGAUUGGCCAAACCAAAAAUUCUGAAAAUUUUAUGGAUAUAAGAUAUAUGAGUCUAUUUUUAGGGAAAAUUAACGACACUUGAUUUGGAGUUUCGUAGCUCCAGUUAUAAAUGAUUUAGUGACUGUUGCUCAGGAAGACAGCUUGCAGUGAAAUUAUGAUUAUGUGGUAAACAUUGACAAAAAUUUGUUAAUGAGUUGCUUAUUAAUUUCUUAUAAGCUUACUAUGAUCUGUAGGUGUGGUUGGCCGAAUAUUGUAAGGGGUUAAUACGUAGUUCGUAUUUGAAUAGUUAGAUUAACGUGUUAGUAAUCCAAUUGUAGGCAGUUCGUGUGUGGAUCUCGUCAGCAUAUCGUUGCAAACAGGUGUGUAACUAACACCCUCUUUCUUAGUCUAGAUCGGCAAAAGUCGAAAAGCCGAAAUGCUAAAAAUCAGUAUUUUGUAGAUUUGCGAGUGUGCGAAUGCUCGUGAGGUAAAUCGAUUAAUGUUUUUGGUAAGCUGCAAUGUUUGGACUGCAAAGUGCAUGAUUUCUGUGCCCUCGAUAUUUUUGGGCUUAAUGGGCCAAAACUGGAAUGAUGGGCCAACGGGCCCAAGUCGGUAAGAACCCUCGGUAGUGAUUCUGUUAGUACGUUAAAACUAGGAAUAUGCAUGAAAGACCCUAAAAUAGAUAAAUUACUGAAAUACCUUUAAAAGUGGAAAAUUUACAGUUUUACCCCUAGGAGAUAAAUUGCCGAAAUACCCCUAGGGUUAAAUUGACUUAAAUGCAUGUUUGACUGUUGUUAUUUACUGCAUGCCAUGUUAUUAUCUGAUGCAUGGGAUUGGGAUAUUGAUGGAGGAAGUACUGAAAGUGGCUUGUCCACGUACUGGAGGCUUUGCCUCAAUUUACUGUUAAUUGAGCAGCAAUGCUGCAACUGUGGAGUGUUGGGCUGGGUGGGUUGAGCUAUCCCCACAUGGAGUGUAUGGCUGGUACGGGUGGAGUGUAGUGGUUGGUGGGUUGAGUAGUUUCCCCAAAUGGGCUUGCAUAUGUUAUUGAUGUUGCAUGUAUUUUGAAAUGGGCCUAUGGGCCAUAUUGUUAUCUGAAUAAGGGGCUAAGGCCUAGUUUAUUGUAAUCUGAAAAGGGCUCUGGCCCAGUACCACUGUUAUCUGAAUGGGCUUAGGCCCAAUGGGCUUGAGUUGACUUGGGCUUUGAAUGGGUUUUCCUUACACACUGAGUUUCCCCAAACUCACCCCUUUUAUUUUCAUCCACGCAGGAAAUCCCCAACCAUAGUGGGCUUGGAGCUGUGAGGGAAUUUGGAGUGGCCACCCGUUCUGAAAGUUUGAUUUUCUUCUGGUGAACUGGACAUCCUUUUAUUUACGUUUGAAGUUUUAGGUUUUUAAAUGUAAUAAGGCCGCUUAAUUAUUUUUGAUGGUUUUAAUAUGUAUUACUAAGAUAGGUAAUACUUAUUUUAGCUGUUGAAAUUGGAUAGCUUUAGGGCGCGUUUUCAAAAACAACAGUUGAUUUCAAAAUAACACGACAACAAGCAAAGCUUCCGCAAUGAAAGUAUUUUCCAAAAUUAAUCACUUUUCCUAAAAAUGACUUAAUCAAAUCGGUUUCCUAGAAAUAUCCAUGACGUUAAGGUGUGGCAAUGGCAGUAUGCAUGUCUAGGAUUGGAUCCGAAGGGAACUUGGUACUUAAGCAGUCCGAUGGACUCACCACCUCUUUUCCAGUUUCCUACCUGGUGCAUAGCUUCCAUUCACUUUAACCCUUAAUGAAUUAAUCUUUUGAACAUCAAGUACGAUUUUUUGGACUUAGAAUGAAAAUUUUUUUUAACGUUUUUGAUGUGACAUGUCGGAUCCGGCCAUAACUUCUGGGCUGGGUUUGGGGUGCUACAAAAUGUUUUUGGGCUGGGCUUUGGUUUUAGGUUUGGGCUUAGUUGGGUUUAGGUUAUUUAAGUUUAGAUUGGGUUUGUUGGGCUUCUAAUCUUUGUAAAUGGACUUUGGACAAUUUUUGUAAAUUUGGACUGUUUUGGUUUUGUUUUAUUGGGCCCGAGAAAAUUUGGGCCUAUACAGUGGCGACUCUUUAAUUUUCGUUUUCUUUUCAAAAUAUAAAGUCGAUCCUUGUUUUCAAAAAUGGUUUCGACAGGACCAAUUUGCAAAAGUUGUAAAAUGUGUAGUAAAUAUGUGAAAUAAAGAAAAAUGUGGGCUGCUAAGAGUAGGAAUAUGAAUUGGCUAUGCAUGGGUAGUAAAGAAAUUGAACACAUUUCAUUUCACGAGCCUAGGGGCAAAAUUGUAAAUAUGUCAAACUUUAGGGGAAAAAUAUAAUUUUUCCAUAAUGUGAUUUUUGGAUCACAUUGAAUAAUGUGACUAAUAAAUAGACUAAAUGUGAAAUUAUAGAUCAAAGAAAAUGAGGUUCAGACCUAGAAUAGGGGGAAAACGAGAAAUUGGCAGUUAGGUCCCUUUUUGUCAUUUUUAUGUCGAGGUAAGUUCGUAUGUGAAUAAUGUAUUAUUAUGCUUGUAAUUUAAACAUUUUAAAUGUUUUGUUAAUGUGUGGAAUGAAUGAUUAAUUCUAUGGAUACAAUCGACAAGUUUCGAUAAGUGUGAAAAUUCUCGUUUGAACCUUAGGAAUAGAAUAGGAUACGAGUGACAUGUCACUAGGGACCCAUGUGUUAUAUAUAUGAUUAUGUGAUCCGGGUGCUGGUCUUGUACAUCUACUAGUGGCUGGGUAGUCCAGCAUGUGUUGCAGAUACCUGACAGCUUGUGUGAAUAGCACUACGUAGUGACGUCUUGACUGACAGCUUGUGUGAGCAGGCCCGUGAUUAGCUCGAGAGUGAGCAUUUAUGUGAUAUGAGAUAUGAAGUAGCUUUAGCUACAUAUGUGACACUUAUGUGCAAAGACUUUUUGUGUAUCUAAUUAGUAUUCCAAGUGUUCAGUGGGUAUGCCAAAGAUGAGACAGUAAUUGGUUAUGUUACGAGAUGGUACAGGUAUGUACGUAAAGAUUUUAAGUAUUGACUUCAUGAUAUUUUGAGUUUAUGAUCACUAUAAAAGGAAAUUUGUGAUAGCCCUAUGAUUAUUGAUUUAUGGUCAUGAUGUAUAAAUGCAUGGAAACAUGGUUGAGGACUAUAUGUUAGACUUUGGGCCCCAAUUGAUUGGUGAGAUAGUAAAUGUUGUUCAUUUGAAUUAUGAUUUAUCGAUUAUGAGUGAAAGGAAAUAUUGGCCUAAUUGCCUAUUAAAAUGGUUAAGAAAGUAUGGAAAGAAAAGUUUAGAUAAUUUGAAAUAUGUUGAGCUAUAUGCAUGAAAACAUGAAUAUACAUAAGUAAUGUGCACUUUUACUAAGAGGUUUGAAAUGAUUUGCUAAUUAUGAAACAUGUUACAAUGGAAAGAUUAUGGCUACUAGACUAAAGUCAAGAAAUGUUAAUUCAUAUUGAUAAAUCAAAGGAGAGUAAACAUGUGAAUAGGUUAUAUUACAACCUUGAGAUUUAUAGCUAUUUUAUACUAACUUGUGCUUAUAUUGUCAAGCAUGGUAUAUGACAAGCAUGCGUUGCUCAUUAUUUUCAUAUGAACUUAGUAAGCUUUAUUGCUUACUCCCCUUCCUUUCCUAUCUCUUAUAGGUUAAUUUAGCUAGUUCGGGUUGGAAAUUGCCGGAGAUGUUAUCACACUAUCAAGUUUUCAUUUGGAUAUAAAUGAAUGCAAGUAUUUUAAGUUUAUGGCAUGUAUAGAGACUUAGUCUAUUGAUUGAUUAUGUCAUUGUUAAUGUGGCCAAAUGUGUUAGCUCAUAAUGGUUAUGGUCCAAUUUGUAGAUAGCCAUGAAUGAUGGCCUGUAUUGAUCAUAUGAUUAUGCAUGUGCCUAUGUUUUUUGAGAUGUGGUUUGUGAUUGUGUGUAUGUGAUGGGUUAUGUUAUUAGUGAUGAAUGCUUGAUGAUUUAAUUGAGAUGUGUUAUUAUGAUGAUAACUAAGGCCUAAAUGUGUAAUAUGUAAGCAAACCUAUAAUUCUUAAUGCAUGAGAAUUGAUAAGAUUGGGCUUGACAAAGUAUGGUGACUUGUGUAUGUAUAAGUUGAUAUACUAUUGUCAUGAUCAAGACUUGUUGAUGAUGUUUAAGUACUCAUCUAUGCCAUGUUAAAUGCCUUUGAAAUCAUGUAUGUGUUUAAGCAAAUAAGGGUGGCAAUUGGCUUGGAAAAUAGCCUCAAAGUUGUCCACAAGGGUAGACACACAGGCAUGUAUCUAGGCCGUGUGGCGUGUAGUCCGGCCGUGUGUCCCCUGUACCUUAAUUUAGCAAAACAAAAUGUCCAGUAGCCACCACACGGGCAGAGACACGGGAGUGUAUCCUAGCUGUGUAGAAGGCACGGCCUAAGCACACGGGCGUGUGCCUUGACCGUGUGACCUCAUGUUGCACAUAAUAUUAUAAAUAGAGAGUUACACGAGCUGAGGACAUGGGUGUGUCCCAAGCCAUACGGGUGUGUGUGACCACACGGCCUACCCAUACGGGCGUGUUACCCUCCAAAACAUGAAAAUUUUCUAAGUGUUGUAAAAAUUUUGAGAGUUCUCGAUUUUGUCCCGAACUACUCCUAAUGUAUUUUUUGGGCCUCGUAGGCUCGUAUAAGGGACGAUACGUAUAUGUAUGAAUUGUUUUAAUUUGGACGCAUUUUUAUGAUCCAGUUUUGUACGAUUGCUUGUGUUUAUGUCCGAUAAUGCCUUCUACCCUGUUCUAGCAACGGACACGGGUAAGGGGUGUUACAGUAAUUAAUUUUGGAUAACAAUUAUUCAAAAUAAUUACUAAUAAAUAUAAUUAGCAUAUAUAAAUUAUUUUGAUAAUUGAAAUAUAAUGCUAAUAAAAAAAUUCUAAUCUUUAUUAAAAUUUUUGUAGAAACUAUAAAAAUUUGAAACUCUUAAGGAUUCAAUUUUUAUUUUCUUUCUUUCUUAAUAGUUAAUUAAUUGGCCAUAAUACUUUAUAGAUAAUAUAUAAUAUAUAAUAUAUAAUAAAAAUAAAAAUAUUAUCUUUUAGUAUAACUUACUUUAUUAAUUUUACGGUGUAAGUAUAAUCCUAUUCAUGCUAAUGAUUAAGUUCGAUUAUAAAAUAUAUUAUUUAUAAAAUUAUAUAUACGAAAUAUAAAGUUAUAUGAAUAAUUAAAGUUUGUUAAAUAAAACCAAUGUUAUUAAUUUUUUCUUUAACUAGUGGAAACAUAAUAAUUUAAAUAUAAAUAUAGAAUUUAUUUUUAUUUAUUUAUUAUAUAUAUCAUUUAUUAGAAGUCUUUUAAUAGAAUCAUAAUUCUUAUUUAUAAGUAUGAUAAAUAUUUUUUAUCAAGUAAAUUCUUUUAACCAAAUAUUUUAGUAAAAUUAUUAUUUUUAUAAAUGUAAUAAAUCUUACAAACAAUAAUAAAAUAUUUAAAAUGACAAAUUUGAUAAUAUAAUGAAUAAUAAAUGUUAUAUUAGUUAAGUCAAAAGUUUCUUUAAACUCAUGCUUAAUUUUAUAAAAUAAAUAAAAUGAAAAAUGCACUAAUAAAAUGAACAACAGAAGUUGUUUGUGGUCGGUUCAAAAUUUUCUCUAAAUUUAUGCUAAUAUGGAAUAAAAUUUUGUACAAUGCCGGUAGAGUUUUUAAACUCCACAAGUAAAAUAAAAAUGUUGAAAAAUGUCUUAUAGUGGUAUAAUAAAAUAUAAAAAUAUAUAUAUAAUAAUUUUCUAAGACUGCUUGUGGAAUAAAAAAAGUACACUGUCAGUGUCCCAAAUGUUAAUAUUUAACAACCUCAUAAUCUUAUUUAUGGAAUCUAAAAAAUUGUAUGUCUGUUGAGACUUGUGUUGAUGGUUGCUGAUUGUGGAUUUAAGCUGUUGAAUCAUUAUUUUAUACAAUAAAAUUAUCUGUUGAUUGAGAAAAAAAGAAAGUAUGUUAUAUAACGUAUUAAAUCAAACAACUUAAUUACUCUCAAUAAUUUUAAUAAAUUAAUUUGAAGUAGUGUAUUUUAAUAUUAUUUACUAAUAUUUCUAACGAAAAUUUGUCAAUAAAAACGUUACACGUGAUUGAACUUUAUCCCAGUCCGGUUUUUGUUUCAAUUUCUAGCUGUUCAAUUGUAGAAGCUGAGCUGUGGGGAGUUUAUGAUGGUCUACGACAAGCUUGGAGCAUGAGUAUUAGAAAGGUGGUCCUCGAGAUGGACAGCUUAGAUGUUAUCCAAAUGCUGCAAAACUCCACGUCAGAUGAACUCCGCUAUACAGUGACUCGAGAUGUUAAACAAUUGAUUCAAAACCAAUGAAAAGUGAAGAUACAACAUGUCAACAGGGAAGGUAAUAGGGUUGCGGAUGCUUUGGCUACAUAGGCCCUUAGACCGGAGCUAGGUUUUUACAAAUUCUUACAACCAACUGAUCAUGUUUUGGAGCUGAUUCAUGAUGAUUUAGAGGGAUUGACUAGGAUUGAAUAAAUUGUUUGUAAUAGUUUCUAUUACUUUUAUUUAUCAAAAUAAUAAUAAUAAUAAUAAAAGGAGUGCACUGUAAAAUUAUUUUUAAAGCUCUUUAUUUAUUAUUUAUUUAAAAAAAUAAGUAUUCCAUGCAGUGGAAUAAAAAUCUCUACAACGUAUUUUCACUUGUAGUAAGCGUAGAACUCAAAUUUAUUAUUUGUAACAUUAAUUUAAAGCCAAGGGCUUUUACUUAUCGAAAUGGGCAUGUUUUUAAUUGGAAAUUGGUGGUGAGAGGGAAGCAAAAGCUUGGAGCUGCUCGCCAGAGUCGAUGUGCUUUGCCGGGUCAGAAAAGGCGAAAAGGAAGAAGUCCAUGAAAUUAAAGUCCUUGUAAAGCUGAGGAUGUUGCUCAUCUAUAAGCUCUUUAGGUGCCUUAAUUAUGGUACCCUCAAUUGGAAUGGCAAAGGCUGCUAAAGAAAGUCGAUCUUUGUCUCCACUCAUCAUCACUCUAUGAUUUACCGCUUUUAAUCUUCCAUUACUCCAUGCCUUCAAUUUUUAAAAUUCAACAUCAAUCAGUAAUCUAUUGACAUAGAUCAUACAAAUAUUUUAAGUUUUGAGUAAAUUAGAAAUCGAACUUUACCCCCCCCCCACACAUAUAUAUAUAUACCUUGAGAGGAUCUCCAACCACAAAGCAAAAGGAAGAAGGAGAUAAGGACAACUUGAUCCAUUGACCAUCAUUGACCUCAAUUUCUAACCCUGAAACUUGAUCGUCACAAAUGAUUGUGCUUACAGGUUUAUCAGUGUGAGCAAAGAGUCCUCUCUCGUACUCUCCUGGUGGAGGGGCCAUGUAUUUCAUAAACCGCACUAGUGUUUUAUAGUUUAUCAUCACU
rnacentral:lncRNA from 1 species